UUUUUUUUUUUUUUUUGUCAACCCAGGAAGUAUUCCAGUUUUACCAAACUAAUCUCCCUAGACCUGGAGUACCCCGUCCCCCAAGAGCACCCAGGCGAUAUGUGAAGCCAGACUCGAACCGCGCCCCACGAGAAAUACCCCCGAGAAUUCACCGGCUGAGCUGACCCCAAGGGGCUCUAAUGAUGUUAAUUCCCGUGGCACAAAUCGAACUAAGAAAGGUUUUUCCUUGUUUGGAUUGUACUUUUUGUAGAAAAAAAAUUUUUAGAUUUCUGUGAUAAUAUUUCUUGUCAUAUUUUUGAAUCAUUUUUUUUAUCUCAUUUAUUUCACGUUCUAUAGAAAAAAAUGAUUAUAUGAUUAUAUAUAAUCAUUUUUUCCCCAAUAACUUCCCAAAAAAUGCAAUCCAAACGGAUUACAUUGUUCAGAAAAUGAAAAGUACUUCUCCAAUUGUUGGCAAUUAUCCAAUCGAAGCUACGUCCAAAGUACCAAAUUCCUAUGAGAAUUAUUUUUGAAUAUCCACUUUUAUCGUACUGUCGUUUUAAUGAAAAAAAAAAAAAAGAAGAAGGGAAAUGUUAGUGAAAGUUUAGAUGUCACGGGACAAAACUUAAGGAGUUCAGUUUAAUACGACUUUAAUUUUGAUUCCUAGAAUUGCCAUCUUCGUCAUGCCAGCAUAACAAGGUAUUUUAAGAAUGACAUGUUAGAGCAAGUCAUUCUUUUUUUUGUACCUCAUUUUUUUCCCCUUGAAAAAAGUUCAGCAGGUUUGCUGUGGAUUGAUUUUGAUACUAUUCCUAAACCCUAUCCAUGUCUAUACCAAACUUAAAGCAGCAUGGAAAACAAAAUGCAGCCGGAUAAAACAUCAAAAAUUUUCACAGAACAGUCUGAAAUGUUAGCACUUAAUGUGUCAUUGUUUCUUUUCUUUUCUUUUUUCUCUUUUUGAUGCUUAAUAUGUCAUUGUUUCAUGAGCAUUUUUGUAGCUCUCAGUUAAUGUGUAUUACAAAAUUUGGAUCUAACAGCUUCUAGGAACAGAUUGCCUAACGAGUCUGAAAGAGUUCAGUUGGUAGCCUAAGAUUAGAAAGGGGAGAAAAUAAUUUGGCUUUGUAUUACUUCUAGACUCCCGGUACAAAAUUAAAAGAACUAACCUCUUCGCACCCUAGCCUUUGUCCUAUUCUAUCCUUUAAAAGAAGAAAAUACCCAAAAAAAAAAAAAAAGUGCAAACCAUGCUAAUACUUUACAGUAAAUUCUACACCACUGAUCACUCAUCUCUCCCAAUGGCAAGGCAACAUCCCAUAAGAACCUCCUUUUCAUUGCGUCCUGUCCUGUUCCUGUUCUUCAGCUACAAAAACUUCUUCUCUAUGGCAAUCUGAAUCCGGUGUAAUCCGAGUCAUGGACAUCCAAAAGAGGAUUCAAAUUGGUUUCAGCAUCAUCCAUGACCAUCAAUGGUUUGGACUUCAUUCUUCUAGAACAGAAUCUUGCAAGAACUUUCUUCCAACUCAUGUCAUAAUAUAUGGUAAAGCUGUAGAUAGAAGUAGUCCAUCAUGACAAACUCUUGAUCAGCAACUGUUAAGGAUCGUUCUUCUCACUCUUUGAGGGCCUGCAUUGUUGAACAACUAAAACUGAACCACUGAGAUCAAACUCUGGAGAGGCCAAGAAAUCACCAACUGUACCAAGCUCAGGACACUCUUCCCAGUCACUCAAUCCAAUUGUUAGAGGUGAUUGCGCUCGCCCACCCUUCCCUACUAUAAACAUUGCAUACAUGUCUGCCAUGUCCCUUAAAGCUGAUGCGGUUUCUGCACCAUUUUCGACAUACUUCUCUACAUAUCCUAUUCGUCCAGAAGUUACAUACCUAAUAAUGUCGGAUACCAUAGAAAUCAUGAGUAAUAUAAAGCAACUCAUCAGCGUUAUCUUGAAGUGAUAACAAUAAAGCAAACAGCAAAAUCCCAAUACAUUAUCCAUGACCAGUGAAAAAUUUUUCGUCAUUUUUAAUCGGGAACAAAACAGAUAAGAAGAUUCUUUUAUACAUGUAAGCAUUUCUUGAAAACCAGACAAGACUUUCAACCGUGGAGGCAACAUGAACAAAAAAAAUAGAACUAUGCUCAACAUCUAUUCAAUUGAAAGACAUGCAAGUAUCUGAAACGAAGCUGAUGAACUUACUAAACCUCAGAGUUUAUUUCAAGUACCGACACAGGUGGAGAACAAUUAUGUUCAUAAACAAACUGAAAUUAUGAUUAGUCAAGAGAACAAAAUCGAUUAGUGAAGUAGAAUAAUAAACCAAUAUUUAGUCCGCUAAAAUUACCAGGGAUGUGAAGAGCAGCAUUGUUAUUAGUGCACCAGAAUGAAGCUUAAGAUUACCUAUUGUAGAAGUCAGUCAAAACUCCUGCAUCUGCAUCAUUCUCGCUAUCUGGUAUUGCCAUCAAAAUGUCUUUCUCCUUGGUAUCAAAAUUGACACCUACAAGUUCCCUUCUAGCAGGUGUUGGAAGAAAUCUAAUAAUAGUGAGGUUUAUAUGAUGAUGCAUGCCAAGACGUUUACUAAAUCCCAGUGCCUCACGAUCAUCAGGACCACCAAAAAACAAAGUUGCAACAUGCUGCAAAGAUUCAGAGCCUGACACAUGAGAGGCCCCAGCUGUCAGUCCUCGAUCCACAAGAAUGGCAACUGAGCACGGGGCAUGGCGAAGAAUUUUCUGAUUCGUGGUCCUUAAGCCUUCCUUUCCACUCUCCAAUUUUCCAUCUAUUCUCUGGUACUUGUGGAAGGGUAGGAUAAUGAUAGAUGCUCUUGUAUCUUCAGCCCAUUCGCACACAUCUGAAUACAUGCUGACUAAAGGUGAUACCACUUUAACUUGAUGUAUCAUAAUUCCUGUCUCAGCAGUAAAUAUAUCUACUGCCUCAUUAAUUUCUACCACGUCAUUACCCCCGUACUCAUCAUCAUCACUAAUCUCAUCAAUUUCUUUCUGGUGAUACAUCAAGUUGGUAUUAGUUUUCUCAGGUAGCUCAAUUAGGUGCAUCAGGUGGGCAGCCACAGGAAUGCUUUCGGAACUUUUUGAUGCAGCAAUUAGCCCUACCAUGGUACCUACUGACCGAGGUCCAUGAACACAGGUCAGUAGUCGUAGCUCAGAGUCCGGACUUUGUGAUUCAAAAGCUAUGUGCCUGUAUCCUAGGAUAUCACUUUCUCUUCUUACCAUAAAUGUUAUAAUUAGUCCCCAGAUCAAUGAGUUGAGGACAAUGGCUGAUAUCAUCAAGUUGCAGAAUAGAGGAUUUGCCUUCUGCAAAAGAAAAAAAAAAAAGAAAGUUAUCUCAAAUUAGAUAGUGGUUUUGGUCCCAACCAGACGGAGAAAUAUCUGAACACACUCUAUCCGUUAAAAGGAGAGGGUGGAUUGUUCUUUAUGCUUACAGGGAAGCAAUAAUGGCUCACGCGUUUUCUUUGAACCAGCUCUACUUAUGUCUUUGGUGCAAUCUAGCUUGAUGAAAGCUUCAAGACAAUCUUUACAAGCUAUUAGCCAUUAAGUUUAUUUCACACCUUAAAUACCUCCCUGUCUGGAGAUAAACAAGGGACGACUGAAAUUUAUCACUAGUCAUUAGUAGGGUCUAUUGGUCUUUAUGUAUUGCAAGCAUAGAGAAAAAAAGCCAUUAGCUUUCCUAAAAUACUAGUCAAAAUCCGCUUGGAUUUGUCAGAUACAAAUGCACUGUAAUAGGAAAUAUCUGUUAAAAGAACAAAAGGAAGUAUGUGUUAAAAGAACUUACUCUAUCUUGAGCUGCAAUACCUAUUGUCAAGAUGUCAACAUGACCUUUCAAGUUCAUCAGAAAAGCUAUGAGGACUCCCUCAUUCAAAGGAAUCUUCAGGUGGGAACAAGCAGCAAGUGUGCCAGUAAUCUUGCCACCAAAGCUCAACAGUAUUACCACAAAAACAACAAAGAAUUUGGCUAAAGAGUCAAUGGAAGUCAAAUCAGCCCUGAAACCUGAGUAGCCAAAGUAAACUGGAAGUAUAAAGUUAUGAACCGCAUAGGUGAGCUUGAUCAACAAUGUACGAGUCGCUUUGCCUCCUCUAGGAAACAUUAGUCCAAUGAGGAAACAAGCAACUAUGCUACUGAAUCCCAUAGUUUCAAGCCCCGUGGCAGUAACAAAGACAAUUGCCAACAGACAAAGUAUUUCGGUGUUUCUAAGGUACUUCUGAUUCCUAUUCCUCCUGUUAAGCCAUUUUGCUAGAUGUACAUUGAGAAUGAUAACUGCUAUAACAAUGAUGAAAUAUAGGAUCCCUAGUAAUACCCACCUCAUGCCUGAAUAAUGCUUCCUACUCGCUGUAACUAUAACCAACAAUAUCACUGCAUAAAAGUCACCAAGCAAGGAAGAGGAUAUGGCCAUUCGCCCAACAUCUGAUGUUGAAAUCUUCAAAUCAGCUGCUAAUCGGACCACAAUAGGAGAGGAAGUAUUAGCUAAGACUACUGUGAUAAUUGUGCCCAUAAUUACUGCAUGGUCAUGGGAAUCAGUUACAUCAUAUAUAAAGGAGGUCAUAGCGAUUGCAAAGAAUGUACACAUUAGGCAACUGCUACCAGCGAUAAUGCUCACAGGACGCAGGUUACGAAUUAGAUAAGGAAAAUCCAUCUCCAGCCCGAUCAAGAACAUGAUAACUAUUCUAGCUUGCAUAGCCAUUAUUUCAUAGUAGUCACCAGCAACGGAAGGAAAGAAGAAUUCAUUGACUUUAGGGAUCAUCGACAACCCUGAGGGACCUAUCACAAACCCAGCCUGUCCAAUGAAACCAAAUGCAAUGAACCUAGUGUAAGAUAUGAGUCUUAUCAAAUAAUGCAAUAGGGGUUUCACUCAAAUAAGGAAAGGAACAAUUUAAACAGCACCUCAUUCUUGGCACCUUGUUAUCUAGAAGAAAAAAUCAUUAUCUGACAAAUUAGGUAUCUCUCAGAAACAGAAAAUCAUAGGCACUUAAUAUCAAGUGACUAUUAUUCACAAUCCGACCCGGUGCAGUAGCUUUAACGUUUUUAGUGGGAUGGAGAUGUACAAAUUUAAUCAUUUUGAUUUUUCGAAGUAUCUUAAGAAGUGGAAAAGUUUAGUUACUCUAAUCAGAUGUUCAUGCCAAUGAAUUCUCUAAACGUUGUAAAAACAUAGUAAAUUAACAACUCCAAUAGUAAAACCGGCAAAAAAAAAAAAGAAAACCCCAUUAACAUGGUUGUUUCUUGGAUAUCCAGUUCAGAGAAGAAACAUGCAACAGGUACACGUUACAACAAUGUUCAUGACAACAGCUACAUUGUUUUUCUAGCACGAAAUCAAAAUCAAAAAGCUCAUUGUAUCUCAAACUAGAAAAUUUUUUGCCAUUUCACCUAAAUUUGGAGCUUAAUUAUACUGGCUUAUGUUAAUUCCAACAGAAAUGAACCAAAGCCGUGAUCAAGAUAUGGCCUUUUUUUCAGAAUUAACUCUACUAACAACAAAACUUCCCGGCCAAUGCUUCAAUCAGUCAAUUACUAAUGCUUUAUAAACAUUUUAACAAUUCUCAAUCAAUUGAACUCAAAAAUGCCGAUUACAUGCAUUCAUUCAUAAAAUAAAUACGAUGCCUAUAGAUGACAUACUUACGAGAAUUUGGGCAACCGGUCCUGGUUGGCCUAAAGGCUUGAGCAAAAGGUGAAAGAAGUGAGAGAUAACAAGAAUGCAUGAAACCUGCAUACUCAUAGAAAUAAUGGGAUUGACAGCAAAUAUGACCUGACAGGCCCCCGGCCGUGGAUCACUCAUUUUUCAACAAAUAUAUAUGAAUUAUGAGGGAGAAACUUUUGGGUUAUGAUGUAUAAGGUAAACCAUGAAGAACCAAGAUCUAGUUAUCUUUUGUAAAGGUGGUGAUCAAAUUAGUAUCUUGUAAGAUGUUGGAGAAGGGCAGGGAGGAUUUUGGGAUGUUGGGAUGGGAAAAAAAAUCUUUAGGAUCCUCCCUGCUAUUUGCCUCACUAUUCUGUGAAUUCUUGAUGCUAUGCUUUUUCUGAGACAAUGGACACUGUCAUAGCAAUUGGACCAAAAGGAGAAGGAAGAGGCUGCUGACACAAGUUUCCAAUAGCUUCUUCACACAUGUUUCUUGGGGAUGGAGGGCCGUGUAUUGCGGGCAAAUGGCCCUUCAAUUUGAUAACAGAAGUAUCUUACAACUCAGGUACUCUAAUAUCACUUCUUCUUGCAUAAAGUAGCUGGUUUUUGUAUGACACAACAAACUGAUUUUUUUUUGUAGAAUUAACGCAAGAAACAUACGAUGUCCCGUGAACUUUUUUUUUUUUUGACAUUUAAGGAUAGACUACCCUGAUAGAGUGUAAGUAAAUACAUACCUUCCUUCACAAAUUAUUUGUCGCCCUACAUAAACAUGUCACUUUCAACUGUAUUGUAAGUUGUGACCAUUGAAUUUGAUGCCCUUAGCAUGUUACACGCUUGCUAACAUCUGUUAGAGGGAGAAUUAGAGCAGCAGCUAUAAUGAUUAAUUGUUAGGUGUGACAACUUCUCAAUUUACACCGAUUCGAGUUGACUUAUGUAGUUUACAUUAUCCAAUAUCAAAAUGGCUUUGACCAAAAAAUAUAUCCUUAUACUAUAUAAGAAUAAGUUUUGAUUAAAGAAUGGCUUUGAAUUUCAACUGCAAGAAUAGGGGUAUUUUGGGAUUGUGAGGCGGUUUUAAAUGUAGUUAUAGUAUUGGGUACUACUUUAGAUAGCAUGUGCAUUAUUGUAUUUACUAAAAUGUUCUUGUAUUCUAAAAGAUGCAGUAAUGAUUUGUUCAAAGGUGUGGGUAAUUUGAGAAUGUGAGAUUAUUUGGUCAUCUUUUCUACAAUGGAUACAACCCAUAAUUGCUUCUUUAUUGGUGUAAUUACUUAAAUAUCCUUGCAGAGACAUUCAUUUUGGUUUGAAUCAAUUAUUACUAUUACUUUGCUAUUAUAACUUGAAAAACUUCAAACGUCAUUUUCAUUUCAAUUAAAACAAGGACAAUGUGGUUUAUUAAGGAAUUUAUGAUUGAGCAUUAGUUUCAACUUCAAUUCUUCAAAUGUUUGUCCCUUCACAUUCUUCUGUUACGUUCCUUUCAUCUUCCGGUAAAUACUUAUUUGUAUUGCUAUUGUAUUUUAGAUUUCAAUAUGGUUCUCUAAUGAAGUUAUUCUUGGUAGUUCAACUUGAGGUGAGGUUUCAUUCUUUUUUUUUAAAGGUAUGAUUUGCUUUGUAAAAUCGUAAUUUCUAUUGUUAGCUAAAUGCUUUCAUUCCAAAAUUGGAUACUCUUUUAACACAAUUUAAUGUUGAUAUUAUUGUUUCCCUACAAAGUUGGUUGUUAUAUACAAUUUAAAUGGUGUGGUUUUGUUGGAAUAUGUUUCGAUCAAAAAGAAUGUUGGCUACUUUGAUAAAAAAGCCUCCUCCAUAGUUGGCUAUUUUCAUCAACAAGAAUAUUGUGUAGAUGCAUCUUUAAGUAGAUAAUCAUUUUGUUUGUUUGUCAUUCUCUGAAUCGUUUGGGUAUCUGUUUAAAGUUCAUUUAGUUUUGUUAAUAAAAAACUUAUAUACAAGUGUUUGUUUCAAAAUAUAUGAACUGAGUAAGAUAGCAUGCAUAAUUUCCUUCUUCAUUUCCUAGUAUACAUUAGAUAUUUUGUUACUUCAUUUUGCUACUCAAUGUGCGUGAGUUUUUUUAUAUUCGCUUGAACUACCGUAAAAUCUUCUUUAACUAUAAGCACCAAACAUUGGCCGAUACGCGGGCAUUCCCCUCCUAGUAUAUAUAUAUGUAUUUAUAUAUCAAGAUGGCUCAUCUCAUAGGCUAGUUGGAUGUAGAUUUAUAUCUCGAAACUGUUCCGUCCAUCUUGCCCAUUUGUCAUUUAAUUAAUGUAAAAGAUGAAGAAAAAUUCAUAAAAUUUCAUAAUCGAAUGUGAUUAUAUUAUAUCCAACACAUUAUACACGUAAUAAUAAUUAUACGUUGUAAAGCAUAUUAAUUCACAUUUGCAAACCAUUUGAAUGCCUUGUAUAACAUCCAGAGCGGAAAUUCCUCGUACCUAACAACUUUGGUGGACUUGAUGUGUGAACCAUAGUUAUUAAACCCAACUCGGGAGGGAACCCGGUGAACGAGGUGGGUCAACGGGUUACUGGUUCAACCAGUGGGUGGGUGGUUGAACCGGUGGGUCACUAAAUAUAUUUAAAUAUUAUAUUUUAUAAUUUUAAAUAUAAGAUAUAUGAUAUAAAUUAUAAUAAAUAAUGUCAUAGCAAAUGCUCAUAUAAUUUAAUUUGCUAUAAAAAAUUAAUUCACAUAAGAAUCAAUAAAAUAUAAAGUUAUUUAGUAAUACACCAAACUUCAAGUAUAAAAUUUUAUCUAUGUUUAGUGUAAUUAUCUAACUUAUUUAUAAAUUUUAAGUGCAAAAAAUUAUUAAAAAUAAUAUAUAUUUUUAAAAUGAAUUAUGUAACAUGUUAAUUUUUAAGUCCAUUUCAUAAGUUUGGGGGUCAUAAAUUAUUAUUAAAAGAUUCCAAAUUAAUUUGUUUUAGAGAAAUAAAACAGAAAGAUAAAAUUGAUAAAAUGUUUAUAUAUAAUAUGUAAGCAACCUUAUCACCAUCUCGCGAGGUAGCCUAGCGGUUUCGUCGAUGUUGCUUUGUAUCAGACGCACAGGUUUCGACUCUCAGUCUCAGCACUGCCAUAACAUUUUUAUAUGAAACCCGGUUCUUAGACACAACCGGCCGGGUUUCCGGUUUAAUCCGGUCGAACCGGCGGUCCGUUGACUAAUCAACGGGUUGAUUACUUAAACGAUCCAAUUGAAAAUCCAGCCCGGUCCCAUGUCCGGUUCAUCGGUUUGACCGGUUCGACCGCCGGGCCGGGCCGGGUUUAAUAACUAUGGUGUGAACAGAAGUGGACAAAAAUGUGAAACCAUUUUUUAGGCUCGAUUUGAUAAUAUAAAAAUUUGUUAAAAUUGAAUUUUUUCAAAUAUUCAGAAGUUUUGGGUGUUUGAUAAAUAAAAAUUCAUCUGCUGAACUUGUUAAGCGGUGCUAAAUUUGUAUGUACUUUUUUCAGCACAAGAAUCGUAACGCAAUGCUUAAUUUUAAUAAGAAUCAACAGAUUUACUUCAAAUACCUUAUUUUAUCUACCAAAUUUACCCUUAUUUGUUAAUUACGAUCAAAAUUCUUAUCUAAUUAAAUGACUUGAUAUUUUCUAUUCAAAAUCCUUAUAUAAUUAAAUAACCUAAUAUUCUCUAUUCAAAAUCAUUAUCAAAUUAAAAUCUUUAUUCAAUUCUAAAAUUUCUAUUAAAAAUAUUAGAUGUUAUAUGAUUGUUGGAUUGUAAUGUUUCUUUUAAUGUUUUCCAUAAUGUAUUUUAUCUUUUACAUUAAUUUGAUUUAAAAAUAAAAUGUUAUUGGCUUCAUAUCUACAAUUUUAAACUACUUAAAUCAUAGAUUCUAUUUCUUUUUUGAAUGAAAAAAAAGAAGGAAAAAAUUAUACGGUUUAGCUUAUUAAGCAUUCAUUUAUAAAUAUUUAUCAAACAGUAUAGAUAUCUUCAGCAUUGAAAUUUAGACAUUCAUAUAUUUCUUUUUUAUAUGAAAAUUUAGCAAAUUAAUUAUUUAAUAUUCAAAUUUCAAAAUUUAGAUUCAGUCUUAUUAAACGGAAUAAUAAUCAACUAUUUCUCAUUUGUACACGCGCCGUUAAAGAAAACAAAAACAAGUACACACUAUUAAGAAAACAAAAACCGGUUAAUCAUCAAUUAACUUAUUAAAUGCCUGGUAAUCUCCUGCUGUCCGUCCCCAUGGGUCGUCGCAUUUAUGAGUAUUGCAGCCAUUUUUUCUGCAAGACCCCUCCAGUCUCUUCUUCUCCUCCCUCCUACUAAACCGAGUUAAAUUAAUUCUCAAGUUUGAAUUUGAUUCUCUGAAAUUUUCACCGUUAUUUAAUCAGAGGUUGAAGAAAAUGACAAUGUUUUGAAUGCGAGGGAGAUAAUAAUGGCUGUACCAUGCGGUGGUUCCCUCCGCGACACAUGGGAUCGUUUCUUCGACCGGUGCUCUCGGUUUUUUCCCUGUCUUUCCGAUCCUGGUAAUAAGAUACUUUGAAAUUAUUAUGGGUUUUUCUUAUUGGGUUUAGUCGAAGCUGAAUUUAGUAGUGAUUUUGAGACUUUUUUUUGGGGUAUCUCCUGGGGUGGAAAAAACUAGCUCGGAGAUCUGCUUUGUGUUUGAAGCUGGCGUUGGUGGUGCUGCACUUGAUCUAUGUUAGCAUUCUUUUUAUUUUCGACAAAGAUUUCAUUGAGAAGACCAAGCAACAACCUUGGUAAGCAUCUUGUUAUGGAUUUAUGUUAGUCUGCUUACUUAAUUUUGUUUUUGUUGCUCAGUUGUUUCAGUAUUUAAUUAUUCUGAGAAAUUGGACGAGUGAAAUUCUAAAAGUCGUGGAAGCUGAAAACAAUCUGAAAAAGUUACGCAAGAAUAGGAGAUAAAAUGGGAGAAGGAAGAGAUUGGUUGGGUACACGCCGGAAAAACAAGAGUUUCAAUUUUGUGGUUUCAGUAUGGUGAGACUGUAUUCCGAAUUGCGUUUUUGGCCAGUGGCAGAAUGUGGAACUGCAAGGAAGUUUAUCAUCUCUGUUCUUUAAUUUUGUUAGGCUAAUAUGAGGGGAGCUUCAGGCUUGCUCGGUGGUGCAUUUAGUAUCUAUUUAGGCAUAGCCCUAUUGCCUAUUACAGGCUAAAAUGAGGAGUAUCUUGGAGGUUAUUAGAAGGGCUUUAAGUUGUCUAACCUCAAGUACCAGAAGAAGACAUUAUUUAUGAUGAUUGGUUCACGUGCUGCGUUACGUGUUUUCUUCUUGUACUGUUAAGUAGUUAACUGAUAUGAUCUCAGUUAUAUCCUCUUCAAAUUUGAUGCAGGUAUACUGCAAUAUAUUUGUCAUUAUUGGUGGCUACACUGGCUCAAUAUUUCCUCACCUCUAAUACUUCUCCAGGGUAUUUUUUUCAUCAACUAUGAGCUUUUGAUCCACCAGAACUUGUGCUCAACUGUCAUUCUUAGCUUUCUUUCUUACUGGAAAUUUCUUUUAAAAUACAGUUAUGUUCUUGAAGCAAUGAGGGUCGUUAACGAGACUGAUGCUUUAGUAAGGAGAAAAUCAGUGGCUUCAAAGUAAAACACCAUUCCUUUGAUUCUAAACGUAUGGGAGAAAUUUAGAGAUUGGAGAAUAAUUUUAUAUUGCUUUUUUAUUGGUUUAUGGAAGUACUAUGAGUUUCUAGAAUUCAUCUUAGUAUGCAUUCUGCUUCUCUAAUUGCUGUCUGUUUUGCCUUUUUUUGAUGUUUCAAUGAUCAAGCAAAGACAACCUGCUUCAAGCAACAAUGGCAGUUUAGUUGUUACUGUGGAUGCGGACCAACUCGGAAGAAACCUUUUAGGGAGUAAUGCAACAUCUUGGACAAAAGUAGUGAUGGAUAUGUAUCCUCCUGGAACCUCAGUUAGGUAGGAAAGCUUCGUGUAUUGGCUGCUAAUACUUGUAUCUUGCAGAUUUUCCACUUCGUUAGUUCCCCAUGUCUUUGAUUAAGAAAGAGAGACAGGGAGGUUGUAAGUUGGAAUAAGUGCUAGACUACCUCUUCCAAUUGUGACUUUCAUUUUAAUAGUUAUUUUGUCUAACUUUGAUCCUGUCUUCCUUUCAUUUUAGAAUUUUUUGUUUAUUUAUUUAUUUGUUUCCCCUUUACCCCUUCUUUUUGGUGGUUUUGGGGUGUUUGUGGCGGAUGGAAUUGCUGUCAAAAGCCACACCAAUUUCCCAACUGAUUGUUGUUUUUUACUUUUUCAGAACCUGGACUUGCUCCUACUGCAAUGUUGUGCAGGUAGAUUGUUUUAGAUUUUCUCUGACUUUCUAAUUCGGAAUAUAGCUUAUCUUAAGAUUAUAGGUUGCUGGAGUGUCCAUCGGUUGGCGAAAGUUGUAAGUUGGUCAUUUGAUAGCUGUUGAUGUUUCCUGCUGCUUCUCUGUUGGCAAAUGUUGAUGGAGCAUGAAUAUAAACUGAUAUGACAUUGCAAGGAGAGAAAAUUGGUCACAUAGUCAAAUAUUAUUAUUUUUUUUCGUUUUACUCAAUUUCAUGCAAUUAACCUCCAAAAUCAAAAGCAUUCUGAUGCCAUUAGAAUCUGAUUAUUUAGAUUGACUUUGCCUUUGGAUGACAUUUUGUCCUAGACUGGUAAAAUUUCUCUAGAACAUGCUUGCUUCUUUUAGCAAAGCCAAUGCAGCCUCUCUCUCUCUCUCUCUCUGUGUCGUCUGUGUCUCUGAGAGAGAGAGAGAGAGGAGGCUGCAUUGGCUUUGCUGACAUUCCCAGCUGUACUUUGCAAAGACACAGCUCGUAGUCUAGCUUUGGUAAUUGAUAAAUCCAAUCGCAUUUCUGUUAUGCAUUCAUAUUAACUGAGAGAUGAGGAGUCACAAUUGUUCACUUGCUUUUCUGACUUAAAAAUUUUUUUGUCAUCUCCUUCUCAUGGUUCGGUUAGUUGAAAGUCAGGAUGGUGGUACAGUUGUGUUAUUAGUAGGUUGUAUUUUUAUUUUAUUUUUGUUUACUUAUUAUUGUUAUUAUUUUUUUUUGGUGCUCUGAAGUUGUUAUCUUUAGAUAUCCAACAAAUAGUUUUAGCUUGACAGUGGAUAUUAAUCGAUUUUUCCAACUUCUGUACUGAUUCUUGUAGUUGAUGUGGUAUGAAGUUACAACUGAUGCGAGAAAUCAUCGCAGUGUCACACUUUGCUGCUAUUUUUUUCCUUCUCUGUAAGCCAAUGGCUUCAGGAUCCAUGUUGAUUAAUCUUUAGAUGGCUUUCAACAAAUUUAUCAUAUAAAAUUUGGUUUAGUUAGCUAACUACAAUGUACUAACUGUUAGGAUUCUGCUAACUUUGAUGCUUGGGCUGCAAAAAUCAAUUCUUGAGAACCUUUUAUGGCAAAUCCUCAUGGUUGUUUAGUUUUUGCAAUGGUUUGUCCCAUGAAUUUUGUAGUGCCUGAUCUCUUUCUGAUUGUAAAACUGUUGUAGCCCCCACGAGCAAAGCAUUGCCAUGAUUGCGACAAAUGUGUGCUUCAGUUUGAUCAUCAUUGUGUCUGGCUGGGGACAUGCAUAGGACAGAAUAAUCACUGUCGGUUUUGGUAAGUGUUCAUUCUCUUUGUUACUUCUCUAGCUUCUUCUGUUGCUUAUCCUGAUAAAAUUUGGUUGUUUGUUUUACCAGGUGGUACAUUUGUGAGGAGACAGCAUUGUGCCUUUGGACCGGUAUCUUAUACAUUUCAUAUCUCAAAUCAAAUAUAACAAAGGCAUGGUAAGAAUCUGUCUAAUGUGCUUCAUACAUCACUAUGAAUAUUAAUAUAUUUUUUCUUGUUUCUUAUUUCUCUGUGUCUCUGUUUAUUUGUUUAUUAUGUAUGUUUCCUGUUUAAAUUUGGGUCGUGGUUUUGUGUAGAGGAGGUUGUUUGAUGUGCCAUGGUGAAAAUUCUUUUGACUUCCUUGUAAAUGAUAAUGGCUUCUUUCAGGUGGGUCGAUGUUAUUAUGAUUUUGCUGCUGGCUACUUUAUUUGUUUCGCUUAUCUUCCUAGUUCUCCUCCUCCUGUUUCAUAGGUAAGUGCUCUAAUUUCUUUAGGAUCAACAGUUCCUUGCAUAUUUAUGCAAUUUGUGGGUGCAAUCUGUCUUCUUUAGGUGGAACAUGCGAAAUUAACGUCUGUGUAAAAGAUUGUCUGGUUGUUCCUGUCACAUGCUUAUUGGGAUGUUGAAAGUGUUGAUCCCACUUUGAAAUGGAUCUACCAUUUUCUUUUUUGAAAGUGCUGCUAUUUUUUUGUCUAGUUAACAUAGUGAAGAGACCUUAGCUUCUUCUGGUAAGGACUAUCUGAAACAUGGUGAUGUAAGUUGGAACUUCUUAUGGCUAAUUAAAGUAAGCGUACCUUAACAUCAAAAUUCUGUUACCACUAUAUAUGAGGCAUUGUUAUACUCUUAUGGUGUGUAAAUAUUUUCAGAAUAUGUGAUGAAGUACAGCUUUUGGAAAAUCAAAAUUCUGAAUUUUUUAAGGUGGAAGUUGAGGUUAACAAUUGAAUUCAAUGGACAAUUAACCAUUUCCCUGAAACUUUGUUUGUUGAACAUGUUGCAAAUAUUGACACAUUGCCAACGCGAACCACACCUGAUAGUUAUUUUUGCAAUUGUCUGAAUAAGUAUCUUUGCCUUCAUCUGCAUUGUCUAAAAGGAAGUUCAUUUUGAAAGGCUGCACUUUGUAUGAGCUUUGGGAGCUUGGGUGAAUUUGGAUAGGCGUUAGGUUCAUCACAUGCUUGUGCGGUGGUGUAAUCAAGUGUGGUUUAGUUAUCUAAGGUCCUGCUCCAAAACGUUCUUGGCAUUGUGCAUCUAAAGUUUUCCUUGUUUCCUUCAGAUUAAUGAAUUGUGAAAAUUUUCUUGUCUUCUGUAACAGCUAUCUCAUUAUGACAAAUCAAACAACCUACGAACUUGUAAGGCGAAGACGCAUUCCUUACCUGAGGUCAGUUGGACGCUUCUGUAUGCCUUUCAGUUUGGACAACACUUUGUACCAUCUGCCUUCCUAUGCAAUCAAAUUGAUAGUUGUUGUUUAUAGCAUGACUAUACAUCUGCAUCGAGUCAGUUCUGGUUGACCUGAAACACUGCUAUGUUGAGCUGCAGGGGAAUUCCGGAAAGAGUUUAUCCAUUUAGUCAAGGAGUAUGCAGAAAUUUGUACAACUUCUGUUUAGCCCGAAGCACGUAUUACAAGAUGGAGCGUUUGCCAACAGCACAGGAACUGGAGGAGAAGGCAAGGCCUUAUACAUGCUUGGAUGCAUUAACUUGUCGAUGUUGUUGAUGAUUACUUGGCGUUGGGCCUUUAGUUUUCAUUGUAUACUUUUCCGUGUUGCAAAGAAUGGUCAUCAUUUUACAGUAUGUCCUGCAUUUGUUUAUUCAACGCUGGAGAUGGUGAAGUCAAUUUACCAGUUUUGCUGGACCAAAACAAAAUGUAUUUUUCUUUUUUUCCAUAUGCAAACUCGUCUCAUUCUUAUUGUUGGCUCCUUAUUUCAAAGAGUUUUCUUGAAUAUUUGCUGAUCGAGAGUCGAGACGCAGAGGGUAUUGAAAGCAUGGAACUCAAGUUGAUCAUAACAAAAAGAAAAAUCAUCAGACGGGCAUCAAAUUUCUCAAAGUAAUUUCAUUUCCUUUGAAAUUCCCAUUCCUUACAAGCUUUGAUUAAUUUCAGCAACUGCGUCAGAGCUCUGUACUCUACCGUGUAGCGGCUGGUCUAUCCAACCUAUCUAAUUCUACAAAACUCAAUUGGAAAGGAUAAAAAUGUAAGCACAACUCAAUUCAACCGGGCAAGAAAGCCAAGGGAAAAAAUGCUGUGCAACAUGUGAAUAUACAAUAUGGCUGAAGCGUGUAAGCAUCACUUCCCGCCAGUCUUCCACUUUUUGGGAAAGAGAGUUACAGUUUUGGUGGGACUACGACUUCCUAUCUCUGCUGGUCGUAGCAUAGAGAUAGGAGCUUGAUGUUGCUUCUGAUAUUCCUUGUCAUCCGUCAAGUGUUUCAGCUCAAAGCUUCCCCUAGCAAGACCUCUGACAACCUGAUGUAUUACGCGUUAGAGAACAAAGGCAGGCAUGCAUAUCUCAAAAAUUUACAAAAGGAAACUGGAUCCAUGACAAGUAUAAUCAAAGAUCAGAUUUUGGAGUUAGAUUGCCAGUUUUUAACCAACAUUCAUCGUUUUUUAUCUUCCGGCUGCAAAAAACCAACAAGUUUGAGUUGGUCCGUUUACUGCAAGAAACUAACCAUGUAUAUUUGUUCGAUCAACUGUUAAACUAGAGGUUUAUUUAAGAUCCUUAACAAACCCCCAAAAAAAACAGAAGAGGGAAAGGUAAAAAAGUCCUGUUGAGCAGGAAAGUAGAAAUACAGGCUAGUAGAGGAUGAUUGGCUUACCUUUAGAAGAAUCCAGACCUUGAGAGAACUACUCAAGACUGCAAGCUUUGUCCUCUUUCCUGAAGUUAGAUAAUUACACAUGUAUCGAUCAACUCUAAGAAUAAAUCUUGGCCAUGAAUUUGGUUUUUCAGGGUCUGCCUUCAGUUCCAUCAUUGACUGAGUAUACGGACAAAAAUUAGAUAUGCCAAUAACAAAAUGGACUAGAGAAUAAAGUAUUAUAGAAUCAACACAGAAAGAUCACAUAAAUGGUAAACCAAUGGAAAACAUGAUUUGGCAGGAUUGUAGUGAUAGAAUUUAUACUCUAAAGAAGUUAGCUACCAUGUUCUGACCAUCAGAAGCAGAGUGUAUCUCCAAGGACAAUACGUAGCGAAGAGACUCCAUAAGGUCCAGACUUACCGACUUCAAUUCAACCGGUUGGUGCCAAAAAAUUAAUAUUUAGAAGUAAUCCCCCACAAUUUUAUAAUUUAUGAACCAACCCAAUACUGUCCAACCAAAAACACAGUCAGGCUACGCUCUGUGGCCUAAUCUCUGAUCGCUUCCUGUUUCUCCCUCCAACUCAGUUUUCACCAUCAGCUUAAAGUUUAUCAAAGCCUCAAGAGUCAAGACUUCAGUUUCCACCACAUAAGUGAUGGCUUAGCCACAGCCAACAAUUCAAGCAACACAGAUUUUCAAUUUGGUACUACUAUAUUAGCUUUUUCUCCUGUAUAAAUUUGUUCAACUUUCAAUAACUCCAAUGGAAGACGAGUAAAACUUUAAAGCCCAGUAAUAAACAAACCAAAUUUUGUAUAAGCUCACUAAAAGUUCAAGUGGAAGACUCAAUUCAGGUGGAGAAGGGAGAUGCAGAGAAUUAAGAUACAGAGGGAGAUUUUGUUUGAUAAUACAGAUUUCAGCAUAAAAGUUUAAUGGGCAUAUUGUUUGCAGGAGGAGAAUGGAAGGAGGUGCGGAGUGCUUUAGCCAUGGCGCUGAAGAGAAGAAAGACGGGGGUGGUAGCAGGGGUGAGAUUGGAGGUUUGGGAGAGGUGAGGAAGAUGAGAAAGUUAAGAAGGUACUGAUUAACUGGAGAAGUCGGUAGCCCAUUUGUCUUGAGAAUAAAUGAAUAAUUGUACAGAUGAGACAGGUCUGUAACUUGAAUUAAAGUUACAGUUUGUAAUUUAAUCGUUUUCCCUAUCUACAAAUAUUACCACUAACAGCUUUUCCUAUAUUAUUAUUCUGAAAGCAGUAGGUUCUAAGGCGGCAUAAUAUUUACUGAUCACGGUAUCCCCCCUUCCCCUUCCCCACAAGCCAAAAAGUAGGAGGAGAAAAGAAAGAGAAUGGUCAUACCAGCAGCCGGCAAAUUUCACGUUCAACUUUAGAGAAUGAAGUCUCUAAAGCUUCCACUCUACCAGUGCCACAACAGCAUGUGCAUGGUUCACUGAUCAUAAAAGUCACACUAGGUCUAACCUGAACACAGCAAAUGUAAAAAUGAUAAAUUAGGACUUAAUCCUAAUGAAUAACUGAUGUAGCAAAUGCUUGCUCUUCAUCAGUGAAAGAGAACCAAAAAGUUAAUAAAAUCAGAAACAGAAAAGAAAAUCUAAGUGGUCAACUCACCCUCUUGCGAGUGAUCUCCAUAAGCCCGUGCCUCGACAACUCAGAAACUUUGACCCUCGAUCUAUCUCUCUCUACAGCCUUUUUAACUUCUUCAUACACCAAUCUUUUAUUUGCUAGAAGUACAAGAUAGGAGUCAGCGCACAUAUUCACGUAUAUAUUUUGAUAACUGUAAGGAAGCGAAAAAAACUGGCAAAGACAUUCGCAUUAUGAUCUUCAGCUUGUAUUACAUCACGUAAAUAUUAUAUAUUUUACUGUAGAGAUAGCUUUCAACCAUAGGACUGUAAGGAAAGAGAAUUGUAAUGGAAAAACGAUUAUAUCCACUUGCAGGUUCAAGAUACCACUUUCAUAGGAGAGUCCAAGUCACAAGAAGAUUUACCAAUUUAAAUUAGGCCACAAAUUUAUAUGUUCACAACAUUCACUUUCUUUUUCCAUCAACAAUUAGGUCCCCCCCCCCCCAAAAAAAAAAAAACAUCCCCCAGCAACCUUGAUUUCUCCACCUCAACCACCAACAACACUAAAGAAACAGAAGAGGUGUUGGCAGGAGGGAAGGAAAAAGCUUAAUAUAUGUUGUCCGUACUUGUUAAUUGUUGCAAUCCACCUUGAGAUUUGAUUAUCCAAUCAAUGAUCUAUGAAGCAAUUUUAAUCUGUCCUUCAAAGCUGCUUUCUUUGCAGUUAAAUAUCAUGUUCUACAAAGAUGCUGCAGAUUAAUAAUAAAUAGCUUAAAGACUUACAAUCAUCUUGCAUGUCAAUGAAAUCAACGACAAUAAUGCCACCAAUGUCUCUCAGCCUCAGUUCCCUAGCAAUCUGUAAUAAAUGAAAUGCUCAGUUUAGUUAUGAAGAACUAAACAGACCAUCUAGUGAUAGUAAAGCAUGGUGGCUAUGUCACACAUAACCUAAAUCAGAAGAGUACUACCAGCAUGGCCCAUAUUUUGGCGACAGCACCACAUCAUGGAGGCAACCUUAGACUAAACCUUUAUCAAAAACAAUCAUGGACACUAUAAUAAGGCAAUACAAUAUGGAUUUCAUUCAGGACCUUAGCCAUGCACUUCAGUGAAUGAGGUCAAAGUGGUUGAUUAAAACUUCAACUAACACAUGAAAAGUACUGUCCUUUCCUGUAGCAUCUUACUGAUCAAUCUAAUUCUUCACACAGUAUUCAGUUUGAAUAAAUAGCACUUUUUUUUCUUCUUCUCUCCCCAACUUGGCACUUCUUGCCUAAUAUCGUACAAAAGCCAUUUUUAUCAGAAACAGAAUGGGCAAGAAACUAAAAGUCUUCUAUCCUUGUUGCUACAUAGGCAAGUCAACCUUAGUUCGCUCAUAAUUUUCCUGCAUUCAAGUUUUUCCAUCAAGAAUUGUGUCCAUCAACCCUUCUUAGCUAUGUCCAAAAUUUGGGCCGUUAUCUAUACGAGACAUCCUUUUGCAGUGAAAAAACAUCUAAAAGAUAAAAAGCUUUGGAAGUUAGCUGUAGCAGUUCAUUUUCCCUAUUCAGUGCUCAAUAAGCAGGUAGAGAUGUAAAAUGUAGUCCCCUAGCUAGUGAAAACUGGGUAAACAAUUGUUUUUGCUUGCAGAUAUGACAAAAUCCUUGAAAGAAGAUCAUAUAAAAACUUCAUAAGUCUGCAGGACAAACAAAUUGCAAGAUUCACAUUAUGUAGGGAAAGAAAAAUAAAAUAUUAAAUUGAUGAAGACACUUUACAUGCACAUAAGAGCAAGGGCUAGGAAAAGAAAAUGUAUUUCAAACACCAUCUCCAGCAUAUGAAGUAUAAGUAGAUGUUGAAGUAAAAAGAAAAAUUAGUUUCUGUACUUGUUUGGCAGCUGCAAGGUUGACAUCAAGAAUAGCUUUUUCUUGGGAAGUCCCAUGACCAAGCAUACAAUGCCCCCCAUUCACAUCAAUGGACACUAAUGCCUCAGUUUGUUCAAUCACUAGAUAACCUCCAUUAUCAAGUGGAACCCUGCAACCAUGGGAUUUUAUUAGCACAAUGUGGAAGAACAUCAUAUUCAUAUCUGAGACUAAGUCAAUGGCAAAUGAAUAUGCAAUAAAAUAAUUAGAAAAGACCAGGAAACAGAAAUUCUCAUUCCCAGAAAUGGUGUAAAAGACAAGUAAUGAUAAGACCUAUCUACCUCCCUUCACCCCCAUACCCAAAACGACAAGAAACAAAAGGUUUAAUAUAAAAAAGAAAUAAUCCUUUCCGGGUUGAUUAGUCACCAAAAAAUAAAUCAUUUGAUCCCAAGUGGAAGAUCCUUAUCAGAAAAGCAUGUUCAACAAGGUAUGAUAGACUUAGAAACGUCAUCAAAAAUAAGGAAAGUAAAACAUCCAAGGGAAUGCAAAUAAACUAAAAUAAGCUCACAAAAACCAAGUUCUCUUCGCAAGAUUCAAACUUAUCAAGCCUAAUGUCAAACAGUUGCUGCUUCAACUCUUAUCUUCAAUAAGAACCAAAAGGUGAAACACAAGAUUCAAGUUCUUUGAAUGCUUAUUCUUUUGACUGAAAGUAGUAAAAUAGUUUAGAAGCUAAUUCUGUAACCUGAUAGAUAUGCAGUUCAACAGGUGCAAGCCCUGUCAGAAAACCUAGCAUGUGAAAUCAGCUUAUAAUACAGCAAUAAUGCCCCCCAGUAAAGAUUUUCAUAAUUGUCCACUCAACAUAAAGACAUCAGCUCUCGUUUUUCUUAUACGUCAACCUAUUUGGUCUCCAUAGACCAUGAUCACCAACAUCAUUCUUCCUUCUCCAGUGUUUGCUGAUUCAAUCAUUUAAGGAAUUGUAAGGUUUAAAUUGUGUUUUUAAUUCUAUACAGCAAAACUAUCUUGACAAACAGACUUCUGUUUCACUUGUAUGGAAACAUGAUGUUUAUUAGUCAUAUGUCUCCAUAGAGGAUGAUUGUAUUACACUAGUCGUUGCAUAAGUCAGAUACAGCAAGUUUUUUGAUGACAUAUUAUCAACUUAAAAUUUACUUUUGUACUACAGCUAAAAAGCCAAUGACAUGUAUUUUGACACAAUAACAUACUAAAAAGUAUCUGCAUUGUUAAUAGGAGGUUUUCCCACCUUUUACUCAAGAUGCUAUCUAUUUCUUCCUCAAGUUUAUAUUCAUCAAAAAGUGGAGAACUUUUGCUGUAUAACUCAACUCUGUCACAAAGAUUAGGAGCUAUUUCCUGGAGAUAGUUUGUAACCUGCAUAAUGAAACUAGAAAAGUGAACCUCAGUAAUUGGAUGUAGAUAAAAGUAUAUUGAUCAGAAGAACAGUAUCACAUGAUCUCCCAAAAGCUAUUCACUAAGAAGCACAAUGCGAAAUUAAAUAUUCAUUCUCCAAAAGAUGAGGACAUGCAGCCAAGUUGCAACAUUGUAACAUGCUGUUCCUGAAUAUGUUAUGCCGUAUCAUUGGGAUUCACAUGCAAAAUAUUACAUGGGAACAUAUUCAAAAGCUAAUCAAUUCCACUUUCAGACUGAUCCCAGUGACAGCAUGAACAACCUCAAUCAAUGUCUAGUAACAUUAUUUCCUUUCUACUUCCACCUAUUUGUACAAAUUGUUAAACCAUGAGCCCUCAUCAUUUGUCUGUACUUUCUAGAUUUGUGAAGAAACAUUUAGGUCCCUUUACAUCAAGCUGUCUUAACUCACAUACUGUGGUAUCUGAGGCAAGGGAGCAGAAAUUUGAAUUCAUUAAAUCAGACAACCUAUACUAUAUGGUAAGGAAGUUACAUCACAAACUAUCCAUUCCCUGGACAAAUGUCAUACCUCAUGAUAUGUCCUUGGAGAAUCAACUAUCAUGCUCUCCACCUGAAACAUGUCAAAAAGAGUAAACAAAAAGAUCACUUAUUCCAGAGAUCAUGAGUGCCGGCAAUCAGAUCUCCCAACCUACUAAAAAUAAACCACUUGAACUACAAUAACUGACAGCUAGGAAUGAGCUCACCUUCUCACUGAAGUAGUCCUGGACAACUGAGAGUGUUUGACCCAUUGCCUGAUGCAACAGAAUUGGCACUGCUCCAUCUACACCUUCGUCUGCAGCAAGGGCAGCAGACUUAGCAUGUUCAACUAUACUCUUCCAGGUUGAAAGCAAGCUCUCUAAAUCCUUCUGUAAUUCCUCUAGUGAAUGACCAGCGGCAACAGUCCUUACAGUAAGACCAAAUCCUGGAGGCUGCAGAGUUUUUGCCAUGACUCUCAAUCGUGUUCGCUCAACACCAGAAAUUUUCUUUGAAAUUCCAAUUGUAUUGCAGCGAGCAAUCAAGAUCUGCAAGAGAACAAUGACAGAUCAAUAAACUAGACGUUUUGCACAAAUUGAGCAUGAAGCACAAAACCAAUAUAUAAAUAAAUAAACAUAUAUUUGGAAUACCCAGAAUCUGCUUCUUAGCUUUGGAUAAGCAGUCAGUGUGGGGCCUUUGGUACCCAAUCCUUCUUUGACAACUUGUACAAUUAUCUUUGUGCCCUUUUGUACCUGAGUCCACUUGGUUCCAUCCGGACUUUCAACUUUACAAUGAUCAGCUUUUUGGUCUAUAGUUGCACCUGGUGUUUGGUAGCCAUUUCCACUUAAUUUCUCCAAAUACCUCUCAGAAUUAAAUUCAAAAGCAUCACCAGCACAACCAUUACAGUUUUCCUUCAGGACUUGCAGAAUCUCGCCACCCUCAUCAUUUUCAUGCUCCCCAAUGUCAUCAUCCAUGAACUCUUCUGAAUCAACCUCGCUUUCGUCAUCCCCAACAAAGUCAAUUUCUUCAAUUUCAUCAGAAAUGGUUUUGUUAUCAGGAACACCUGCAUUCUCUCCAAGCCUGGCAACAACAGAACCAUUUACAUUUUUGUCCUUUCUUUGAUGGCAAAAUGGAGGAAAUAUAAAUGGUUCUCUCUUUGGCUUUAUAUCCAUAAGAGAGGGUCGUGGACCGCCAAUAUUUACAAAUGCACCACCCAUGUGGGGAACCAGUUUUGUGACUACUCCUAGAUAUACACUAUCACAUUGCACAUUAUUUUUUACAGGUUCCAGCAACAACUCAACCAAUUUCCCAUUUUCCAACACAGCAAUUCUUUGCAUGGUGCAUAUAGAAGAGUUAAUCAAUAUCAUUGUGGUAACUGAAUCCUCCUCAGAGAUCACAGGGUCUUCAUCAUCAGCAAGGAGCUUCUCUGGAGUUUGUCCAUGUUCAUCAACAAUACAUGGUGGAGUUUCCCUAUCUUCUGAACACUCUUCAUUUUCAGGGAAAUUGCUAACUGUUUUGACAUCAGAACUACAAGAGUGAAAUGUUUGGAGCAGCCAGGGCUCCUCAAUGGGUUGGUCAACCUCAUAAAAUGUUCCAUUAGCAUUAAAGCUUUCAUUUGCUGGACUAACAGUGCCCUCAGCAUUAGGAUAAAAGUUCUUUUUUGUGGAUUGAGACAAGAGCUCCGAACCUAUAGUUUCACAAUUAAGGUCCUGUCUUAUCUCACUUUCACUCCUCGGAACACCUGAAGCAUCUGAAUCCACAAAAGGAUAAGAGAGUUGAGAAGACAACCAAGGUUCCUCUAAGAACUCAUAAUCAACUGAAAACUUUUCUCUAAAGUCCGGAGACUUUCUGGAUAUAGUUUUAAUGGCCUUGCAGAAAAACUUAUGAUCUUGAAGCUCUUGAUGCGAGACUGAGGAAUCACUUCUCAAACAUUUCAUAGUGUUGCAUUUAUCUGUCAAAGCACUGAAAGCAUUUGAGUGUUCAGCAACAUAUUACCACAGAGUGCGUCAAUAAGAAAGCCAUUGUUUGAAAUAGUACCUCUAGUUGGAAGGCACAGAGGGAGCCAACUUUCCAUGACACUCGACCUAAUUACAUGUGCUUGUGGCUUUCUGCUAUGACAUCGAGCUAAUGAGUUCUCCACUAGAACUUUUCUGAUACGUUUAUUAGAAGAAUACAGUGAAAUGGAGAAGAUAAGUUGAGGUUUCCAGAGGAUAUCACAUGAAGUCCACAUCUCUCCUUUCAUCAAGCAAUUACAAGUACUGUUUCCGACCCUGGGUAUCUGCUAUAACCAAGACAGUAACAUGCUUAUGAGCACAACGUAUUACUGGACUAACACAGUAAGGAAGGCAAUGUCUUUAAUGAAAAAUUUCCAACUGAAAAGUACUCUUCAAGGGAUUAAAAAAUUGCUAUAGUUUUAAUAUCAAAACAAGAAUUUUCCAAUAUAUAUAAUCACCCUCGACAGAAAUGAUGGAUUCUAUUGACUUUGUUCAAUAGAUGACUAAUCAAUUAAUCAUAAUAGUUCUGAAAAAUGAAAAAAAAAAAGUACCUUCCUUGUACUAUACAGGCCACUGCAAUCUGCAGAAGACAAGAGAAUAACCAUCUCCAAAUGUUGACCAUGAGCAUAGACGGCAUUUCCGAGCCAAAGUAUGUCAAUUGAUCCUUUGGAAAUAACUCAGUCUCUUGAGAAAUCAUAAUGAAGUUCAUUAAUCAUCCAUCAGCACUGAGGGUAGCAAGUUUUCUGGGGGAAAAAUGAAGAAUAUCAAUCUGAGUCUGCAAAACAUCCACUCUUGUGAAAAUACUAGUACAGUAGCUUAUGCAAUGUUGUUUUAAAGCCUAGAAAAGCUGCCGCUAAAUAACCCCCUUACUCAAGCAUAUAAGCUCUAUGCAUUGCAGUUUAUUCUAAAACCACCAAGAGCGCAGUUGAUUAGAGCAAACUUUCUGGCACCAAACAAAGUAUAAGCGCAGCCCCACAUCUAUUUAAAUGCGGUAACUUCAACUUAUGCAUACAACACAAUCUUAAUAAAUAGCAUUAUGGUGCAAAAAAGCAAGAAAUCAUCAAAGUUAGAAACUUCGUGACUUAAUUUCGGCGUUAUGCCCUGGAAAAUCCAAACAAGCACAUAGCAAUCGAAGAAAAUAAACCACUGACCAAAAACAACAAACAACAUAUAACCCUAUAAAGGCACUCAUUAUUGAAAACCCAGAAGCCUAUUCCUUCAAGAAACAUGAAUACAUGCUAAAAACAGCAGCUUGUCAAAUAAUUCAGUACAAGACUAGAGUUUCACGCCAGCCAAUACAAAUAGAUGGUUGGCUGGCUUUGCAUGGAAAAACAACCUGCUGAUAAUCCAAGAAUAUUAAGCUGGAACGAAGAAGAAGACCAAGGAUUUUUUGUGGAGUUUUAUCAGCUUUUGUCCAAUGGGGUACUACUAAUUCGCACUCAACUGCAGGGAGCUAUGGAAACGGCUAGCUCCAUUAUACGACCGCGAAGAUAAGGCAAAGAUGGAGAUGGGGUACAUAUGUAUUUUAGAUCAGAAUGCGUGGACAAAACGGUCUUUCCAUUCCAUUGUUUUUCCUCUUUUGGACCUAUUUCAUACUAACAAAAUUUACGUUUGAAAAAAAAAAAAGGGUUCUACGUUUGCUUUUCCAUUUUUAAUCUGCACUUUUUCCUUUCUUUUAUUUUCCGUUCAAGCUCUAAACUAUUCGAUCAGAUCACUAUUCGGAAUGUUUGCUCUUUUUUUUGUUUUUUUUUUUUAUGUCACUCUCCCAUUCAAUGAUGAAAUGAUUCUAAACGUAAAAUGUUUUUUUCCAAAAUUUUUCUUGAAGAUGUGAUAAAUCGGAUUGCAUUUUACUAGUUGAUCAUUUCAUGAAAAUAAAAAAUUUUGAAAUAUUUCCUUGACAUAUUUUUUAAUUAACUUAUUUCACAAAUCACAUAUAAUUACAGUAGUAUAUUUUUCUAUAAAACUCUUAAAAAUUGCAAUUUCAGUCCCAAUUAAUAUUGUAAUUUUUUAACGGAUAUGUCUUUUUCUUUUCUAUUCUUUUUUUCCGAUUUGAAGUUAUAGUGACACAAUAUUUUAAUUGUACAAAUAUGAAAAAUUAUCCAUGAUUAAUUUACUGGACAUUAGAGAAGGAAAACUACAAAAGUGACUGCUAAUUUUAUUCCUUAAUGCAUUAUAUUAGUAUAUCCAUUAGGAUGGACGAGUACAAAAUGUUGCAAAUAUAUAAUAGUAGCAGCAGCUAUUCUUUAAACUUCAUACUACGAUCCAGCCUUAUAUAUAACCUCUGUAAUGAAUUGACUACAACAUACCCCAAAAAUAGAAGCAGAAAAAUCCAGCCUUAUAUAAUCAAACCAUAACUAUCUAAGACUUGCGGUAUUUGAGAGCUUCAAAACGGGCAGCAAGAGUGUCAUAGUCUGGUAAUCUUGGGUGAACUCGAGGAAAUGAAUCCCGUUUGCCUUGCAUUCCAGGUGCCUGUGGUGCAGGCCUGUGAGGGGGCUGGUUCAUUCCUUGUCCAGGUUUUUCCAUCUCAAUUUCCUCAUCAACGUCUGAUUCAUCAAAUUUGACAUCUGACUUUGCAGGAGGGACAGUGUAGCUGUGCCUUCUAAGAUUUAAAGGUGGUUCUUCCACGUCAAUUUCGUCGUCGCAAUCUGAGUCGUCAAAUUUGAUAUCAGAACGAGCAGAUGCAACAUUAUAGCUAUGCCGUCGAUAAACCUUUGGUGUGUCGAAAUUGUUAUGCUCAGCACUUGAGGGAUGAGAAUUUUCAGAACUCCGCCGCUUGAUGCUCUUCUGGACCUUGUAUUCAUCAUCACCCAUCAUUUCAUCAUCUUGGGCCAUGUCAUGAGGCAUAUAAAUGCCAGCAGAAUUGGACCUCACAGAACUGAUGAAUUUAUUCAUGUUUGCGCCAUUCUUACUGUUGUGAAAACCAGAUGCAUGCGCCUCUUUACCAACCAGAUAGGCAGCAGCUUCUGCAGCAGCAAUUGCUUCCUUCGCAGACUUGGCAGCAGCUUCAGCAGCUGAUGCUGAGUCUUGAAAAUGCAAGGUUUUGCUUUCUCCAACACCUGGAUGCCUUUUUUGUUUCAUAUUUUUCAAAUUGUAUGUAGGGAAUACAUAUUAGCCAAAGUUGAUAUAAAUUAAACAGAAAAAAAAAAAAUGUUGACUAGAUUUUUCACACUGGCAAUGCCACAUAAAGGAUAAGAAGUUUGACAUGUCAAUUUAGCAAUUAUGCGGCAGACAAAUGUUUAUUAUCUUCCCAUGUCUACACCUGACGGACUUAUCAUCAGGAAUAGGCAUACAUGCCCAAUGAAAAACAAGAAACCCGAAGUCAUAGAAGCCAGUCUCUGACACAUCAAAUUUACAAGGAAAUCUGGUAUUUCUGUUGCUUCUACACGUUUCUUUUUUACCCGAAAUGAUAUCAUAAUCGGUAUGUUGGUGCCUUACUUGCUGGUCAGAGGGGGUUCUGGUGCCACUGAUUGAUUCAUGACUGGCUUGACAGGUAAGCUGGAAGCACUUGCAAAAGUAGUUGGUCCUUCCUGGUAAAAUUAGAGAGCAAAGCUUGAUAAAAGGGCAUAUAGAAAUUCUUUUAGCAUGAAAUAAACUUGGACAGAGUAAGAGAAAGAAAAAGAGCCAGAAACAUACUAUACGCUCUUCUGGAGGCUUGAGCAGCUCCACCUCAGAUUCUGUUGUAUCCCAAUCAACCUGGUAUUCCUUUGCUAUCUCUUUCAUAACUUUCAAUUUUACUUCACCAGAUGGUGUUCUAACAGAAAGCUUUUCAAUAAGCUGGCAAAGAAAGCAAGAUUUCAAUUUUUCCUUUCCCAUUUAGAGCUCACAAAGGGAAAAGAACUUAGCAUUCUUCAAUAUGAGUUUGUGAUGUAGUCUGUCUAACAUGUGCUAAGAAGAUAAACAGUAAAGACGGUAUAUGAUCAUUUCCAACCAAAGAAGUAUGUAUGCACUGGAAAACAAGUUAAUUAGAAAGCAAACUUCCAUGAAAAAACAACUUAAUUACCAUCCGGUUCACUCCAGCAUUGGGUCGUAGAUCAGUAGCUGCAGAUACAAAAUCUUUUCCAUAUUUUUUCUCAAAAACAUCCCGAAUAGCCAAGAGUUCUGGAAUCUCUGAGCAACGAGGGCCAGCAAAGAUCAAACUUGAUAUCCCUUCUUUCAGGUCAGCAGGGCAAUCCCUGAAAUAAAUGCAGGCAAGCACUAAAAGUCUUCUUUAACUCGAUCAUUUGUACUUUUUUCAGUAAUAUGAAAAGGUAAAUUUCCUACAAACCUUCGCUUUGCAAUAAUCUGAAGUCGGGCCACAAUGAGUUCACAGAAAAGCUCAAUGAACUCAUUUGCAGCCAUAAUGUUCUGUUCUCUUAUUACAUGUUCAACCUGAAACGGUGAAAAAGAGUGUGUUAAGGACUAGUUAGAGCUUAUUACGUAGUCUCAUCAGAGUCCUUCAGUUUAACUUAAAUUAACAAGUACGAAAAAAUAUAGCCAAAAAGCUAUAUAUAUUAAGAUUCACUCUUUUCCCUUCUCUUGUUCACACUCACAUCCACACAAGUAGUCAAGGACUUUUUUUUUUUUUUGUUUUUUGGAGGAAAAGAGGGGGGGUGUUUAAAUUUCGAGUAAGACUAUCACAAUUAUUGUAAAUAACCCUUCACAUACUCAUCCCAAUGAAGCACGAACUACUCCUAAUUUAGAAUCAUACUAAUGAGACAACAAGACAAAGUCAUCCAACAAAAUCCAACCUAUACCUUCAAUAGAUAACUACUUAACUGAAAUCACAAACUAAAACUAAGUUUAUACUCUUUCACAACGAAACCCAAGUUUAUGACUAAAAUAACAGAACCAGAAAAGGAAAAAAUGGAAUCAAUUAGCCAAGAAACGAACUUUUCCAGGGUUCCAUAUGAAAUAAUUAAAUAUCCAAAAAAUUGAACAAAGAAAGGGAUAUCAUGGGGGUUCAAGAAGCUUUCAGCAAAGAAAAGAAGAAGGUGAUUAGGGAAAAUUACCCUGACUCGAGCAGUAGCAUCCUGUUUUUUCUCAAGCAGCAUAGCUAUGUCUCUCCUCAUUUGCCUAAUCACCACCUCCCUCUUAUUCCUCAGUAGCUUUAUUCUUGCCACCGCCAUCUUCGCCAUCGUCUUGCUAUCCCAUUAAUAAAACGCAAAUGUAUGUACCAAAAAAAAAUUAGAAACCUUAGAAUUGGGGGACGCACAACUACUAACAGAAGCCAACAUGGGUUCUACAAGGAAAAAAAAAGUGAAAUUUUAAAGAUCAAAACCCAUUUGAGAGAAAAAAAAAAAUUACAUAAAAAGAAAAGAAAAGAAAAAACGAGGCUUUUCUAUUAGGAAAAAAAAUAGAAAUUUAGGAAUGAUAGCACACCUGAAAGUGCACAACUAUAAACAAAGAAAAGAUGGGUAUUUAAGGGGAAAAAGGAAGAAAAUUUAGAAAAUAAAGACCCAUUUGGCAAUGCAAAGCUAUUAGCAGAAACUAACAUGGGUUUGGCAACAAAAAGAUUGGAAAUUUUGCAAAUUAUAAAACUAUAUACCAUUUGGAGGAGUUGAAACGUCUGCCGAAGAGAGAAAGCCCGAUCUUCAUGGCCUUCUUGCACUGUUCAGUCGCUGCGCCUGCAAUAGUCAUUGCUCCACCACUGUGUGACUGCGUGCUGUGGCCUCUGCGUGUGUGUCAGUCUGAGCAAGUAUGGACUAUGAAGUAAGCCAGGAGAGGAGAUGUUGGCACGCAAGUAUAACGGUCGUCUAAUAGGGAAACAGAUUAAAAAUAUAAAUAUAAUUGUGAAUGGGUUAGUGACGUGGCGUUCAGUGGUGGGCCCAACGACAAAAGAGUGAGCCACCGACUAGAUUAAUUUUCCAUCUUCCGGCGCGAGCCAGGGUACGUCCAAGGAGCCGUUAACUGAUUUGACGGCCGGCAAAGGGUCAAUGCCUUAAUGUGGAUGUAACUCGGACCUUUUAGGAUCCAAUGCAAAAUGAUAGAAAAAAUUUCUAAUUUUUACUUUGCCUUUUGUUUUGGCUUUUGGGAACUAGUAUAGUGGGAUAAGAUUCAUUUGCUUGACUUCACAUUUGUACAUGCAUUUCUUCUUUUGUAUUUUUUUUUUUCAAUUAGAGUAUCACAACCUUUCAUCCAAACUAAUUUUCUAAAAUUGUAUACAAUCUUGUUCCAAAAAUAUACAGCGAGUCCAUCAUACAACUUUUUCGAACUUUUUUUUUCAAUAAAAUAUAAUAUUUCAGAAAUUUACACUAAUAGCAAAAAAUAUAUUGAACCGUCAAAUUUACGUUAAUAGUAAAAAUUCUCUUGCACAUUCUAUUCCUUGAAAAUUUGAGCUUCAGCUUUCUUUUUUCCUUUUCUAUUCUAUUGAGGGUACCAAAUUGCAGAGAAGCCAGGGCGAAAACUGAUCUCAAAGUAAAGGAACAUCCAUUAAAAAAACGAAUUGGUUAAUCAAGUGUAUCUCCUAUACUCGCUUAUAUUCUGAUAAUAUAAGAGGUUUUUGUAGGCUAUUGAUACUACAUUACAGAUUAUAUUUUUCGGGGUCGUUAUAUUUUGGCAUCCGUAGCAUACAUUUCUACAGUUUCUUGAACAAGACCAAACAAAGAAAAAGGGUGGACAGGGUAGGCAGAUUGAACUGAAAUUUCUUCUUCAGAUUCAGUUUCUUUCUGUUGCUAUACAAUUUUUUUCUCGAACAAUCAAUUCUGUGCGUCAUGGCUUUUGUAACACCUAAGACUAGAGAAUUUGAGAUACCAUAUGAUAAAUUUGGCACCUUAAGAUGUUCCUGCUGAGAGUAUGUUCAGAAGAGAUACUCUUGUGCGGAUCAAAUGUCUAAACAAAAGCUCUAAUCCAUUUUCAAGGCUCUCAAGUAUAGUUUCCAAGGCUUCCAACUUUCUUUGAGCUGAUUCAAUCCUCUCGGUUCCAUCAUCUUUGCAGGAAUCAUCAAUGAGUAAAUUGCCAAGGGCAAUAUCUACAUCUUCCAGCUCAUUCAAAUUAUUCCUUUCACCUUCACAUGCCAAUCCUCCUUUGUAAAUAAAAUUUGAAACCAAUGUCCAUCGAGUAGGUUUUAAUUUCAUCACUGGAACUGACAGAAAUAACAGCAGAGAUGAGAAAGUUGAGAUGUUCAAGAGACUCGCUUCAGUCAGGGCUCUGAGCACAAUUGACAGCUGAUCGUCUUCAGAAUUUGACAGAUGCAGAGGGACCAUUUUGUUAUCUACAUGCUUCAGCUUUGCAAGAGACCUUGAGAUCUCCUUCUGUAAGCUUUUUCUGGAGCACAUAAAAGAUGCUACAUCAGUUUCAGUUCUCAAUUCUCGCAGCUUGCUUCGUCGAAGAGAUGAUUGGAGCCCUUUAAUGCCUUCUUUCAUUUGCAUGACUGUAUCUCUUGCGUUGCUACAAACAUCUACGUAUCUCACAGAUUCCUCAACUAACUCAUUGACCAUGUGAUCUUGCUGAUGCUGUGAAAGGGCUUGUUGAGUCAGUGGCAACGCAAGAAGUUCCUCUAUGCCUUCAUGCAAUUCUUUAAGGCCUGACAAAGACAGGCAAAUCUUAUCCGCCUUGGAGAAGGAAGAAGAGGAUGUCUCCCAAGUCUUUAGCUUGUUCACCGCUUGCUCAAUCCUGAUUGUGCUAGGAUGUGAUCUUGUAGGCAAGCUGACAGAACGAACUCUGUAAUGGUUCUUGGAUUUUGGAUUGAACGCAGCCAUUUUUUCUUUUCUGAUAGUAUAGAUUGGUUCAAUACUCCAAUUAACUCCCUGAUUCAUCAUCUGCUCUAUUUAUACUACUAUAACACUCGAAAGAAAACGGGAGGUUGGGCAGGUUAGUAUUCAUUAUUAUGUCUUUAAUCAUAUCAAUGUGAUAAGCAUCUUCAACAUUAUGUUGGUUUUUUGUUGUCCUGCCCUCAACCAACAAAAGCAUUAACAACCACAAUAUUAUAUUGAUCCUAAGCUAGGUAUUCGGACAGGGUACAUUCAUUUUAGGCAAAAUUUUCAUGCACCAAUGCCACCGGCAAAAGGGCUCAUGAAUCCAGAAAAGUCGGUUAGGCAUGUAAAAGACAAUGGUGCCUUCCAAAGUUGUCUAGAUUGGGCGAACCUCCAUUAUAGACAUAAUUGUAGUGCCCUACAAGGAUGGCUUUUUAGAUAUUGAGAUCUAAGAGGGAUCAUAAAUUAUCAUAAUGAUUGAAUUGCCGACGAAUAUGGAUUGUGAAGGCAAAUGCAAUGUCAUAAAUUUUGUGCACGAGUGGCAAGUUAUUGCACUGUUUGCGCUGAGGUUUCAACCUGCUAAUGGUGAUGGAAAUGACAGCUGGUAUGUUUUGUUCCUGAUGCCUAGUUGCCUAAUACAAAAUUGACCAAGGGUUGCAAUUAAAGAAUUCUGUCUAAAUAAAUUAAUUAAAGAAAUUCUCAAGGGUUGAGAUUUUGCUCUACAAAAUGGGAUAAGUUGAGAAAACAACCAUUCGGGUCAAUAGCACAUACUGCAAAAUACCAUUGGAACUUUGAUGAUCAACUGAUGCAUGUGUAGUUAACUCCAGGGGAAAUAUUUUCAGGAAAAGAAAGUGGACAGAAAACAAAGAUUACUUCUAGGCUGAAUUCUCAGAGUCUCAACAAUGCUAAAGACUUGAAUGGCGAAUUUUACCCAAAUUCUGUGGAUGAUUUAAUUAGAUUAAAUUGCAUAUAUUACUUGAGAUGGUUAUCUAAUGUAAUUGUCUUCUUUUGUUUUUAAUUUUUCCCAUACUUAGCUUACUCUAUACUAGAAUUUGUCUCGGAUUGUUACUUUCCUUUGAGUGUACGAUUGAAUAAUAAUACAUAACAUCACCUUUUACGAACGUGGUGCAUCCCAUCUAUCAGUUAUUUUAAGCAUUUCAACUUUAAGCGAUUAGGCAAUAAUACGUUCUCAAAACCUGUCGAGAAGGAUAGAGAAUAUUUUUUUACCACAGGUGAAAACAAAAGAACAGUUGAAGAACUUGUCAGCACAUUUCCCAUGCCUAUGUUCAGACGUUGGACAGGGCUUAAUGGGUUUGGAGAAGAUUGAAGAGAUUAUUUAGGCAUUCACAAAAUGCUGCAGUCCUGUUAACUUGCUGCAGGAUUCCUUGGCUGUUGGUACAGAUGUACACCCUAUAUUGUCUGAAGUUUGUUGAGGUCUUAAUCAUCCAUUCUAGUCAUUAUCUUAAUGAAACCAGAGUUCAGGGUUCGACAUGGCCUUGCUAUUUUCAGAUUGAGAAAAGUGUAACAAGAGGAAUUUAUUUGUGUCUUGUUCCUUUAACAAUGUGUAGAGAGCAUCAGAGCAUGUGAUGCUACCCUGGCUCUCCUCUUAUGUUUGAUAUUUGGCCAACAAUGACUAAUAAUUUGCCAUUUCUUCUGCUCUCGUGUUCAUGAAAUUCUUCAGGUAGCAAGUACAGUCUUGCCCAUAUAUGGAAAUUCUUUUCAAGUUUUAGGAAGAUGGGGCGGUGGGUGGUCUUCUGGCGCAAUAAUUGCCACCUUGGCCUAACGUUAGCAACUGGGAUGUUGCAUAUGUUAUCUCUUCAUACUUAGAUGAAUGAUGGGGUAGUAUUAGAUGGAGACAUACAAGAGACAUUGAAACUAAAGUAGUUGAAGAAAUGUACUUGUGAUAUUUAAGGUAAACAAACAAAAUAUACAUAGACAAUUUGAUAUGCGCAGAGGAACGGGCAUCCCCUCCUCAGCUUUUCAUUUUCUCCUCCUGCUUUGGUCUAAAAUCCAAUUUGAUAACCCAGAAUUUCCUUCAGCAAAGCUUUUCCGGUAGAAGUCAAGAUAGAUACCCUCUGUCCUUUUACAACAUCUAAUUGUGCUGUUCAUUAUAGUGAUUAAGAAACCACAUUAUCUGAGUGCGACGAUACGAUGGAUAUGGUGGUUAGACAUUCAUAAUACAUAGAGAUAAUCUUCCUACAAAGUUCAGAGUUCACACGCGAAUGGCUUCUUGUGCUGAUCCAAACAUAUAACGAGGAUGUAGAUUACUAACAUUGAAGCAGAUUCGAGCUGUGCACGAGUGGCUUGUUGUCACAAUGUUUUCAGGGUUGGUGGCAAUGGACAACCUGGAAUACGUUUGCAACACCAUUUCUGAGAUUCUAAGUCAAUACAGAUAAUAAUUUGCUUAGUUUACUGCCACAACCAUUGGCUUACGGUUUAAUUAAAUCAUUAAGUAGAAUAAUUAUAGACCAGUAGUUUCGUUUGGUAAUACCUAUGAGGAGUGAUCAUAUUCUCAUUCUGAUCUUUUCAUCGUUCUUGCGUCUAUUAAUGAGAUUUACCAUCCUCGAUUGUAAGAAAGUUUGAUAACCGUAAAUUCAACAUAAAGAAAUUGAUUGUUCUAAAGUGGAAAAAGGGUGGCAAAAGUAAUAGAGACAUCAGAGUUUAAACCAAGUUUUCACAGUUUCGGCAGGCAAAUGAAUAAACAAUCACUGAGCAAGUUUUCAAGCUCAAAUCUACCAACCACACGUGCGAUCUCCUCAGCGUUCUUGGAUAUGACACCUUCAACAUGUGGAGGGAGACAACCAAGUACAAUUUCACAAUUCAAAAUAAUAGAGGCUUCGCUUGCAAUUAAUUGCAGGUUGGAUUUUCUAUAUCUGAAGAUAAUUAAGCCACAAGAAUUGUCAAAAGUUUGAUCCUGAUCUUCGAUCUACCCAUACAUAAAAACACGAGGUACACCUUGAUAGAACAAAACAAUGAAAAUUUGCAGAUACAGGUAGGAGGAGUUGUAGUUCUUCCUGAACAGACUAAAGCUUUAUUUGAAAAUUCAUUAAGACAAUAAAGAUGAGUUUUUUCUUUGUUUUUGUAGAGUGGAAAUUAACCUGCUUUCUGGGAGGCCGGAAACCCAAAUCACAUACGUUAUUCUAGAAAGAACGCUGAAAUUGACACUGAAGCAUAGCAUGCAUGAAUAGAAACCAUAGCAUGCAUGUUAGCAUUCAGGCAUUUAAUUAAUGAGAGAUCAAGGCUCUUUCCAUUCCACAGUUCAUGGUUUGAAAAGAGAUUGACAAGAUAUCACGAUAUGAUGCAGGGUAAUUCUCAUUGGUAGCAAAAAGAAUGACUAAUUUUUAAGCUCAAGAAACGCUGACUAUUUUGAGUACACCAUAUAUAUGUGUUCUCAAAUUCAAUGUGAUGCAAGAGGCACACAGAUAGAUAUAAAUCAAAUUAAUUUCAAGUCUUUUUUUCUAUAUUUUAUAUUUUGUUCCCCUUUCCCAUUUUCCUUUUGAUCCUUCCAAGUAUGUUAUGAAUGUAAAGAUCAGGGCCAAUGUGAGGAUUGAGAGUAGAAAUGGCAGAGAAAAGUAAAUGCACAAUAACUCUGGAGGAUGUGGAGUACAAAGUCUAGAAUUAUAUUGUAUUUGUUGUAUCAAAUGCACAGAACUGUAUACAAUUUCAUAUACAUUUGAUUUCAUAAGCAUAUCCUCUAAAAUUCGGAAGCCUAUGCAGGAUUUGUGAUCAACGAUCCAUUUGCAGAGGAUUAGCAUGAGAUGAUGUUUAGCAGAGAGGUCCUUGAUCUGAUUAGGCACCUAAACAAGCCCUCCAAUCCAUUCUCAAGACCCUCAAUGCUAGCCUCCAAGGUCUCCAAUCUGUUUUGCACCGACUGGAUCUUUUCAUUUUCACUUUGAUCAUUUCUGCAAAGGCUGUGUAGGGCUGAAUCUACACUUUCGAACUCAUUCUCAACUUCUUGUUGAUCUUCAAAUCCCACCUUUUUCUUGUUUACUAGUCUUGAAACCAGUGACCAUUUGCUUGGCUUUGCCUUGGGUGAUUGAGAAGUCAAGAAAAGCAAGACAUUUUGGAAAAUGGCGAUGCUGGUUGUGUUAACUUCUCUUAGUACUCUAAUCACUGAAGAAAUAUGUUGAUCAUCAAGAUCCAUGAUUGCUGAAGCACUGAUCUCAUGAUCUAUUUGUUUCAAUGCUGCAAUUGAUCUUUUGGCAUCUUUCUUCAUCUUCUUUCUGAAGCAACUGUAUUUGGUAACGCUUGUUUCCGUGCUUGAAUCUCCUUUUCUUCUCCUUAAAGAAGACUGGAGAUCUUUAACAUUUUCCUUGAAUUGUGAAACAAUCUCCCUGGUAAUGCCACAGAUAUCCAAGAUUCUGACUGAAUUAUCCAACAACUGCUCACCCCAUUUUUGCUUUUGAUGUUGAGACAGUGAUUGAAUGUUCAGAGGCAAGUUGAGAACAUCAUCCAUGCAUUUAUACAACUCAGCCAAUCUGCAUAAAUCUUUGCAGAUUGCCUCUGAAGUUGAUGAUGCUUCCCAUGAUGCGAACCUGUUCAACUCCUCUUCAACAGCAAGAGUUGUAGGAUGUGAUCUGCAAGGCAAACUAAUUGAUCUAAUGUGAUAAGUAGAUUUUGAGGCCAUAUUUUUUUUCUCUUGAUGACUUAGAUUAGCAAAUACAAGUUUGCUUAUGAUGAAUUGAUGAAGAGGAAGAGUUGAAGACCACUAUAUAUAGAUGAAGAGACAAAGAAGAAGACAGGAUGAGCAAUUUUUUCAAUACAAAAUUCUGGGCAACAUGUGCUGGCAUUGUUGGCAGUCCUUCGAGCUAAGCAAAUUUGCAAGACAAUUGGCAAACAAAGUUCUAAUCAUUUGCCAUUUCUUUAAUACCUCAUGGCUAUGGGGUGGAUAUGAGGUGUUACAUUUUCCUGUUCUUGAUCAAGAGGCUUUGCGCUGCUUCUGCCACAUCGCUUCUCUAUAGCUAAACUGAGGUGGCUAGUCACCUCUAAGUACGUGGCUUGUUGAGAUUGUCUCGUUUCAAGGAGCCUUAAUUCAUCAGAAACAAGGACAAAGCACAUCUUUGAAGAUCAUAAUACAGUGAUUACGACAUUAACAAAAGGGAUUUGGAUAGUUUAAAAAUAGAGGCGUUGGAACUUGGAAUGGCAGAUUGAAAUUAAUGAACGCAAAUGGGGCCAUUAAUUAAAUAUGUGCACGUAUGGCUUGUUGAUCCUGUGUCUCCGCUGAAUUAAUUAUUGUUUAAUGCUUCAUAAUUAGGUUGAGAUGCCCCAUAAUCAGAUGGGACAGGAUAAUUAUAACUCCAAAAACCAGUAGUUCUUGAACUCGUUGAGGGAUGGUUACUCCAACAUGUUGCUGUAUAAUGGAAUGCAUGUAAAAGAUAAUCUCUUUUUCUUUAUUCAAGUGUUUGUCCUGCAUAUAAGUGGGGGAAAGUUUAAAACUAAACUAAAAUAUCUCAUCUAUAUACGAACCAAUUUAGCAGAGUGAUGUUUUCAGUAUACUCAGGAUUGCUAGCUUUAUUUUGGUUAGUGAUUGAGUUAAAACUAUCAUGCAUAUACACAGACAUGUGUGUCAUUUUCAUAAAUCAAAGGAUAAUCAAUAAGAAACAACACAUAAUCCGAGCGGAUGCUGUAAACAUUUGGAAUUUGAAUUCCCUCAAUUCAAUCUCUAUUACUCCCUCCCUUUUUUUAUAACUGUCGUUUAAGGAAUUUGCUCCUAAGUACUUUUAUCUGUCGUUUUACUAUCCCUAUGCAGCAUUUAUUAUUUUUUCACAUUUUUACCCUUUUAUCUCUCUUACUCCUAGUAAUUAUUGCUUCUCUCUGCCCUUCCAUAUUCUUUCUUCUUUUCUCACCGUAUGUUGAACCCCUUUGUUCUUCUUACUCCUAGUAUGUUGAACCAUUUAAUACAGUGAGAGAAAACAUGGGUGAAUGGAAUAAUUAAUGAGGGUAUAAAAGGAAAGUGGUGUAUAGAUUUAAGCAAUGAAAACUUUUCUUAAUUGACGUGCAAUUCCUUAAACGUCAGUUAUAAAAAAAGGGAGGGAGUAUUUAUUUAUCCAUUCACUUAUGAAUUUUUUUUUUAUUCAAAGACUUGCAUAGGGGAAAAGCUACUUAUUUCACACCGUAUGCCACUUCAGAUUCAGAGGGAUUCUGAGACCAUUUUAGUCAAAUGAACAACGUUUGAUUUUGUACUUCUCCUUCAGAAAAUGCAGCAUCAUUCAAUUCCCAGUUAUAACAAGCUAUCCAAUAUGAAAGGGGAAAAAACAGAAAGAAUCAUCAAGCAAGAAAAACCCACUAACGCCAGUGAAUUUCAGGAUUGCGUCUAAUAAGCGCAGAAGUGCUCUUUUCCUGCAGACUCCCCAUUUCAAAGUUUUCUUGGUUUGACAAUUGAAUCUUAGAUUACCGAGCAUGAUUAUAGAGAUACACGUCUGGUUCUAAGAAACCACAUAAUCUGAGCGUAGGAAAUAGGGUGUGAAAAGAUAUGGUGGCUAAGAAAUGCACAAAUUACAGAGAUCAUGUUACAAUAGUUUGAGAGGUUACACACGAAUGGCUUCUUGUCCUUGUUCAAACGUACAAUCAAUAAUGAGGAUUUAUAGUUCUGAUUUCCAGAUGUGCACGAGUGGCUUCUUAAUUAUCAUGAUGUUUCCCUGGGAGGUGACAAUGUGAAGUAUCUUUGCUGCAUCAUUUAUGUGAUUAUUACUAAAUCCAGCUAAUAGUUUCAUAAUUAAUUGGGAGUGCCAUUAACGGACUUCUUAAUUUAAUCAUCAAGUUUGAUUAUUCGAGGCCACAAGUGGGCUUAAAUCCCUACUUUGUUUGUUAAUUCCAUAAGAAGAUAUCAUAUCAUGACCUUGUCAAUAUUCUUGUUUGAGAUUGCCCAAUUCUCCAUCAAAAAUUUGCUAGCAGCAACAUCAACAAAACAAAAUUGAUAGAGACAUCAGAAUUUCAUAUGUAUGAGUUUUCACUUUUUUAUUACUUUUUUUCUUACGCAGAUAAUUUUCUAGCUGUUUCACAAGGCAGAUUUUGAACCCAAAAAAUAAUAAUAAUAAUCCAUACAGAUGAUUGCGAAAGGAUGGAUGAGAACUGUGAUUUUGUGUUGAAACAGGUUGGUUCAGAGCAGGUUAACCAGAAAAGUAUUCAAGCUCGAAGCUGCUAAGCACACCUGUGAUGUUUUUAGUAAAUGUUAUGGCGGGCUGAAUUUUGUGCUUCCUCAAAAUCUCUAUAUAGUAGAACAUUUGACAUGGUAUAUUAACAAAAACGGAAGAAAAAAUGUAUAUUGCAAACACAAUAACAACCGAGGACUUUUUCUUUUAUGAAUGAAAAGCCAUCUUAAUUUAUUAUCGAUAUUGCUUUGCUAUCACUGUUUGUGUAUUUGAAGUAAUGAUAGUGAAGACUCUGUUUAAUACCGUAAAGCUCAGGUCAAUAUGAAAAUUGAGACUAGAAAUCAUAGGAAAAUAGUUUGCAAAAAAAGACUAGAGGGAGAUAUGGGAACCAAACUCUAUAUUUGAAUUGUAUCUGUUGUGUUAAGUACAAAACUGUUCAUGAUUUCAUAUUUACACAUCGAAAUUCAUAAGCAGAUCCUCUGAUAUCUGGAUGCCUAUGCAGGAUUUGUAAUAAAAUAUCCAUGGAGGCAGAAGAUUAGCAUGCAAGAAUGUUUGAGGAGGGAGGUUCUUGAUGUAAUCAAGCACCUAAACAAGCCCUCGAAUCCAUUCUCCAAAACUUCAGUGCGAGCCUCCAAAGUCUCCAAUCUAUUUUGCACCAACUGAAUUUCUUUUCAUUUUCGCUCUUUGUCAUCUCUCCAAAGGCUACGUAGAGCCGAAUCUACAAUUGCCAAUGCAUUUUUAACUUCUUGUUGAUCAUUUUCACGUCCCACUUUUCCCUUGUUUACUAGUUUAGAAACUAAUUAGGUUCAUAAAGUAUUGUACCCAUGAAGCACCUUACACCAAAUGCAGUAGGAUAAUUGCAACAAUGUACUAUAUAUUUGUGAUGUAUAGUGGAAUAGGGAAUUAUUAUUAUAACAAAUUUAGCGUAACAAAAGUCACAGUCACAGUGCCUAUUGCCUAAUACUACUAUACAAGUUUAUAAGGUAAAAUAAGUAGUAGUUUUAUUUAUCGUUUUUAGAAGAGGUUUCGUUUCAAUAUCAAUACGUGCAAAGUAUGUGCACUUUCCCAGUUUUAACAUGAUCUUUGGGCACCUUUCUUCGUCUUCCUUCUAAAAGAUGUGCAGUUGGCAAUGCUUGUUUCCGUGCUUGAAUCUCCCUUUCUUCUCCUUAGAGAAGACUGAAAAUCUCUUACAUUUCCCUUAAACUGAAAGAUGAUCUCCCUUGAAAUGCCACAGAUGUCUACAAGUCUCGAUGAUCCAUCCAAGAACUCUUCACCCCAUUUCUGAUUUUGAUGUUGUGAGAAGGCUUGGAUGGUCAGAGGCAAGUUGAGAAGAUCAUCCAUGCGCUUGUACAACUCUGCCAAUCUGCAAAGGCCUGUGCAGAUUGCCUCUGAAGUUGAUGAUGUUUCCCAUGUUUUGAUCUUGUUUAACUCCUCUUCAAUUCGAAGAGUUGUAGGAUGUGAUCUGCAAGGCAAGCUAAUUGAUCUAAUAUGGCAGAGAGCAGUGGAUUUUGAGGCCAUGUAUUUUCACUUUUUUGCUCUUCUCUUGAUGAUUCAGAUUAGAACACUCAAGUUUACCCGUGAUGAAUUGAUGAUGAACAAGAAGUUGACGCUAGUGUGUACAGAUGAAGAGAUAGGAGACCAGAUGAGAGAUGUUCUGAAUAUUAAACUUUGAUCAACAUGUGCUGGCAAUGUGGCCAUUCCUCUGAGCAAGGCAACAUUGUAAGACAUUUGGCCAACAAAGUUGUAAUCAUUUGCCAUUUCUUUGACAUCUUGCAGGUGUGCAAGUGGAGCUGAGGUGUUAUAAUAUCAUGUACUUCCUGAUACAUUGCUUCUGUAGAUCCAACUACUUGGCUUGUUGAGAUUGUCUAGUUUGGAGGAGCCUUGAUCCAUCAAAAACAAGGACACAGCACAUCUUUUUAAAGACUAAUUCUGGAGAUUCCAACAUGUAAAGUAAGUGAUUAGAACCAUUAAAGUAGGCAUUUGGGACUUUUUUAUAUCGAGGUGUUGGAUGAAUGGUAGAUAGAAACAAAUGAACGCAGGCAAUGUCAUUGAAUGUGUGUGUGCGUAUGGCUUAAUCAGUACUUCAUAAUUGUGCCGAUUAUCAGAUAGGGAGAUCUUAAAAGUAAUUUUCCUAUCUAAUUGAUUGCGUUACUCUUCUGAGGAUCUUACUCAUAUGUUAGGAUAAUGCAGGAAGAAUCACCAAUUUUGUCUUUGAGCUAAGAAGUGGACGCCUAAGCCCAUGCUGGAUCAAACAAGUGAGAUCGUUCAAGCUAUUAGUAACAACUCAAAUCCCUCCAAUCUUUGUAUUUGGACAUUAUGUAACAAUGCUUUGAAAUUUACAUCAUGCGCAGUUGCAGAAACAGCUUAAAAGGGUUGUAAUGAACCAAGAACAGGACACCUUUGGAUCGAUGGCUCAUGUAAAAUUGUGAGUACCUAUUCUCAGAAGGACCAAAUUGAAUGCCGAUUCUUGAGUCUUGGACAAAAUUUCUUGUCGCAUUUUCAAGUCAGUUUAUCAAUCAUAUCUUUCCCUUGCAUAGGUAGCCUAAUUGAACUACAUGCAUGCUUGGCAGCAAAUGUACAAACUUAUUAGCAUAAAAGUUAGGAAGGAUAAGCAUCUAUAAUAUUGUCGACUAGAAUGGGAGACGUCAGUCAGGAAUCUAUACACUCCCUCCUCCUCAUUUUGAUUAUCUUAAUUUUUUUUCACACAGUCCAAGAAAAAAUAGUUAGUUUUAUUAAAAAAAAAUAAAUCCAGUCUAAUGUUUUCCUAAAAUACCCUUAAAUUAAUAUUAGAAGUAUCACUAAUCACCGUACCUAUACACUAAUUAUAACAACAAUAAUGACGGUAUAUUGCACCAUUCGAAACAUAUGUCAAAACCAUUAUUGGUAGAAAUUUUGACUAUAUUAAAUAGAGUAAAUCUUAGAUACGUUGACAGAGUACACAGUAUCACCGUUUGAUUUAUGACAUGUGUGUAAAAGUUGAAUUUCAAAUUCAAUUUUUGCAUAGUUAUCAUUCAUCCAACACUGACAGUGUAUAAAUAAGGUAGGGUAUAUUUACUUAUAACAAAGUAUAUUAAACAAGCGCAUUCUAGAAAAAUUAAAAAUUAACUAUAUUCUUGAAUUGUAAGGUGAACUAUAAUUUAGGAUGAUGAAGUAGGACAGAGAAAGUAGCAUUAUGUAUAACAGUCUUCAGCAAGGAGGAAUAAGAAACACUCUGCUUCUCUUUGGAAAUGUAAAGAGAGAGAUUAGUAUUUGGUCGACAAGAAAGCAACAGGUUUUAAUUGCUACUAUACGGCGUCCAUCAUGACUUGGAAUUGAAGUUCAUCAAAUUUUAACCCAUCGGCCUGAAGACAUAGGGGCAACUUCAUUAAAUAUUAUCAGGUGAUUUGUCGUUUAAUAUUUUCCACUUAAAAAUCUGAUUACAUGAAUAAGUAUAUUAAAAAACUUGCAUCUCGCACGAAUUAAACUAUUAAGUAUGGUGAAGAAUAACUAAGGGCCAAAAAUUACUUAGUAUUUCCUCUAAUACUGAAUAUAAUGAUUUUCGCAGUCGAAGUAAAUGAAUGGAAAAAUCAAUAGUGAAAAUGUUAAAUCUGUGGAGCUAAAGCAACGGACGGGGCCUCAUAAGGGUCCGGCUCCAUUGGCAUCCGUUGGUGUUGGGCCGACCCGAAUUCACAAAAAUAUUCAGAUAAAUAAAAGCUUCCAUCGCCCAGUCAGGAUGGCCGAGUGGUCUAAGGCGCCAGACUCAAGUUCUGGUCCUCGUGAGAGGGCGUGGGUUCAAAUCCCACUUCUGACAUGGCUUAGACUCCUUUUCCAGCGUCUGUCUAUUUUUUACAAUUGUACAAGGCCCUUUAACAGCACUUGGAUUCUCGGUCACAUAUUUUCUAUGCCAAUCCAAUGCCACCUAUAGUAUUGCGCCAAGUGUCCUGUUAUUAUUUACACUUUAAUUUUCAAAUAAUUCAACUUGGUUUGGUUUGGUUAUUAUUCAACAUGGUUUUUUACAAUUGUACAAGGCCCUUUAACAGCACUUGGAUUCUCGGUCACAUAUUUUCUAUGCCAAUCCAAUGCCACCUAUAGUAUUGCGCCAAGUGUCCUGUUAUUAUUUACACUUUAAUUUUCAAAUAAUUCAACUUGGUUUGGUUUGGUUUAUUAUUUACACUUAUGUUAAACCAAACCAUGUUGAAUAAUAAACCAAACCAAAUCAAGUUGAAUUAUUUGAAAAUUAAACCAAACCAAGUUGAAUUAUUUGAAAAUUAAAGUGUAAAUAAUAACAGGACACUUGGCGCAAUACUAUAGGUGGCAUUGGAUUGGCAUAGAAAAUAUGUUACCGAGAAUCCCAAGUGCUUUAACAGGAUCGAUGGCACAUGUAAAAUUGUGAGCACCUCUCGAGACGGGAUCUAUCUAGCUUUGACAGCAAAAAGAUAAAAUUGGCAAUUUGUUGCACCUAUAACCUAACCAACAACACAAUGAAAAGUAUGAUAAGGUAAACAAAUCCUAUUUGCACUUGCAUGAAUAAAGUUACUUGAAGAGGUAGGAAAUAUAUGUAGUUUUAUUAUUAAUAAGUGAGAGUUCCAAAUUUUGUAGCUGAUUAAAUUCAUCAUAACAAAGUGAUGAUGACCACCUUAGCUUAGCACAGCCUAUUCAUUCAUGCUCAUGCCCUGCCCUUUCAGAUCAAAUGGAUAUCGUGCGUUUUUCAUCGACUACCGUCAAUCUGGUACUCGUCCCUUGUACUGCAUGAUCAUUCAUCUCCUAGUGAAAUCAAUCUCAGCAACUCAGGUGCAUGAAUCACAUCCGCCCCCAGCAAAAAAUCUAUCGACAAAGCAAUGAGAAAGAGAGAAAAGAUAAUGGUAAUAGUGUUUGUUUGAUGUUAUUGGUCUGAAGAGACUUUCUGCCUCCAUUUCCCCUACUGCUCAUGCGCCAUAUAUUUCUGCAAAAACAGUCAAUUUUCACUAAGCUUUUAUGUCUGUAACAUGCAAAUACAAUGCAGAUGGAUAGAAAUAUAGCUAUAGCAUUCAUCUAUUCGAUCUCAGAAGGACCAAAUUGAAUGCUGAUUCUGGAGUCUUGGACAUACUUUCUUGUCUCAUUUUUUCAAGUCAGUUUAAUUAUCAAUCAUAUCUUUGUCUUGCAUGGGUAGCCUAAUUGAACUACGUGCAUGCUUGGCAGCAAAUGUACAAACUUAUUAGUAUAAAAGAAUCAGAAGGAUAAGCACCUACAAUAUUGUCCACUAGAAUGGGAGACAUCACGAAUCUGUAUACUCCCUCCAUCCCAUUUUGAUAAUUUUGAGUUUUUCUCGUACAGUUUAAGAAAAAUUAGUAAAUUUUGUUGGAAACGUAAAUCUAAUCUAAUAUUUUCCUAGAAUACCCUUAAAUUAAUGUUAGAAGUAUCACUGAUCACUAUACCUUUACACAUUAAUUAUAACAACAACAAUGACGUUAUAUUGCACCAUUCAAAACAUAUAUCAAAACGAUUACCGGUAAAAAAUUUGACUGUAUUAAAUAAGAUAUGGUUUAUUUACUGAUAAUAAAGUAUAUUAUAUAAGCAUAUUUUAGAACAAUUAAAAGUUAACUAUAUUCUUGAAUUAUAAGGUAAACUAUAAUUUAAGAUGGAUGAACAAGUGAAAAAAGACUCUAUUAAAGUAGGACGGAUGGAGUAGCAUUAUGUAUAACAGUCUUCACCAAGGAGGAAUAAGGAACACUGCUUCUCUUUGGAAAUAUAGAGAGAGGGAUUAGUAUUUGAUCGACAAGAAAGCAAGGUUUUAAUUACUACUAUAUGGUAUCCAUCAUGACUUGGAAUUGAAGUUCAUCAAAUUUUAACCCAUCGGCUUGAAGACAUAGAGGCAAAUUCAUUAAAUAUUAUCACGUGAUUUGUCUUUUAAUAUUUUCCAAUUAAAAAGCUGGCUACAUGGAUAAGUAUAUUAAAAAACUUGCAUCUCGCAUGAAUUAAACUAUUAAGUAUGGUGAAGAAUAACUAAGGGCCAAAAAAAAACUAAGGGGGUUAUUAUUUAGCAUUUCCUCUAAUACUGAUUAUAACGAUUUUCGCACUCGGAGUAAAUGAAUGGAAAUGCGCUUCGAAAAAUCAAUAGUGUAAAAGUUAAAUUUGUGGAGCUAAAGCAAUGGGGCCUCAUAAGGGUGCGGCUCCAUUGGCAUCCAUUGCUGUUGGGCUGACCCAAGCUGACAAAAAUUUUAGAUAAAUAAAGGACUUCAGUGUCCAUCCAUCACCCAGUCAGGAUGGCCGAGUGGUCUAAGGCGCCAGACUCAAGUUCUGGUCCUCGUGAGAGGGCGUGGGUUCAAAUCCCACUUCUGACAUGACUACCCCCUUUUCAGUAUCUGUCUAUUUUUUCCAAUUGUACAAGGCCCUUUAUUUUCAUUAUUUUUUAUGAUUAUUGUAAGCACAUUGAUGUUUUCUAUCAUGAAUAAUAAAAUAAAUGCUUCAGACUCAGCAAUUUAAGCAAAGUGCUUAAUUAGUAGUCAACAAGAUUCGGAGUAUCUACACAUUGUUGAGUUGUUUCUCCCAAAAAUUUUUUUUAAAACAAUUGAUUCAUUAAGUAUAUCAUUUUAGUAGUAUAAAUAUAUCUUUAAAAUUUUAUGAUAUUUAACCCCACGAGGUUGUGGUUUAGUAGCAUGAAAAAAUUCAACAAAAACAGCUCCAAGGCAUAUGCAAGCUCAAGAUACAAGCAAAUUGUUGUUCCAAUGUUCAUGAGAUUUAGUUUAAGCCAAAAGCGGAAUUUAGUAGACAUGACAGAUUUUUUGUAUCUGCUCUUCUGAAAAUUAAUAGAGCCAGCUGCAAGUAGGUUGUAAAUCAUUGGCUUAGUAGGCUUCCUAGACUAUAUCAAAGUUUGCUUCCAAGUUCUUGCCAACAACCGGCAAUAGUAAAAAAAUGAGCAGAGUUUUUCUUGCACAAUAUUGUAUAUAUGGAUUAGUCCUCAACAAUGUCAAGAAUGGGUGCAUCUGCAAAAAUGGCGUGGCCUGCUUCCUCUGAUCUAGUCAUGAGCACUACCAACUUCAUGGUCAGAGUCUAGUGUUCUCUGGACCUUUCAUGCAGCCUACGAAAACUUUCAACACCUAUGGAAACCUUCCAUCAAAGGGAGCACAAGAAAUGGGCAAGACAAACCUAGUGCACUAGAGAACAACAAUAUUACCCACCAUGCAAGCUGCUGCUAAUUAGUGCAGAUUCUGUUGUUCAACACAGAAUCAGAAGGGAAGCAUAUUUUUAUCUCCAUAUAUAUAAAAAGGCGAAUUCAGCAGAUGAGAUCAACUGAUGGUGAUAAUUUAUCAUAAAAGGGCAUGUGAUGGCAGAAAUUGUUGUUGCUUCAGGGAGAGAAGUACCUUCCAGAUUGGAAUUUGUUUCACUUUAAGUAUCAUUAAAACCCAAGGCCAUAACACUCAAAUUAACCUCUUUUAAACUCAAUAACAGUAUUUGUUUCAGAUUGUUGAUUGGCUCUCAAUGAAACUGGUCCAUUCUAAUUUAAAUCAAGUGCUACUAGAUGAUUAAAAAAACAUAAUACAAUAAAUUCUUGAUGACUAGCCUUAUCUGAAUUUUACUACAUCGAAUGUUUCUUGCUUACUCAAUUCAGCGUCAUACUUGUAAAUUCCUAGCAUGUUUUUGAGCUUCAUUCCAAUGAAUCACAAUGCGUGAUGAACAAAUGCUCAUGAAAGUUUGUUCCCUUGCCGACUUCUUGAUUGAAAGUUUUUAAGGCUGAAUCAACAUUAAAAUUCUCUGAACCCAUUAACUUUGUGACAGGACCCUGAAUUGGCGGAAUCAUGUAUUCAGUGAGAUAAGCAUCAUGUUGCAAUGGCUACAAAGAAAUCAUAUGAUUAUCAGAAUUGAUCCCCCAAAACUAUUCUUCUGCUACCACGAAGUUUAGUACAAAGCAUGAUCUAUAAUUCCAUUCUAAAGUAUGUACAUCACCGUACUCCACAUUAAUCCUUCCGUAGUACCCUUACCUGCAGGGACAUAAUUUUUAUCUAAAUGGUUUAGAAACAGACAAAUAGUGUCAAUGAUUAGUAGCAUGUUACUUUUGCUAAUUAAGAAGUCAAGCGUAAUGUGCAUUACCAUCCUACUAUAUUCCAUAAUACUGUUUAAAAUUCCACAGCAUGAUGAUUAUAGUGGGUUUUUUUCUUCCUCCAUGUUCUGCAACAUCUUUACUACGACAUCUAGCAAACUACUCCUUUUGUCUUUAUGGAAUGAUGAUACGUUAAUUAUACUUAUUCAUGAUAAAGAAAUAUUACGAGGUUAAAUUAGAUUUCCUUCUCCACAUGAUGAUUCUGUUAGAUUGCAAUCAAUAGUUUCUAUAAUUUACAUACGGAUAAGACGUGGCGUGAUUGCAGAAUAAUUCAUUGCUCUGUCAACUGGGGUAUUGUGUACCAUAAUUUGCACCUAAGUAUAUAUAUUUUUUUAGAUGCAGGAAUAGAUCUAAAUCACUGAAUCGUCAUCACAUUUUUCUGACUUUAACUGUGAGAAAUAGUUGCAAAAGAAGAUUUGCCAGUGAAAUUGAAGAAUUUUCCACAAUGGACAGGCAACUAAAGGACUAUGUUCUGCAACAAGAAACAAAAUGGCGACAAAAAGGAAAGCUCAUCAAGUCCUCCUAUCGUACUAAACUGUACAAUGUAGAAGACAAGAAGAUGAAACCUUAUAUUUCAAAACUAAAAUUCUGAAGGGAAAGUGAAUAGAAUAAUAACUUUCAGUGCUAUAGCUUUUGAUAACUUAUUACUAAUCAUCAUUUGUUUUUCUUUGUUUUUCCUUUCAGGGCAAGGGUAGAACUGGGAGAGGGGGUGGGGGGAGGAGGGGCAUGCUUCACCCCUCAUAAAAUUUUGAGAAUUGUCAAAGGUUUCUAUAUAUAUUUAGUAUUGCCACUCCAUGUUCUAUAGAAAAUCAUGCUCUCUCUCUUUAUAAGUUUCAGAAUUUUUAAAAUUUCUUUUAUAUACUCAGCAAUUUGUCCCCCAAAAACUUUUCAAAAAUUUUAUGUUGACUCCAAAAUUUGUAUGUACACAUAUUUUGCCCCGUCAAACUUAAUUUUCUAGCUCAUGUACUCCAGGGUAAGACAAGUAUUGCAAUCUUGAUUGAAGUUUAUCAUCCAUGGUUCUGCUCUACUUCUCGCGGAUUUGACAUGCAAAAUGAGAAUACUAAAUACCAUAAAAAUGCUACAACAGAAGUACUUGCAAAUGAUAUUGGUACUAUUGGUAAAAGAUGUUCUUCAGCACUCACAUUCAAUCGUAUUUCACAUAAUCAUACAAAAUUUGUAUUUGUUACAUAUAGGCUAUCCUUUCUCCUCAACUUUUUUUCUUUUUCUUUCUUUCUCUUUUUUCCCUUCCCCUCAAUGGAUGAGCAUGUUAAGAAGCGUAACUCUAUAUCGGACCAACUGCCUAAACAAGCCUUCUACUCCAGUCUCAAGACCUUCAAUACUGGUAUCAAGCAUCUGCAAUUGUUUUCUAGCCAGUUGCACGUCAGCUUUGAUACCACCAUUUUUUAUGUGUCCCUGAAGGGAUGUAAGAGCAAGAUCAGCACAUCCCAUGUUGUUGAGAACAUGGCUUUUAUUGGCAACUGCAGACUUUGUUAACAUCAACUUUGAAAUCAGAGACCAGCCACUAGGUUUUGUCCUUGCUGAAGCUGGUGAAGACAAGAAAACUAAAAGAGAUCUCAAGACAGAUGUGGUGAUAACAGUCACUUCUCUAAAGACCCUAAUCACCAUUGCUAAAUGAUGAUCUAUGUCUAGAACAUCAUGAGAAGAUCCAAUUCUGCUUUCCAUAUGCUUCAAUGAUCUAAGGCUUUUUGCUACUUCUUUCUUUACUUGCUUUCUGAAGCAAAGAUAACGGCUUAUGUCUUUUCCAAUGCUGGCAUCUCCAUUUUUUCGUCUUAGUGCUGAUUGAAGCUCUUGAACGUGUUCCUUAACGGAGAAAAAUAAGUCACGAACGAUGCCGCAUGAGUCUAGUAACUCGACUGAUCUCUCAAGUGAUUCUUCCACAACUAUCCCAUUUUGAUGUUGAAUAAGAGCUGCUUGUGCCGUUGAAGACUGCAUGAGAUCCUCAGUGCAGUUGUAUAAUUCAGCAAGGCCAACUAGACCAGCUUGAAUUGCGACUUCACACAAGGGCUCUGUUAUUGAAAGGGAAGAUGCUUCCCAGUUCUUUAAUUUGUUCAGCUCUGCUUCAAACCUGAUGGCAUUGGGAUGUAACCUUGAAGGUAAACUAAUGGAUCUAGCAGUGUAUUGAAGGCCAAAAGAUACAGAACUGUUUGCCAUUUUCUUUGUAUGUUUGGUUAGGCUAGUAAGUAGCUUAAUGUCGAUGGAGAAGGUUGAAGGACUGUUUGCGAUGGAGUUUCUUUAUAUACCUGUCAAGGGUCUCGUGGAAAUCAGUUGCAUGUGACAGCAUUCUGAUUCCCUUACCUCUUGAAUUGAUUUUGUUGCAUGUCUCCCCAACAAUCGGUGAUAGUUUAUGUUGUUAUAUGGAGACCGUAUGGUCUCAGGAAGGCAACGUUUACAAUUGUUUACUUUAUGGCAUUUACUUCGGUUAUUUGAAUAAUAUUGCUGCCUGCAAGAGUCUCUUAAACUUGACUCCCCACAGUAUCAUGCAUGGUUUCCUUGAUUCGCUUACGGAUUUUUAUUAUUUGCGUUAGAAUUUGUUUAUCCUAUGCAGAAAGGUCGUUGUUUCAACAAAAAUAGUUGGCAUUGGUCUAUGUCUGGAACAGAUUGUCAGAAACAGUGAACUGAUAAUCUUGAUUGUGGAGAAAAAGAGGGAUGACAAGGUUUUAGACAUUGUUUAGUUUUCUGUCUGUGACAGUAGCUGCAGAUUUGGAGGCCUCUUGUUCUAUUUAGUAGUUGUUACUUAGUGAAACUAGAAAUAUUCUGCUUGAAACAUUUCAAGGUCGAAAUUUACCUUAUCUUAAAAUCAAUAGAUCUGGCUGGAGAGGCUGUCUUUCUACUUUUUAGUAGACAAAGAAACACCAACAGUGUAUGCUAAUAAGUCAUGGAAUUUGACACCAUUGACAUAAAAUAUAACAGUAUCUUCAGCAUGGAAGAAGGCUGCAACUUGUCGGCUGCAGUAAUUCGCCACCUAAAGUUUUUUAAAUAUUCCCCAGUAAUUCUUUUUGUUAUUUUGUUUAAUUUCUUUUGGUAAAGUGUCUUAUACCAAACUAACAAUUAGCUUCUUUAUAAAAACAUACCAUUAGUAUCUUACUUUACCAUAGGAUUAGUACUACUUUUGAACAAUUAUGAAACAUUAAGUUGCUUUUAAUCAAAUAUUUUUAUAACAAAUCAACUGUUUAGUUUCUUUGAUUACUAUAAUUUUAUAAUAGCAACUAAGACAACACUGUACAUGUUAUGCAGGAAAUCAAAGACAAACAAAACAGGAAAAAAAAAAGAAAGAAAAAUUCAACUAUCAUUUAAAUUGAAGAAGUUUUAACCAUGGUUAUGAAUGCCUCACAUUGAUAAUAAAUAAUGGUAUAGAGACUAAUUUUCGCAUUUUUUUUUUAUACUUUGUCUUUGUUUUUUAAGAAGUGCUUAUUUCUGAUUAUUAUCUACCAAACUUUCAUUUUACAUUUAGUAUACUUUAUUUGCUAUAGAGAUUUUUUUUUUUUUUUUUUUUAACCGUGGCAGCUAGUCAAACAUUGAGAGCAUAUAACUACCCUCAACAAAUUCUCACCCCUACCCACAGCCAAGCCGGAGAUGCUUUCGUGAGUCUAUAUCAAAUGAGCAGAUCAUUUCUCCUCUACCUAUUUGCACAUAAAGAAUUGAAGGGCACAUACUUAUAAUCUUGGGGUCUAGUUCAGGAUCUACUACGAACAACAAAAGAAAUGCAAUCUUUUUCCAUUGAGUAGGAAAGAUGAUGUUAUUUUUGUUUUUGUUGGGGGGGGGGGGGGGCGCGGUGAACUGAAAACCCAUCAUCAGAGCCAUAAGGUAAAUAUGGAUUGCCAGCAGCUUCAUGACCAGUUGAAAUGAAGGGUGUGCUGUCAAGAAUGCCAGCUAGAGUCAACCAACUUCGCGCCAGGGGUUCAAAACGGGUUAUAGUAAAUGGAUCUCUAUUACUUUUGGCUGCGUAAUGCACUCAGCUUUCCACUCGAAUUGCAGCAUUUCCAAUCGCUCUUUAACUUCGUAUUAAGAAAAUAUGGCUGGUAAGGCUGUGUAUGCAACAAGAAGUUUACUUUCAGCAUUUUCAUUUUAGAGUUUCGCAGGCCAUCCUCAUUUCUCACAAAAAGAAUUGAUCUUGACCAUUUCCGACUGAGACACAGCAGGGUUGAUCCAUAUUUCAAGAAUUCUUUCAACUUUGAACCAGGAAACUUGCUUGCACUUCUGUAGCCAAUGCUUUUGACUUUUGCCAUACACACAGCAAGAAACCGCCAGAGACUUGCCCAGUGGAAAGCACCUAGCAUAUAGAUAUCAAAAAUAUCAUCAAAUAGGCAACUUUAGUAAGAAACUUGGGUUCUACUUCUACCUCAAUGCAGAUAAGGGGUAAAACUGAUGGUGAAUUGCUGAUACUCAAAGCAUGAAAAAUAUGAACUCAAAAGAUGUAGACAUUCAGCCUAAUGGCCACAAUCUGAAUGACUAAAAAUAUGAAAAACAGCAAAAUUCAAUUGUACACCAGACUCAAGACUUCAAGACUAUAUCUGAACGAGUUACCUAUAACACACCAAAACAAACUAUUCCACCAGAGAACAUAACAGCUUUGUAUGCUGCAGCUAGAGCUAAAACAACUGACCCAGCCCUUUCAUGGCUUUAUCGAUUCUACAAGUAACACCCCAAUUAGGCAGGCAGGGAAAGCAGCACAACUAGAAUGUCAUUACCCUGAGUUUUAUACUAUUAUGCUUUUGCCAUUAAUAAUAUCUGGUGCAGCUAAAACUAAAAUAAUUGCUAACCCCAUUUACAAAUCAUGCUAUUUCCCUUACUGUUUUAAAAUUCUCUAUAUAGAAAAACAGCAAAAGUUUCUCCAGUGGGAGCUAUAUAUGCCAGACUUUUGAGGCACAUUUUUGGUUACCAGAGUAUUAGAAGAAUGGAUCUCGUUGGAACCACAAUUUCCCACCUGGGGUGUAUUUCCAGAGGGGAGAAAAAAAAAAUUGGCACAGAAAAACUCUAUCAUUUAAUGCUUCAUAUAAUCACCGAAAUAAUGUGCUAAUUUGCAAACUUGAUGUCAUGUGAAAGGCUUGCAAGGACUCUCACAACUUUCUUAGAAUCCUUUUUCUUUAUCUGACCAAUAAGGCAAUCCUCAUAUCCGGAUAAACAAACAUAAGCAGCGACUGAAGUAAUGCUGAGUUGGUCAAUGACAAAAAAAUUGGUUCAGUUUUUUACUCUUAUCGUCUUGCAUAGAUGGCAGAUGUAUAUGUCUACAUAUGCACAUAGGUCCAUAUUCACAGACUUUGUGAUACAAGAAUUAAUGCAGAUGGGUGUGAAUGGGCUAUAGUGAGUUUUGACAGUAAAGCUAUGCAAAUCCAUUUCUCUAUCUAAAAGAAUAAUGGACCAAGCACGUACUAUAUUAAAAAUAUAUAUCUGCAUAUAAAUACAGAGAAAGUCCUAAUAGACCAAUAUUGAAUGCCAACAAACAUUCAGUUCAACAAUUUUAAGAGGUAAAAGUACCAUCUAUCUAGAUCAAGCAGCGAGGCCUUGUUCUCUAGCUUUCUUCAGCCACUUAAGAGUACUUUCCAGAGUUGAAUAAGCUGCAACAUCAGUCAUACUCUUACUCUCCACUGCAUAAUCAAAAACUUCAUAAGCUUCCGCAACUCUACCUUUCCUACAAAGCGCCCUCACAAAUGUCCCGUAACAUCCUGUCUCAAGCUUCAUGCCACCCUCCUGCAUCACCUUAUACAAUUCAAUCCCUUUAUCCAACAGCCUCGCCUUACACAACCCAUGAAGCAAUGUGUUAUAUGUGCACACAUUAGGAUUACACCCCUUUGCUUCCAUUUCCCCCAACAAUGCCAAUGCCCCAAGUGCAUCGCCCUCCCUGCACAUUCCAUUCAUCAAAGAAGUAUAAGUAACUGCAUCCGGAAAAUGUCCCAUUUCUGUCAUGAUGCCAAGAAACUUCUUAGCCUCCUUCACCCUCCCUGAUUUUGAUAGCCCAUAAAUCAAAGUAUUAUAAGUUACAAGGUCUGGCUCCACCCCUUCCUCCUUCAUUUUCUCAUACACAUCCAACACCUCUCCACUUUGACUCAACAUACAAUGGCCCUUCAUAAUGGUAUUGUAUACAUAACAAUCAGGCUUAUAUCCUUCCUCACUCAAAACCCCCAACAACCGGGUAGCCUCUCGGAGAUUCUUCCUAUUACAGACAUUAUCGAUCAUAAUUGUAUACGUCACCAGAUCAGGCUGUAUCCCGAAGCCCUCCCUCAUUUCCUUGAUGAAACUAUUCACAGUACUCAAUUCCCUAUUCCUUACAAGCUGUCUAACUAAAAAAUUGUAAGUAUAUGAAUCAGGAACCAAAUUCUUGCCUGAUAGAUCCUUAACCAACUCAAUGGCAUCCUCUUCCCGUCCACAGGAGCAAAGGGUCCUCACAGCAACGUCCGUAGACACCUUAUUUGGUGGAAAACCUUGGCUGGACAUAUAAUUAAGCACCUGGUGGACGGAUGAGAUAGAAAAAUCAUUAGCUUUGCAAGAUUGAACGAGAAGCACAUUGUAAGUAGAGCUAUCAGGGGAAAAUGAAGGGUGAGUCUUGAUCAUGUGAUUGAGGAACAAGAUUGAAUCUUGGAGGGUCGCUCUGGAUGAAAAUGACUGGAGGACCGAAUUACAGAACCUGAGGUCUAAGGGGGUUUUUCCUGGAGUUGAUAUAACCUGAUUGAAAAGGGUUUUGGCUUCUGAAAGGCUAGGGGGAUUGAAGGUGAUUGCAGGGAGCUGAGAUGUCAUUUCCGAUGGCAGUUUUGUGGGUUUUUUCUUGGGAAUCUUUUUGUCUGCCCAAUAAGGGAAAUUUUCAGUGAGGGGAUGGGGUUGAGAUGGGGUUUUGUUGAUAAGGGCGUUCAUGGGUAGCUUGGCUCCUCUCAUGGAGGGUGGAAAUUUUCCCAUCUCUUUCAGUUAUGGAGUUUUUCCGGUUUCCCUCUUCUUCUGGAGAUUCAGAGGUGCGAUGUUUGAGUUUAGGGCUUUUGAAGGGUUUAACAGUUAGGAUCAAUAAGCAGAACAGUGAGAGACCCGGCAACGGCGAAAAGUGAGGGGGUGAAAUUUUGAAAUUCCGGCACUGGGUUAAAGCUAAAAAUUGCGAAUUUAGUCCUCCGAAUUCUGAUAAACUGUAAAUUGAGCUCUACCAAAAUCCAUUUUUUUUUUAUUUAAUGCAUUAUAUUUGAUAUUUGUUCCGAUCAACCAUCCAAGAUUUUGGUGUUAUCAUGCGAGAGCUCAGCUAUGAGACCACACAUUCUUGAGGUUCUUAAAAUUCCGUGUCCUUUCAUAUUUAAUUAGUAAAUUUUCAAUACCAUGUAGGACAGGGAACGAGUAAAUGUUAUUCUUAGAAAAUUCAAUAGUUUUACUUUAGAACAAUAAUUCAUUUUCCAUUUUUUUGAACUUCAAUUCCUGAAAAAUCCUUGAUUUAAAGUUCUCAUAAACAAGCAAAAAGCCUUUAGUUUUUUUUUUUUUUUUAUCGGAGACGAUAAACCUAAUCCUUAUACUAUAUAAGAAUGAGUUAAGGACAAAGAUUUCAACCGCAAGGGUGUGGCUAUUUUGGGAAUAUGAGAGUAUUUGAAGUGCAAUUAGAGUAUUGAAUAUGAAUCAUUAUAACUAAUUUGGUUUUUUUUUAUAAUUACUUAAAUGUCCUGUCAGACAUUUAAAACUAUGGGUAAGUUUAACAUGUAGCAGUAUUCGAUAUCUGAUUAAACAUUGGGUACAAUUGAAUUCAGAUUGUGUUUUAGUGGAAUUACAUAAAAAUCCUUUUAAUAAUUUAAUUGGAUUAACAUCCAAGUCUAUUAAUUUCUUAAAGCCAUUCUUAUCAGUUAUUUGCAAACUUGUGAUAUAUAGAUGUUAAGACACAAUUAAUACGGAUUAGUAGAGAAGUUUGGUUUCUUGGCCGUUACUAUAGUAACCCCCAUCUAUUUAAAUUCAUUUCAUUUACUUAUAAUUUUGUCCCACUACAAUCAUGUAGUCUAUUGAAUUCAGAUGUUGCUAUAUUAGUUACUCCUCUUUCCCAUUUUGCAACAUCUUUUUCAAUAGGUAUGUUUUCUUUAACUAAUCUACUUUUUUUGUUGUAAGAAAUCUGCAAUCUUGCAAGUUGUACGUGCAAUACUUUUUUUAGUGUUUCAAUUCAAUUGCCCAUGUUAGAUAGGCUUGAUAGGGAGAAGAUCACAUUUGUUAAUUGUUAUUUGUGGUUUAAAAUAAGUUUAUCAUCAUAAAUUUUUUCAUUUAUAAAUUGCAUCUAACUCUUUUGUUGUUUUAACUAUUAGUUACGGUAAUUUUCAAAUUGUUUGCUACUUUAUUGAUGAUUUCAUUUAGACAAUUUUUCACUUCAUUUGAUUUGCCAAUAUGUUUAACUAUCUACUUAAAACUAUUUGGCUACAUAUCUAAAGUAUGUACUUCAUUACUUUUAAUUGUUUUCUUGAAUUGAGUGGAUUGAGAUGUUUUAGUACUUUUUGAGGUAAUUAUUCAUCUAAAUUAGCAUGUUAGUUAUUGUAUAUAUUUGCAACUAGGUCAAAAACUGAUAUUUUGUGACUGUAACCCCUACCAAGAAGAAGAUGUUUUGCUAUAUAUUCUAAAUCAUACAAUAAAUCAUAAUUGAUUGAUUGGUCAAUGUGGAUGUUUCAUGAUGAUAUGUCCUUGGAAUCAAUAUAAAUCAAAGAAUUUGGCUUGCGAGAACUGAAAUUCCACUAGCAAUGAUUUCUUCAAGUAUGCUAAUUGUUCAAAUCUCACUCAUAUGACAAGAUAAUGAGGUGGAUUGCCCUCGUAGCAAAAUCAAAUUCAAACUAAAUAACAAAUUUUAAUAUCCCUAAAAUGCAUGAGCAGAUAUAAGUAAAUCUUUUAUUCUAUUAGAUUAGACGCAAAGUGGUUAAUCAUAUUUUAUAAUUAUAUUUCAUUGCAUAUUAUACAUUUUUACUCAAUAUGUAAUUUAUGAUUUUUCUGUUUAAUAUCACAGAAUAAAAUUGUCAUACUUCAAUUAUUAUACUAUAAAAUACUAAAUAAUAAUUAUUAACUAUUUUUAAUUAUAAGUAUUAAACUCCCGCGCAUGACGCGGGCUUUUUCCCCUAGUCUAUCCUACACUAAGGGGAAGGGAGUGGGCCUAAGGAAGCCCAGGAAUAAGUCGGAAGGGACUGAACCAUCACCGGACCCGACGGGUGCACAACACACCCGCCUGAAUUUUUUGAAAAUAAGCCACAAAAAUGUGGCAUUUUUUGUGGAAGGCCCAGUGGAAAUAAGCCACCAUGUAGGUAGUGGCCACUGAGAAAAAGGCCCAGUGGUUGCAAAAAGCCCUUAGUUGUUAUGGUCAUUGUCCAAACCUAACGACUCAAGGCCUCCACUAGAAUCUCAUGUCACACUUGUAAGGAUCUAGAUGAUGAAAAGCUUGUUGAAAUAUCUAGCAAUCAUAAUUUCAUAAAUCUUUUACCAGACGUGCCAGUCUUUCAAUUGUGUAGUUCUCUUGAUUGAAGUUUAAUUGAAUCAAUGAAAUAUAAAUUGACCCGUUAACAAAAUUUUGCAUCUUCAGUUUUUUAGUAGCGAAAAAAAUCAUUCGCAUUAUCGUUUUUCUUGCAGUUUUUAUAGAAAAUGUUGAUCGCACUUUACUUUUUUUUAUAUUAUAAAUCACACUCGUAUAAUUUAUUUUAUAAUGUAGUCUAAUAAAUGAAAAUUUUGUAAUAGAAAUGAUACUUGAGCUGCCUGCAAUCAAUAAAAAGAAAAAGUACAAUUAACAUUUUUCGAAAGUAUACAUUGGCAAGUGUAAAAGCUGCAUGGAAGUAUGGAGCCCAUACAGUACAGUUUCACGAACAACAGCCCAGCAAACAUUCUAGGGGGGAUUGGCUCAUACCGGAAUGUAGCCUAGUCUCAAUUCGAGACAAGUCCAAACCUUCCAGAGGACAAUUUUGUGCUGUUUGAUUCUCAGGCGUGAUUUGUUCAAUCGUCUACAAGAAAUGAUUCUGAAACGUUGAAUUUUCCCACGCAAGUUCACAUUGUGAAAACAAACGAAAAAUAAAACAGUUGCUUUGGCCUAACUCCUAAUUUCUUCUCUCUCUCUCUCUCUCUUUUUCUUUCUCCCUCCCCACCCCAAAAUUUUCUACUACCACUAAUAUAAGUACAGCUCAGGGGAAAUACGUAGUGCUGGUGGUGGUCUAUUUCUAGAUAUGUAGUGGUGAUCCAUUUCUUUCUUUCUUUCUCAUUUUCUUGUUGAUAGAAUCGAAUCGGUCUACUAAUCUUGCAAGGAUUUCGGGUGUGUUUUAUUUUAAGACAAUGAAAUGCAAUUAAGUAGGCGAGGCACUAGGCAUGUAAUAAUAAUUGAGAGGUCACGACGAAAUUGAAUCACUAUUGCUCCUCAGUUGAAAAAUGCAAAUAAAACUCAUGAAACAUAGAAGAAGAGUGUGCAAUUUAGGCAGCUGAUUGGCUGAAGGCAUUGGGUCAAUAGUCACAAUUUUAUGGCAGAUACAUUUCGUGGUUUGAUUUCUGUGUUGAUACGAAUGACAGCUGGUUGAAUUAGUCGACACAUGGAAAACCCAACAAGAGUAGAACCAACAUUUUCUAAGCAGUUACAUCGUAUUUCUUUUUCAUGUUUAUCGAACUUUUUUUUUCGAAAUCGGUUGAACCGGAUGACGACGUUGAUUACCAGUGGUUUAUUCUGGUUUGGGCAUAUGCAAAAGAACAAAUGCGGAUCUGACAGUCACAAAGAAACAUGCGGUCCUAUGUCAAGUCAUCUUGAUUGUCUUUGAUUUGUUUCCCAAGUCAUGACAAGUAGAGGUCCUUCCCCUAACGAACGUGGCUGGGAAUUUUUGAUGAUCAAUAACAUCAUGUACAGCUCAAAAAGAGGAAGAGACCAAGUCCUCGGGGAUGACUUAAAGUGAUGGCUGUAACUUUGUAAAAGAAAUUGAACUUUUCUAUUUGUAACUUUGUUUGAGUUGAAAGCAAUACGAAGAAAAAUUUGAUUCACAGAUUCCAAUCACCUUUCUAUUUUUUUCAAUCAUCUUUUUAUCUCGCAUGCAUCACAUCACAUAAAGUAUUACGGUAAUUAUCUCCGGUAAAUCAUCCAAAUAAACUCCUAUCCAAACAAAUUUAUUACUAUCAACAGAAAAGAAAGUUUGGUCGUGGGAUACCCGUAGUCUCAGUCAAUCCUAUGCUCUUUAACUGUUUCAUCAGCCUCUUAAUCAAGAAAUCAAAUUGCAUUUCUCUUCAUUUGAACCAAUUGGCAACCACCACAAAUAUAAACCCAUCUCGUCAACUCAUGAAAUCCUACUCUAAAACUCCAAAAGCACUAGUGACUGGUGAAAACUGAAAUUGGCCAUCAUUAGUAAUCAGUCGAGACUCUAGAGGGUCAAAAACAACUUCGUUAACAUCAAUUAUAUAUUCCAACACUAAAAUAUUUCUGCUUGUGGAAGAAGAUUGCUCCACUAAAUAUUUUAUUAACUUGAGGGAUUUUUUUCCCCUUCUGGUGAUGGUGGACCGGUGGUGCAUCAACUCAGAGAUUCAGAUUGACGGAGUAAAAGAUGAGAAACCGUAAAGGGCAGAGAAAACACCUCUUUGCGUCAAUUUUCUAGUCCACACCUGUCGUUUCAUGGUUUUCCUGUCACAUCUUUGGGGAAUUUUAUACCGUGUGGACCUUCCCCCAGGCCAACUUUCCAUAUUCUCCAUCACCGUCUCUCCAAUUACCAAGAUGAUUAUUACUAGUAUAAAUUAGCGCCGCAAGCCUAACUUCAGUAAUUCAUUAGAGAAAAGAAGUAAAGUUUCUUUUGAUAAAUAGUGUUGGAGAUCACUGAGUUUCGAUUCCAUACUAACGAAAAUUUUCGAAAAAUAACAUUUUGCCAUCUUUUUGCCAAACGAAUGGACAAUAAUUCAUUGGGGGAGCUACCUCUUCCUGGAUUCCGUUUCCAUCCUACUGAAGAAGAACUCCUCAGCUUCUACCUCAAAAGAACUGCCUCCGGCAGGAAGAUACGUUCUGAUGUCAUUGGCUUCCUCAAUAUUUACCAGCAUGAUCCUUGGGAGCUCCCUGGUACUUCUCAUGCAUGUAUUACAAUAUUCUUUCUUAUCUUUUCAUUUUGUAAAAAAAAAAAAAAAAAUUAGGAAUACUCCAAAUUUUGUAAGGGACGAUUCAGGAGUCGAAACUCAUGGUCGCCUAACUAAUGUUCCUACUAGGCAGCUGAACUGCAAGUGUUACAAUUUUCUUUGUUAUAUACGUUUGCAUGUUGACAUAAUUGUUUAGGUCCAAAAUUUACCGGAUCAGGUCUCUGCGGUGGCAUCACAUUUAGCCCUUGUUGCGUGUAGUAUUGUUUUUCAUUGACAUGAUAAUUGUCUCAAGUUACCAAAAAAAAAAAAAGGAGUAUUUAAUUAGUUUUUUGAAAAAAAAUGUGCAGGAAUGGCUAAGAUAGGAGAGAGGGAAUGGUAUUUCUUUGUGCACAGGGAUAGAAGGCAUGGUCAUGGGGGAAGGCCUAAUAGGACUACCAAAGAUGGGUUCUGGAAGGCAACUGGUUCCGACCGUCAAAUUCGAAGCUUAUCAGACCCUAAGAAAGUUUUGGGGCUGAAAAAGACUCUAGUUUUCUACAAAGGCCGGGCACCACGAGGUUCCAGAACUGAUUGGAUUAUGAACGAGUACAGACUUCCUGAUAACCACCAUCAUUUACCUAAGGUACUACUCAUCAAACUCAACGAAUUUAUGCUAAUAGGCCGAACUUAAUUAAAGACUGCAUUUUCCUUCUUUUUUCUGCCGGGUUUUGACUACUGAGCAUUCUAACCUAACUAUACUUUUAGUAGUAUCUGAAAUAUUGAUGAGACUUGGAGUGCAAACUUUCUUUUCGAGGGCGUUGGGAAGCAAUCAUGCAUAUGUUUAUAAUUUCUGAUAGUUAUCUUUUUUGGAUUUUUUUUUUUUUUUUUUGGGGUGGGGACCGAAGCUAAUGAUACUUGUGUGAAUGCAGGAGGAUGUGGUACUUUGCAAGAUUUACAGAAAGGCGACGUCAUUGAAGAUUCUGGAGCACAGAGCUGCAAUGGAAGAUAUCAUAUCAAAAACAGUUAACCCAACUUUAUCGUCUACUGAUCAGUCUCAGGAGGGAAAGAUCCCAGAAGAAAACUUGGGAGAAUCAUUCUCACAAAAGCAAAGCACGAUCAAUCUUCCAAUGACAAAGCAAGAAGAUGAUGACCUCUCUGUUCCUAAUUCAUCUGUUAAAUUUGGUUGCCUGAAUUAUAAUUGUGACUUGAAGGAGCUACAAGUACUAGAUGUGCCCAAGUUUAGCAUGGAUGCGACUACAGACGCAUUUUGGACUCAAAUGAGAAGCCCGUGGCUUGACAAUUGGAGCCCGAGUGUUUAUGCCAACCUUCUUAACUGCUCGCCCCAUUGCUGAAAAUCCCAAGUUAGUGUGAAUUACUACAACUGGAGGAUAAUUUAUGGUAAUCUUAGCCUCGCCUCACACAGCCCAUGAAGCAAUGUGUUAUGCGUGCACGAAUUAGGAUUUACGCCCCUUUGCUUCCAUUUAUCCAACAUACUAAGGGCUUAACAUUUUGGAGAAUGGUGCAGAACGCAGCAAUCAGCACCCUGUUUAAAAGCGGGGUCAAAUCUUGACACUCUGACAUUGGCUAAAGUUGUGACAAAAUGAGGAAGCUAUAAGCAGAAUGAUGUACGUGGGAAGAUUAAAAAAAAAGUAAUAAUUGAAAGGCGUAUGUAUGUAUGAUGUAAACAAACAAUAAUGAUUUGUAGAUAAUAUCUUUUCAAUUCCUUGAAAAUUCAUCAGUUUUUUGUUUUAUCCUAACCUCUUCAAUGUCUCUUUUACGAUUUUUUUUUUUCUUCAAAAAAUAGCUUUUUUCAGGAGAGUACUUUACUUUUCUAUAUUUUGAACUUCAAUUCCUUUUGCUUCGAGAAUUUGUUGAUUUUAAAUUCUGAUAAACUAGCCAAAGCCUUUAGUUAUUGUGCUUGUCCAAAUUAACCUAAGGCCUUCACCGAAGUCUUAGGUGCCAACCACCGCGAAUAUGGUAUUAUCGAUCACUUAUAAGCAUCUAGAUGAAAAGCUUGCUUGGUGAAAUAUCUAGUAAUCAUAAUUUUGACAAUUUGGAAGAAUGAUCUUUUGCUGUACAGUCUGGGGCUCUCAUUUCAAUUGUCCAGUUAUCUAAGUUGAAAUUGGUAAAGACACGCACUAACUUAAUAACAAAAGUUUUUCUUGCAUUUUGCUCCCUUUCGGGGGUGUUAAAUGCCAGAGCUUGAAAUUUGUUUUCACACCAAUAUUUGGAUCAAGUCUUAAAUGCAAUUUAGACUUGGAAAUGGUAGUUUUGGAAAUGGGCUGCAUACUUAGCUAAACGCGUUGCGUGGGCGCGCGCGCGCGCGCGCACACACACACACAUAUAUAUAUAUAUAUAUACUCUCUCCGUCCCACUUUGAUAGUCUUGUUUUCCUUUUUCGUCUGUCCCAAAUUGUAGUCCACUUUCCCAUUAAGAAAUGUAAUAAUCUUUCAAAAUUGUCUAAAAUACCCUUAUUAAAUAUCUUGUUAUUAAUACAUUGUUAUUAAAUACUAACCCACUGCAUUGGAUACAUUGAGUUUUUUCAAUACUAACCCAUUAGCUGUAACUGAUAUUAAUUGGCACUCUUCGUGAUUAGCAUAAGGGUAUUUUAGAAAAUUAUUAAUCUAAAUUUAUGUUUCCAACUAAAUUAAUUACACUUUCUUAAUCUGUGUGAAAAAAAAAUCAAGACUAACAAAACGGGGCGGAGGGAGUAUAUAUUUAUACAAAGACCCGAGAAAAGAUCCAUCAGUGCUGCGUGCGAAGUGUUGCCUCUAGGAGAGGUCUUUUAAACAAAAUUUUUGUACCAAACUCGAUCGUGAUCUUAUUUGCCUCAUCAAUGUAUCUUAUCUGGUACAUAUAUUUGAGCGUGUGCUUUAGGCAAUUAAAGCUGAUUUCUGUAAACUAUCAUAUGAUAGGGUGAAGUUGCCAGAAAGAAACUAGAGUUUUAACUAAUAAUUAUAAGGGAUUUUAUAAUUUAUCACCUGACUGCUGGAUGAUAAAGGAAUGUGGUCUCGGUGGAAAAAGUGUAAAAACUCCAAACCAUUCUUGUGGCGUGGAAGCCAACUUUCAGCAGACGCACCCAUGAUUGUGGCUGUUCUUGGCUGUUUGCUACUCAGGCGUGAUUUGUUCAAUUUAUCCACAUGCAUGAAUCUGAAUUGUUGAAGUUUUUCCCCAUGCAAGCUGAGAUGAGAUUGUGAACCAAAACCAAAAGUGGCUUUUAGCCUAACUCCCAACUUCUUCUUUCUCCUUCGUCGCCCUUCAUUUUCUGUCGGCCAUAAAAAGAAAAAGUUUUUGGAUACUAAUAUCUAGUGUUAGUCCAUUUAUUCCUUCGUUGUCGUUUUCCUUUUGUUAAAUAGAACCGCUCUGAUCUUCCAAGAAUUUCAUUAAUCUUGGCCUCGUUUUGCUUGAGACUUAGGGCUGCUUAUAAGUCAGUCUAAUUACUUUCUAGAAAUGUAGAAGACGUCUGGGGCCAACUUUUGUUCAUCAUCCAUCUCCUCUAUUUUUUUUUUUUUUUUCGUUUUGGCAAUUGUAUUACAUGUUUUUGUAGAUUUAUGCUAAGCUUAAUUGAUUUUAUACAGAACUUGUAGGUGCUUUGAAGAUAGAAAAACACUUGUGGGUAUUUUUGUGUCACAGGACUUGGGCUCAUUUUUGGCAGAUACAUUUCAAGGUUAUGAUUUCUGUGUUCACACGACUGACUGGUUCAAAACCCGGUUAACACAUGCAAAGUCCAACAAAACCAAUCAUCUUUUGACUAAUUAUAGCUACAUUUUUUUUUUCUUUUUCAUGUCUAUCUAAUUAAAUUUUGAUCUGCAUCAGUUAAAGCAGUAGAACUACAACUAAACCAGCCAGCAGUUAAGUGAGUUGUACUGAUUUGGACACACACGCACACACGCACCUGUGUGUGUGUGUGUCUAUAUAUAUAUAUAUAUAUAUAUAUAUAUAAAUGCGAAUAUUUAGCCACAUCAAUGAUGAAACAUGCUGUCCCAACGUGUGUCCUCCUAAGUCAAGUCUUCUUCCUCGUCCAUGAAAAGUAGGAAGUUCUUUGCUCUAGCAAACAUGGGCAUUGGGAAAGCGAUCGAUCACACGGCGUACAACUCAAAACGAUGAAUAGACCAAGUCUUCGGGGUUGACAGUUGACUCCCAAGUGAUCAUAAAAUGCUUUUCAAUGAUUUUUAAUUAUGAAACACAAAGGUGCUCCUUCCCUUCUAUACUGUUGUAAUUACAUCUCAGUACGUAGGCUAAUUAUCAGAAGAAGAAAAAAAAAAGUUACAUACAACGUAGAUUCUAAGGGUCAAGAGUCAAGACGAAACAAAAUUUUAAGACUGCUCAUUUUUUGUUAUGCACUCAUUAAUUUGAAGCACAAUUUGGGGAAUGGCCAUAUUUUAAAGUGUGGAAGGGUAACUUUCAAGCGUAAACUUAAGGAAUUUUACGUGUACAACACCGAAAAUAAAUUAAAAAAGGGUUAAUGUCUUUAGGGUACAUUUGAUAAAACUGAAAUCUAAAUUCUGAAUUCAUUAAAUUAUUGAAUUGUUAAGUAUUAAAUCUAAUACAUUUGGGUGCAUAUCACAUUGUGAUAAGUGAAUAGCAUAUCAAUUAAUUUUGGGAGCAAGUUUUGCCUAGAAAAUUUAGUGCCAUUUAAUUAAUUCAGAUGUUCAAUUUUUUAUUAUCAAAAGGUCUAAAUAUAUUAAGUUUAAGGUUCCAUUUGAUAAAACUGAAUCUGAAUUCUAAAGCCUGAAUUAUGAUAUCUGAAUAUUGAAACAAUUAAUUUGCUGAAUUUUAAACACUGAAAAAAAAUAUAUAAGUGUCUGAAUUUUAAUAUUAAACCUAUUUAUACUGUUUGACAAACAUUAAUAACUGAAUACUUAAUAAGUUAGAUUUGACAAUUUUGCCCUUAUAUUUUGUCAUCUAAAAAAGAAAUAGAACCUGUGAUUUAAUUAAUUUAAAAUAGUUAGGAAUAAAAAUGACAAUACUUAUUUUUAAAUCAAAUUAAUAUAAAAGAUGAAAUAUAUUAUAUGAGAAGUAUAGAAAAGAUGUGAAAGUCAUUAAAAAGGGAGAAAAUCGAAAUAGAAAACCCUUAGAUAGAGAAUAUUAUGUUGUUUAAUUAGAUAAGAAUUUUGAACAUAAUUAACAAGUAAUAUUAGAUUUGGUAGAUAAGAUAAAGUAGUUGAAAUAAUUGAGUUUAUUGCCAAAAUAACUCUCCUUCUACAACAUAUACCCAAAGUAACCUAAUUUUAAAAUUUAUUACCUUUAUAAUUUUUUUGGCCACAUAGGUUGCACAUGUAUCAGGACAGAGAUAGAGGCACACUCUAUUUCUUUUUUCCAUCUAAUAGUUUUCCUAAUUCUCUGUCUCCGUGUUUUUUCCUUUCAUUGCCUUUUCCUUGUCAAACGUAAUUUUGAGAAGUCAAUAUUUAUAUUAACAGUAUAUAAAAAUUCAUUAUCAUCCUUGAUAAUAUCAAGGUAAACAAAGAUUAUUUUCUUAUCUUUUCUAUUGUGCAAUUUUUGGAACAUUGCUAUGGCGUUCAAAAAUUUUUUGAAUAUUAAUUGUCUAACAAAUGAUAUCUCACACCGUGUAUUUGAUAAAAAGUCUAGGAGAAAAUAAUCUAACAGUUUUAGAUUUGCAAUCGAAAACUUGAAAAUUUUAGUUUUAGGUUUUUUUUCAAAGAGUAAGAAGGAUAAUAUAAACAAAUAUGAUAACCUUGAAGUUUUUGUAACUUUUUCUUGUUAUUACUUACAAUUUUUGUUGCAAUUUUUGAAUUUUUCAAAUUUAAUUUUUGAAAAAAAUAUAUGCAAUAGGUUUGAUUCAUUUCAAGAAAAAUGUAGAGACCAAUCAUAGUAAGGUCAAUAAUGGUAGAAUUUGUUUUAAAUAAUUAUAAGAAAACUAUCAAAGUUAUGCAACCUUAUUGUGUCUCUAUGAUUAAAAAAAAUUAAAAAUUUUAACUCAUGUUGGAAACUAUAAACUAGAUCAAAACUUUCCUUUCUUGUUAUCCUACGUGGCAAUCAGGAUAAUAAGGUGGCAAUAAUAACAUCAUUAUGAAAAUAAAAUUUGAAAGUAAAUCAUAUUGAGAAUAUUUUUUAAAAAGAGUGUUAUUUUAGCAAAAAACUCGAAAUAAUUCUAUUAAUUUUUAUCAAAAUUAAGUAUUCAGUUAGGAUUUUUGUGCUGAAAAAAAUACACACAAGUUUAGCACUGCUUAACAAGUUCAAUAGAUGGAUUUUCAUUUAUCAAACAUUCAAAACAUCUGAAUAUCUGAAAAAGUUCAAUUUCAGCACUUUUUAUAUUGUCAAACAGACUCUAAGUGUUGAAUUAGGUUAUCAAACAGAACCUUAGUUAAGGUUUCAUGUGAAAAAUGUGCUAGAGUAUAAUAAAUAUACUUUGCUGAUUGUUGUAACUGAUUUUUUGUGCGUUAUUGAAGUAAAAUAUAUACAUGAAAAAAAGAAGCUUAAACGGGUGCUUUAGAAAUAAAAACUAAUUGUUUGUUUGGGCAUAAACCAGAAGGGCAUCCCUUUUCGAAAGAAAUAUAUCAAACUUUUUCUGUUUGUAACCUGUUUUGAGUUAAAACAAUAUGAAGAAACACUAGAAAAUUGAAAUUGAAAGAAAAUUUUGGACAUAAAAAACCAUUUUAUAGACUCUUCUUAAUAAAAAAAAUAAAAUUAUUCUUGCACAUUUCUUUUAGUUUGAUCAAAUUCGCAUCAUCCAUUCAUGCCAAGUAAAUCUACCUUAUCAACUCAUGAAAUCACGCUCUAAAAUUCCAAAGGGUCCUCAUGAUCAGUUGUCAGUCGAGACUCGAGACGGGCUAAAACAACUAAUAUAUCACUCAUUCCAACACUAAGGGGGCGCUUGGUUCAAGUUUAGGAAUUGAAAUUGUAAUUGGAAUCAUAGACUCUGGUUUUGGAAUUAAAACUUUUCAUUCCAAUAUCUUGCUUGGUUCACAUAUUGGAAUUAGCAUUAUUCCAAUUCUUGAUGCUUGGUUUGAUGAGUGUUUCGGAAUUAAAUGCAAUUAAAUUCCAAAUUUACCCCUGAUAUAACAAUUCUUCUAAAACAAAAGAAUUACACAUACGACAAAUUAACAUUUUCAUAAUUGUGACUACAAUAGUUAUUAACUUUUUGAUAAAACAUAAGAAAAUCAUAAAUAAUAAAAAAAUUAAUACCAGAAAAUAAAUAUAGUGGCUGCAUUAACAAGGAGUAAAUUCCCAAAAAAAGGAGUUUUUAAACAAUCACCCAAAAGGUGACGAUUUUUUAGUCUCUUCCCAAAGGGUGAAAAAUGCAUCCAAGAAAUGUGUUCUUCCAAAUAAAAAAGUAACUUUCAAAUACGUUAUUUUAUGUUUUGGAAAUUUGUUUAAAUAGAAAAAAUUGGUUAAAUAGCCCAUAAGAUACCAGCUCUUUAUGGGAAACUGGCAGGUUUUGUACCAGCUUUAUGGGAAAAAUUGAUUAAAUAGUGCCCAAAGGAAAACUGGUAUGUUUUGUAUUUAACAUAAAUUAAAAAUGUGAAAGUUAAAAAAAAAAAUUGCCCAUAAGAUACCAGCUCUUUAAGGGAAACUGACAGGUUUUGUAGUAUGUUUUGUACAAACUCUUUAUGGAAAACAUACCAACUCUUUAUGGAAAAAAAUUGAUUAAAUAGCACCCAAAGGAAAACUAGUAUGUUUUGUAUUUAAUAUAAAUUAAAUAUGUGAAAGUUUAAAAAAAAAAUUAUUCAUAAGAUACCAGCUCUUUAUGGGAAAUUAGCAGGUUUUGUAUUUAAUACGCUAUUUAACCAAUUUUUUAUAUUUAAACAAAUUUACGAAAAUUAAAAUAACGUAUUUGAAAGUUGCAUUUUUAUUUGGAAGAACGCAUUUCUUGAAUGUGUUUUUCAUCAUUUGGGAAGAGACUCAAAAAUUGCCAGCCUUUAGGAAGUUAGUUUAAAAACUCUUUCUUUUUGGAAAUUUACUCCAUUAACAAGUCGUUUGUGGUUCCUACAUUAGAUAAUGAUAUGAAAUAGAUCUCUCCUUACAUAUAUGAACAAAAGAAGGAGACUCAAAUCACAAAAACUAACCAUACCAAAUACAAAUCAAUUGUCUAAUCCAGUCGAGAGUACCACUCAAUGUCCACAAUCUCCAAAAGACUAAUCAUAUAACCAUCUAACAAUCACCAUAACAAAAAGAAAUUGCCAUCAAAUCAUCACUUUCCAACUAACAAUAAUUUUACUUCAGCGAGUAGAUGGAGGAUAAAGGAGGUUAAUUAUAUAUUGUCGUUUCAUUUCUGCAGGAAGAUUGUAGAACACAUGAAGCUUGGAAAUCUGCUCCGAAAGUAUGUCGGCUGCAUUCAUUACAUCUCCACUCGAUAAAGCAAGUUUCAUUAAUUCAGCAACAACUUGAUCUCUUCUAUCGGAGACCAAUUGCUCACGUUUAUCCUCAUUUGACAUGGCUGCUGCCAUAGUCGUAAAAUUAGCUUGAAUUCCCUCCACGAAAUCUCCAAAUUUGCUGGUGAGAAGUUGCAAUGAUGCAUCAAGAUCACCCCUUGUUGUUGAUGCAGAUUUCAUUUUUUUUGACACAUUUGCAAUGGGAGGGGAUUGUUUCUUUUGUUUCUUGGAAUUUCUUGUGCUUGUUGAGCUUGGUUGAGUUGAUUGCUCCAUGGAAUUUACUUCAUCUUCUUCUACCUUAUCAUUAUCCGAGUUUGACAUAUCAUCAAGUCCUUCAUCUCUUUCCUCCAAAUUUUGGAAAUCUUCCAUAUCUUGGACAGCUUGUGCAAAAUCUUCAGCAACAUUUCCAGUGGCUCUGUCUCUUCCAUAUACAAUUUCAAGAUCUCCUAAAUAUGAAAAUUUGACAUCCCAAAGGCCCUUCGCAUCCUUAUGAGUCUAGAGAUAGAAUAGAAAGAUAAAUGAUAAUCUUAAUAAAAGGUUGAAAAAGAACAUAUCAGAAUGUAAAAAGUAAUCAAUUUCUUACCUUGCACCAAUCAUCAUACCACUGUUUUUCACAAGAAAUCUUUUUCUCAGCAUCAUUCCAACUACAACCACUUUCUUUGCACAUUUCAACAAUUGCAUGGAACCUAUUUUUCAGCCACUUAACUUUUGAUUCAAUAUGUGGGCUGACUUGUUUGGUAAAAGUAGGUUGCUUACGCAAGAUAAUUUUAAGCAAUUCGCUCAUAUAAUUAUUUUUAAAUCCUCCAUCUGAUUUCCACAUUGGAUCACAAGCCAACUCUUGCAAUGAUUCUAUGAGCACUUUUACCUCUUCACCAGUCCAAAAACAUUUAUUUUUCCCUCUUCCACGUACAAUUUCAUCAUUCUCCAUCCUAUCAUUUAGAAGUCAACCCAUAUAUAUCAAUUAAUUUUGAUACACAAUAGCAUAUAACUGAAAUUUAUAAUAUAACAAAACACAUAAAAGAACAUACAAUUAAAAGUCAAUCCAAAUUUAAAAGAACAUACAUCAAGUGUCAAUCUAAUUCACAAAUCCACUACAAGAGUACAUCAAAUGUCAAUCCAAAUUUAAUGAGUCUAAGAGCUAAACAUCCAUUCAUAGCUAAAUACUAAGCCCAGCCCUCCAAUUAUCAAACAUUUCAUGUGCUAAAUUAUUUCUAAAAUUUGCCCAUUGAUCACUUGGCAAAAUAGUGGAUAUGCACUUUACUUCUUCAUCACUGUCUUCAUCUUCACUUUCAUUUUCUUCACUUUGUAGUAAUUCUUGUGGAUCAAAAGUCAUGAACUUCCUUAUCAAGUUGUGCAGCAGACAACAUGCCAUAAUUAUUCGCACUUGUGUUUGAAUUGGAAAAAAUGAAGGGGAUGCUAGAAUCUUCCACCUUCCUUUUAGCAAUCCAAAACAUCUUUCUAUGAUAUUUCUAGCUUUAGAAUGUUUCAUGUUGAAAUAUUCCUCUGGUCUUUGUGGUCGAUAACCAUUGAAUUCAUUAAGGUGAUAUCUUUGCCCUCGAUAAGGGGCAAGAAAUCCAUCAGCAUUACAAUAUCCAGCAUCCACCAAGUAAUAACAACCUUCAAAAUUCAAUCAUGUACAAAUUAAUACUAGACUACCUUAUUUUCGAAAAAAAAUUGAUUGAAUGGUAUUGAAUACUGCAAUAUAUGUUUACCUUGUGGGACUCUAAGACCAUUUGGUCUAGAGAUGGCAUUUCGAAGCACACGACCAUCAUGUGCCGAACCUUCCCAACCAGGCAAGACAUAGAUAAAUUGCAUAUUAGGAGAACAAACCCCUAAUACAUUCGUUGCAAUACUUCCUUUUCUCGUUCGGUAUCUUGAUUUUUGUUCGGUGGGUGGUGUCACAUCUAUUAAUGUCCCAUCUAAGGCACCUAAACAAUUCUAUUUUAAUAAAAAUAAAAAAUAUAAAUGAGUUAAAAUGUCUAUAUUGGAUAGUUUAGAUGAAAACAUACAUUUUAUUAAAUAAUUGUAUUUUAAUGUUUGAAUUACCUUAAAACAUUUCCAUCUCUCAUCUGUGCAAUCUUCGGUAAUAGGCUCAGGCUUCUUAAGUAAUAUAGUAUGCAAUUUCAAAACUGCUAGGAGGCAAAGAUUAAAUUGACGACUCACCGUUUCUCUACUUCUCCAAAAUAGACCACAAAUUGUUCUACUUUUCUUGUGGUGAGCCAAAACAUAUACAAACAUGGCAACAAUUUCUUCUAUUGACAUGUUUCUUGUAGCUUUCAAACCUCCAGUGUCUCUAAUCAUUUCACAUAAUAUCCCAAAUGCUCGUCUAUCCAUACGAAGUUCGCUAAUACAAUAAGCAUCACUCUCCCUAGUCAAAUUGAAUAAGUGUUGCAUGCGCUCAGUGACUUUUUCUUCUUUUGAUUUUAUUUGGAGUCUUCUACUUUUGAGAUGAAUGAAUAUUAACUGGUACCACAUCAUAAACAGUGCAAUAACAACCAUUAUCAUUCCUGAUAAAAUCUGGCUUUGCCCUCGAUAUUUUUUGCGUCUUCUGUUUUCAAUAGGCAAACGUGGCAUCUUUGUCUACAUAACAAUAUGACAACCAAACGUAAGUAUUCACCAAACUAGAUUACGGCAUCAAAAUCUUCAAAUGCAUUAAACAUCAAUUGAUCUUAUUAAAAGGGCCUAGACAUGCAUCAUACAUCCGUAAACACAAUGAUGUAUAGAUAUAAAUAAGCAUAAACAAACGAAAUUGAUGGUUGAAACUUGAAAUCCUAUUGUACGAAUAACUAUGAAACUGAAAGCUAUUCAAGCAGACAAUUUUACAAACAGGUACAGGGCAUGUAGAAACCCACCCAAACUAUACCAGUAUUCACGGAUCAAAUAACCAAAAGAUCAAGAAUUGAUUGACCUCUAUUGAAUGCGUAAUCCAAGAAAACACAUUAAAAACAUAAAAAUGACAAAUCUAGUGACAUUAACAUUUAUCUCACCAAAAAAAAGAACAAAAUAAUGUAUUUGUUGAAGUAAGUGAAUUAAAAUACAUGUAUUACAACAAAAUACAUGGAUUAAAACACAUGUAUUAUUCUCACCAAUAAUAGUGUAUUUGUUGCGGAAAUAAUUUCUUAUUGGAUUUUGUGACAAAAGAAUAGGAAUUCAUGGAAGGAAGACUUUUUUGCAAAACUGACAAAUUGUGUAGCGUGAGUGGAAUAAAAGUGAGAAGGUGAUGGGUCCAGAGCAUAGCAUUUUGGUCCAGUUAGUGUUAUUGUAUCAGAUUCCCUUCUUUUCUUCUUUAUUUUCAGCUACCCAGUGAGUAGCCUGAAAAAACAGAGAAGAAGAAAGAGAAAAGCUUGCAUACGAAAAGAAAAUUGCAGAGGCAAGGGAGUUUGUAAUCCACUGACCUGGGGAUCAAGGAAUUCACCCUAGUAGAAGACUCUUUAACUCUAGAAUUCGUUGUCCAAGGAGAGUCAAAAGCCACUGAUCUUUAUGGUUGUCCAACCGGUGAAGUAGAAGAAGUAGAAAAUCUGAUGAAGAAGAAGAACAGAAGGUGCGGCGUGUAAUGAAGAAAAAAAGAGGGUAGGUUCGUCAUAAAUGUUUUUGCUCGGGAAUGAGUUGAGGGUUUUGUCCAAAACCUCCCAAUUUACUCAGGAAUGGUGAAAGUCCGAUUUUUUAGAAAUGAUUCCAGAAAUUGCAUUCCAAUAGACUUAACCCAAGCAACAAAUAAGGGGUUCAUUCCAUUAUUUGAUUCCCAAACCUUUUAACCAAGCAGCCCCUAAUAUUUCUGUUUAUGGAAGACAAUUCCUCCACUAAUUAUUAAUUAAUUAACUUAAGAGAUUUGGAAUUUUUUUCCCCCUCCACUGGUGGUGAAUUAACCAUAGAGAUUUAGGAUUUGUUUGGAUUGUAAGUUAUUUGAAAUAUUUUUAUUAUAGCACUUUUUUGUGAUGUGAUGUAUAUGAGAUAAAAAGAUAAUUAAAAAAAUAAAAAAAAUAUUAAAAAUUAUUAUAAUAAUAAUAUAAAUAAAUAUAUUUAGAAAAAUAAUCAGCACAGCUGUGCAGACAAAUCCGUUAGAUUGACGAAGUAAAAGAUGAAAAUAGUUCAUUGUCUAGUCAAGACAAGACCCGUCUUUAUAGUACUCUUGUCACAUCUUUUGCGAAUUAUACAACCGUGUGGACCUUCCCCUCACACUUACUUCCAAAUUCUCCACCACCCAUUUCUCCAAUCCCGUGACGGUUACUGCUACUAUAAAUUAGCACCGCCAGCCUUUACUUCAUUAAUUGAUUAGGGAAAAGGAGUUAAAUUGCUUUGGAUAUAUAGUCUUGGAGUAAGGUCGGCAGAGUUUUUGAGUCCAGACUUGAGGAAAACAUUAUAGGCAAACAACGUAACAUUAUUAUUAUUGGUCAUCUUCCUGCUGAUUAAGGGAAUGGACGAUAAUUCAGUGGGGGAGCUAACUCUUCCCGGGUUCCGUUUCCAUCCUACCGAAGAAGAACUUGUCAGCUGCUACCUUAAAAGAAUUGCAUCCGGCAAGAAAUUACCUUCUGAUAUCAUCGGCUUCCUCAACAUUUACCAUCAUGAUCCUUGGGAGCUACCCGGUAAUUUUCAUGCAUCUAUUACAAUUUUCUCGCGUUAUACGCGAAAACUCUUUUUGGUAUGGUUUAGGUCCAAAACUAUUGCCAUGGAAUUACACUUGGCAUAUGUUGUGUGUAAUUUUGCUUUUCUUGAAUUAGCACAAAAGAAAAAACUUUCUUGAAAAUAUGUGCAGGAAUGGCUAAGAUGGGGGAGAGAGAAUGGUAUUUUUUUGUGCAUCGGGAUAGAAGGCAUGGUCAUGGGGGAAGGCCCAAUAGAACAACAAAAGAUGGGUUCUGGAAGGCAACCGGGUCGGACCGUCAAAUAAGAAGCACAUCUGAGCCCAAGAAAGUUUUGGGUCUCAAGAAGAUUCUAGUUUUCUAUAAAGGCCGUGCACCACGAGGGUCCAGAACUGAUUGGGUCAUGAACGAGUUCAGACUUCCUGACCAUCCUUUACCUAAGGUACUAAGUCAUAAACUCCUAAUCUUUGGGUUUUUUUUUUUAAAAUUUGUAAGUAAGAGAUUUUGAACAUAGACGUUUCACUUAUAUUCCCUUUCCUGAUAUCAUCCAAUUGAUUCCUUCCCGUAUCGGGAUUAAUUAAAGAGUCAACUGUACUUUUCUUUUCUUUUGUGCAUUUCUUCUUCCUAUGGACCUUUUUAUUUUCAUGAUUGGUUCAGUUUCGAUGCACUUUAAGUAUUGGUGAGACUUGGAGUCCAAAUUUCCUAUUUCGAAGGAGUAGGACCUAAUGAGCUUUUAUUUCUAUUUCUAUUGGUGAGACUUGGAGUCCAAAUUUUUACUUCUAUUUGUAAAUGCAGGAGGAUGUGGUACUUUGCAAGAUUUACAGAAAGGCAACGUCAUUGAAGAUCCUGGAACAUAAAGCUGCAAUGGAAGACGUUAUAUCAAAAACACUUGAACCAAGUUUAUCAUCUACUCAGCCUCAAGAGGGAAUCCCACAAGAAAACUUGGCAAAAUCAUUAGCACAAAACCAAAGCAUGACCAAUCUUCCCUUGACAAAACAAGAAGAUGAUGACCUCCUUGUUCUUAAUUCACCUGUUAAAUUUGGUUGUCUAAAAUACAGUAAUGACUCGAAGGAGUUACAAGCACUGGAUGUGCCCAAGCUUAGCAUGGAUGAGACUGCAGAUGCGUUUUGGACUCCAAUGAGAAGCCCGUGGCUUGAAAAUUGCAGCCUGGAUGCUUUUGCCAGCCUCCUUAACUGCUAACUCCAGUGCUCAAAAUCCAAGUUAAUGUCCGCGGAAGACUGUGAUUUUCAAGUGAAGGGUAAUUAAUUGAAAUAUUAGACUCGAGGUCUGAUUAAGCACGGCAUUUUCUUUUAGUUGGGAGUAUUUUUAAUCACAUGUGCUUGUGCAAAAUUGAUAGGUAUCGAGUUUGUACAAUAAUAAAUACUUAUUCGAAAAAGAAAAAAAUAUAUAAUUUUUGUGUAUAGCGGUGAGUAGGAUCGAAUCCACAGAUAUUUGAGAAAUAUAUUUCUUCUCGGAUUCAAAGUAUGGGGGAAUUUUGGAGAUAACCAACUAAAUUUAGCAAAAUCAAAAUAACACAAAUAAAAUAAAAUUAAGUCGAUAAUUGCAAAACUCUAACCAGAGGAAUAACUGUUAGACUAAGUUCGUAAACUGAUCAUAGAUGCAAUGAUGAAUUCAAUUAUUUAUUGAUAAAUUAAUUCUACCAUAAAAGCCAACUCUUCCUUAUUUUAUCGAUAGUCAAGGCGCAACCGUUGACUAUUUCUCCAAAUAGGAAACAACUCUAGGAACCUCCCAUAGAAGUUUAAUUUCCCAAUUGUAUGAAGAAUUAGAAGAGUUUAAUUCUAACCAAUCAACACGCUACGAGGGUCUCUUUAAGUUAGAUUAUUCGUUCCACUAACACAAACUUAAUUAUGCCAGUUGCUACCGAGAUUAAAUCAAUCUAAUAAUUAUGUAUUAAAUCACUUCAAUUAACAAUCAACUAUCAGAUCAAUUCAAAUACCGGGUCCUUUGAUAUUCAAAUAACAUAAUAAUCAUAAAUAUCAAAACCAAAGAACGAAUAAAUACCAAUAAAUGAAAAAAAUAGUGUAAUUAAUGCAAGCUCAUAGUUUGUAGAUUCAAGUUUUCAAGCUAUCCUCAGGUAGAAAAAGAAUGUAGCGGCGCAUCCUCAAAGGAAAUCCACAAGAAUCCAUUGAUAAUAAUUGUGUAUAGUUUUUCCUCCCAAAAAGUGAACGACAGACUCCUAUUAUGUUCCAAAGAAUCACCCUUGCGAAAUUGUUGCCGGCCGAACUCUUAAUCACGCAAGUCCGUCCUUUUUUUUCUCCCUUUGUUUUCUAUUUAACAACAACUACUAAUAAUAAGACAUGUUUCCCAAAAUAGAAAAAGGAAACUACUUAAGAUGAUAUUCCAAGUUUCCUAAUUCAAUACUAAAACUAAUAAUGAGAAUUAAAGUUUUCAAAGUUUUCCUCCAAAAGCUGCCCUGAGUUCGAUUUGGACUUGGAAACUGACCCGAAUAUGUCACCAUCAAAUUAACUGGAAAAUUGCCCCUUUUAAUCAUGUUUUGCUCAUUUUCCUACAAUUAGCAUCAUUAACUAAAUAUAAAUAGAAUCCAUCAAUUAAAAUAAUAUUUGGCUAAAAUCAAGAAAAAUAUAAUCAUAAAUUAAAUAGCAAUUUUGCAUCCUAUCAACCUCUUUGUUCUUCUUUAUUCAUCUGUUAAAUUUGGUUGUCUAAAAUACUGUAAUGACUCGAAGGAGUUACAAACACUAGAUUUUGCCCAAGUUUAGCAUGGAUGAGACUGCAGAUGCGUUUUGGACUCCAAUGAGAAGUCUGUGGCUUGAAAAUUGCAUCCCGGAUGCUUUUGCCAGCCUCCUUAACUGCUAACUCCAGUGCUGAAAAUCCAAGUUACUGUCUAGAGCUGUAAACGAACCGAAUCGAACCGAGUAUCUCAUGUUUGAGCUCUGUUCGUUAAGCAGUUCGAACAACGUUCGUGUUCGUUCGUUAAUUUUCGAAUUCCAAACCUGUGUUCGUGUUCGGUUCGUUAAGUAAAAUUCGUGUUCGAGUUCGGCUCGUUUAACAUAAACGAGCCGUUCGCGAACAUGUUCGAAAUGCUCGAAUCCAAAUUAUUUUAUGCCUUAAAUAUGCCAUGCAAAUUAUUAAUCAUUCUAAAAAAUAAUUAAAGCGCUAAGUGACUAAAUUCUAUUAUUCAUUAACUAUAUAACUAACAUUAACAUAAAAACAACAAAUAAAACAAAGAAAUUUGCCCUCCAAAUAUAAAAGUCCAGCCAUAAAAUUAACCCUAAAUUUGUUAAAUGAUAAUUAUGUCUAUGUUCGCGAACGUUCGUUAAAACUCGCGAACAUGUUCGUGUUCGCGAACGUUCGUUUAGCAUGUUCGCGAACGUUUGUUAAAACUCGUGAACAUGCUCGUGUUCGCUCGAUUAUUAAUCGAACAAAAAAAUUCGUUCGAAUUCGGUUCGUUUAAAAUUUCGAACGAGCCUUUCACGAACACGAACGAGCCGAAACGAACCGAGCUACCGAACAGCUCGGUUCGUUUAACAGCUCUAUUACUGUCCGCGGAAGACUGUGAUUUACAAGUGAAGGGUAAUUAAUUGAAAUAUUAGACUCGAGGUCUGAUUAAGCCCGACAUUUUCUUAUAGUUGGGAGUAUUUUUAAUCACAUGUGCCAAUAACAGCAUCUGUAAUAAUCAAUUGGAAAUUUUUAGCCUCAUUUGCGGUAGAAAAAUGAGGGUCCUCGAUUCCUUGUAAUCUAAUAUGAGUGGCAGAUCAACUUAUUUUCCUUAUCUUAAAAAAGAGACGUUAAGGAACAUGUAUACAUUUUCAAGAGGUAAUGUAACUUGGGUUCUUUUCUUCUUUUUUUUUUUCACUUUUUUCUAUAGAAGCAAAAAAGGGGUUAAUUACACUUUGCUCUCCUAAACUUUGGUAGUCACUACACUUUAUCCUUCUCAACUUUAAAAAUAUACAGUUUACCCCCAUAAAGACUAGUCAGAGCUAGAAAUGCCAAAAAAAAGUACAAUAACAUUAUUAUCCUUUUAUUUAUGACGUUAUCUGUAACCUAUUAUUAUUUUCUUUUAUUGCUAGAAAAUGAAAAAGUUAUAUUCAGUUUAUUAUCCUUAAAAUUUUUUUCUAUUGGAUUAAUAUUUACUUUUACAUAUGUUCCGUUCAAUUUAUAAAUAACACAAUAAUUAACAGUAAAUAUAAUUAGCAAUUUUUUGAAAAAUGGUAAUAUUAAACUUGUUAUUUUUUAUUAUUGUAGUUUACAUAGACUUUUAGAAUGAUAUUAUUGUCAUUUUUUUGUCAAAUUAGUCAAAUGUCAAAGACUUAACAACCAAAAUUGUUGAGAAGCACUGGUAUGCCUUAUUUUUUAAAUUUAGAGGAGAAAAAUAGAAAUUAAAUAAAACUUCAAUUCUUUUUGGACAGAAAAGGCAAUAACAGUAAAUUAUAAAUAAUUUCAACAACGAAAGAGCUAUGUUGUCAUGACACUUAAGGACCAAUACUAAAGGUCUCUGAUUUUCUUUUGCUUAAGACGUAGGAACUAAUUUAUUAGGGCCUGAGUGUAGAGAAAUAGGUUGGCCGCCGAAAGGGUCGAACUCAAAAAUUUACAAUGCUGGGCGAAAAUUGGAUUUCUUGUUAUCCAUGUAACCUUUAUUCUAAACCACCAGCUCUUGGGCUCGUGGCCACCAUCAAGCCAAGGGAUUGAUGGGGUGGGAGGCAAGGGUUUAAAUCUUACCUUCCAUCAAAAUGCCACUCUUGUGACUCUGCUUCAAAUUCAGACGGGUGCGUAGUGCGGGGGCGAGGUCAUCCAACUGUACAGUAAGCUACAAUAACUUGUCACUGUAGGUUUAGUUGACCUUCCCCGUAGUUAGAGUAGGAGCAGGAGUAGGGAUGACAAUUGACAAAAAAAAAAAAAAAAAAGUAACCUUUAUUCUAGUGUAUACUUCUUCCCUGUUUGUUCGUGAUUUCUUGUUAUCUUUAGUAAAAUUUAUCCCCAUUAUGGCGUUACGUUGUAAUUUUAUAACUUGUCACUUGCAAACCUCUGACGCAAGUCAAGCCUUUUGCCUUGUCAUAUUUUUUCAAGUGGGCAAAAAGUUUAAAAGCAUCGGUAAGGGAAAAAAAAAAGAGAAGAGAAAAUACGAAGCAAGAAAUCCAAUAAACAAAAGUUUAUUAGGGUUUUAUUAUUAAUAUACUGAUUCUGGAGAAUUAGACAUGGAAGCCAUGAGAAGGGUCACCUCAAAGGGGUGAACCAAAUUUUUAUGAUGCCAAAUUAUUUAAAUAUAAAAGACCAACAUAGGCCUAAUUAGGAGCCGAAAGGCCUUUGGCUGGCGCAGUCCAAAUUGUCGCCAUAGCUCACUCCCAGUAUGUCGCAGUAUCUCUUAUAGAAACCAAUUCUGUCGUUCAUCUGUGGGUUGGAGCCUUUUCCGCAUUCAAUUCCACCAUUGAUGAUGUUGGUAACGACACCGUAUCCUGGGCGGCGACCAGCCGCAUUAUCAGCUUGGGACGGUGUCCAUCUGCCGGUCAUCACGUCGUGGCAGGAAGGCUUUGGGGACUGGGGCGUCAUCCAAAACCAAAAUGCAGUCUUGAAAGAAAUGGUUGGGUCAGUUGCGACUAAAUCUGGGUUGUUUAGGAGAUCGGAUCCUAUGGCUCUCCCUGCUGGACCAUAGUUGUAGUUGCUACAAUAUUGGAUCAAAUAUCGAUCAGUAAAAGAAAUUCAAUUAAGAAGAAGCUAAUUUAACGUUUCUUCUCAAGAAUUUUGGAUAUAUAGACUGGGAUUUUGUUUGCUUACUAGGAGAUUUGAAUUGGUCCUCGGCCGUAGUAUUUUUUCCCAGGAGCACAGGGCCACUGUUGGUUGGCGACACAAUAAUCUGGAGGAUUACCUUGUUCUUGCUUGAAGCAAUAUCCCCAUGCAUAAGGACCGUCUGGGGCAGUUGCCCAUCCGCCUAUGUCAAAUCAACAAAAUGAUGAUGCCCGUUAGUAUCACACUAUCUUUCUCCUUAUUCCCAUUUUCUUUCUUUCCUUUUUUUCAAUUACUCCUACCAUCAUUUUUCCCUCUAAACUCAGAGUUGUUUGACAACUGGACUUCGUCCUUAAGAGUCUUGACCAUUUCAGUAGCUAGGUACGUAAAUUAAAAAAACAAUGGGAUCAUCAUGUUAUCGAUCGUUAUGGGAAGAUAACAAAUUAAGGGCCACUAAGGAUUAAGACAAGGUAGUUUUGAUUUUGUACCUGUUGUUUCAUGAGAAGUUUGAGCCAAGAAGGCCGCUAUUUCUCUUUUACGAGCAGUGAUAUCACCAGUUGUUCCAAAAGCCCCAUUUGACCUGGCAGCAGCUAUGAAAGCUUCGUAGGUGUAGAAACCGUGAGCAGGACAGUUUGCAUCAUUUCGAUGCUUCAGCAUUUGCUCGAAAAGGGGUUUUGUUAUAAUAGAACUGAGAUCUUGUGCAAAGACCCCUACAAGGGACAGAAAAGAGCACAAAACCACUGCCCAGAACCUCAUUUUUUUUCCCUCUCUUUCAAACACUGAUCAAGUUUCUGUGCAUUGUCGAAGGAAGAGUGCAGGCUAUAUAUAGUGUGUAGAGUGAUAAGGUUGGAGACUUUUCCACUCGUUUCUUUCGAGGAAAAUCAAGGUUUUUUUUUUUUUUUUUUUGGAUAAAACGGCGAAACAAGAAAAUCAACGUUUGAAUACUGCUAGGCACUCCUAAAUAUUCAAACAGCGACCGCUUAAGGAGUCAUACUUCAUUGUCAUGGUAAAACGUACCUUAAUAUAUAUAUAUAUAUAGCUAAAUCCUAAAGCAGCGGAGGAGGUAGAAAAAAUUUUCAAUGGGGCCAAAAACAACACUAGUAUUUCUUACGAGUUUUUUUGUUUAUUUUAAAAAAAAGGGAAAUGCCAAUAUUCAUGCAAUUAGUAACAUUAAUGCAUUUAUUUUGUGAACAACGUAAAAAAAAAAAAAAAAAACUCGGCUGAAUUUACUCACGUAAUUACCAUUUUGCUUGAAAAAGAAUAAAAAGUCAUUUAAAAUUAUUCACAACGGAUUUUCAUGUUCUGAUAACCAUUUAGGGUCCGUUUGUUUCGGGUGAAAAUAUUUUCCUAAUUUUCCGUGUUUGGUUGCACAAAAGUUACUGAAAACAUUUUCCUAUGUAAAAUAUUUUCACUUAUCUUAUGGAAAACAACUUUUCUUCCAAACUUACUGAAGUUGUUUUCCGAAAUGCAUGCAUCCCGCCUGUAGUAUAUUCUAAACUUACUGAAAACAUUUUGUAGUAUGUUCUUUUUUUUUUUUUUAGUGUAAACAGAAGGACUCGAACCCAAGACCUCUUCCUUACACUCCCUCCCCCGUACCACCCAACCCAACCCAACCAUUCCCCUAAUAUAUUCAAAAUAAAAAAAAAACCUCAUCCUGCUCAUCCUAUACUAGUAAUUAAUUAUGUAUAAUAGAGACAUUCUUUUCUAAAGAAACUUUCAGCAGUGAGAGUGCAAGAUAUAUGUCACAAUAAGCAUUGCAUGUGAUUGAUAUUUGACACUAAAUGGCCAGCAAUUUGUUUAUUGCUUAAGGAGAUUUUUUUAUUCAUAUAUACAUUUCUCCAAGAUUUUUUAAAGUUAAAUAAUGAGAUAAAUUUUCUUAUUUUGCAUGGGAAGAAGUAUGUAGUUAUAAUGUGUAGAAAGUAAAUAUAGAGAUAAAAGUGAAAAUAUUUCAAAAGUUAAACAAACACCAGAAAAAUGAAGUAAGAAAAUUUUUUCAAUAAACUAACCAAACACCUGAAAAUGAUGAAAGGAAAAUGAUUUUCAUGGAAAAUUACUUCCACGGAAAAUAUUUUCCCAAGGAAAACAUUUUACUUCCAACUAAACAGACCCUUAUAAUCUUUCAUUUUCCACUCCAUAUAUUUUUGUCAAUAUAAAUAACUAAGCGAUCAUUUAUUCAAGAUUCUAAAAUGAAUGAGUGAUAUAUUAUGCCACCAAAUUCCUAGGGAAGUAAAUGACUAAUAAAUAUAACAAACGAGUCAUAAAUUAUACUAGAAACUUCCAAGGGAACUAAAUGGCUAGACUCUUAGUGUUAGAAAGUUUUGGGUUAUUUAUUGCCCAUUUUCAUUAAAUUACAAAACUGGUAGUGUUAUGUAUAUUUUACUUCUUAAUAUUUUAGUGGGGGCAUGAAAUUUUUUCAAAUUACGUGGGUAAUAGGGGAAAUUUGGCAUUACUAAUUGGAAAAAUAUUGAUGGAGGCUUGUGCUCCCAGUGCCCUCUCCCCCCUUGCAUCCGCCACCAUCCGAAAGGACAAAUAGAGGAAAAAACACUUGUACCAUUUUUUAUCAUUUAUAUCGUUGGGAUGUUAAAUACUCACGGAAGUGUCAAAAAAUUCAAAGGUAAAAGUACCUAAAAUAUAGGGAUAAAGAAAUAAGAUAACAAUGAAUUUGAAAAUUUUAGUGGUUAAAAGUAUAGUUUAUAACCUUCAAAAAUCACAGCUUCCCGCAACAUUUCUAUUUUCCCUUGACAUAUAUGACUUGUGAGUAACCAUCGUCACCUUGAACAAGACACAUACGAUCGAUUGAUCUAAACAAACAUGAGUUUUACAGGAAGGAAAAAAUUGAACGUCUGACAUCAUCAUGCAUUGGAUACUUAUCAUUAUUUUUUCAACAUUGACCAUUCCAAUUAACUGCUGGGGACUGAACUGAAGUACCAGUUUUGUAUUCAAGUAAAAAUGGAGACUUGCCUAAUAUUUUGACUAUAUGGAAUGAGGUUGAGUGCAGGAGGUCGUAUCCAUGGUUGGGCAAGACCGAGCCACUGGGAGAUGAUUGCGGGAGGAGAUUAGAUCAUUGGGCUGCUAAAUAUGGAAGGAACAUAACGGUAUGAGCAGCCCUUUAUCUUCAUCACUUUUGACUAUUGAGCGCUGAAUUUGUUUUGCAAGUUACACGUAUAAUAUAUAGUAGUUUGUCAAGUAAACCGACGUCUAGAUGCGGCAUCCCAAUUGUCAAAUCAAAUCAUCAUAUCUGAUUUCAAAGCUUCGCGAGGCUGCUGUUAGCUACGCAUCAAAUUGGAAAAAAUGUCUUACCAUUUGAAUGGGUGGAAAGGGGGGGGGGGUGGGCGGGGCGUGAAAUACUGGAAUGUAGAGAAGCGAGCCGCCACAAGGGAGUGGCUCAACUGAGUCGGAGGAAUCUGACGGAGAUUAAUUAUUGAAGAAGCGGUGAGCUUUCCCGAACCGAGCUGAAUUGAUGAGUUCGGUGUGCUGAUGGGUAGAGCUGGUCCCAAGCCUGCAAGACAGACAACAGGGUGAUGUAACAGGGGGCCCCGAGGUCGUCCCCGAGGGCACUCCGACGGUCAAGUUAGUUCACCGGUGGAUGAGGUUUACGGGAAUUAAGCAGCCGAGAGUAAUGUGCCAAUAGUGAGCGUACCUUGUGUAAGUGGUGUGCAUUACCAUUUAUACCUUCCUGAGAAUCCGACCUCCGUACGUUUCGGGACUUGCCCGGGAUAGCCCUUAUCCCGCGGUGAGGGGGAUUUCCUCCGACCUCUGCGGGAUGGUCCCCUGGGCCUCUGGAGCCCUAGCAGCGACGCGGUCCAGGACGGUUAUCAGGGGCCUGGGGUCGAGGCCCAGCUCGGUCAUACCUGAGCUGCCACGUGUUUAGGUCCAGGACGGGGCCUCUGCAAUUAUCAUCAGAUUAGACGGAUGCACCACGUAUCGAUAUGAAUUUAGAAUAAAUUUUAUAUAGAGACACGUUGAUGAGAAGUAAGGUUUGAACCAUUGACCUUCCAUCCCAUAAUUAAUGUGGUGGUCAGUACCUUUAGAAGGAGUCAAUUUCUCCAUAUAUAGUUAUCUUAUCUGCCAUCAAACUGUCAUUAAUUUGCUGAUUAAGAUUUGAUAGGAUACUUGGAAGUUUAGACUGGUAAAGAUCAUCAUGGGUUGUUUGUUGACUGUCAUCUGAUGGGUUCGGCAACUGUAUAAUCAGAGCAGCAGAAAGAUCGCCAUCAUCAUCACAUAUUAGUGUCAUCUGAUGGGUUAAGUAAGAAACGUACGUCUAAAUUACUUUGCGUUGAAGUGUUGGUUUUGGUUAAAAGAAGUAUGGAGGCCUGAACCUAGACUAGACAUUGUGCUAGAAUUCUUUGCAGUAAGCUACUUAUAUUAUACGGCAGGUUCAAACUGAUCUUUAGUUGCUAGAGCUUUCAACUUUUCAUUCAGCAGAGAGUGUAUUUAGCGUGGAAAGUGAGAUGAACCUGCAAACUCUUUCCCGGGGCGGCUUCCAAGUUCUUCGACGCCCUAAAUACGCCGUUAAUGGACCAUCAAGGAAAACGGUGCGCUAGCUAGUGCCGGACUGGCAAUGGAAUUUUGUAUUUGGACCAAUUCAAACAGCUGAUUCCGACAAGUUGAUGGACUCACUCACUUGAUGUAAAAACUUGCAAAAAAAAAAAAAAGGUUUCAAUAAUUGUGAAACCUAAUUACUCAACAACAGAUAGCGCAACUACAUAGAUGAGAUGGAUAAUUCAUCUCUUAUUCAUCUCUCAGUUUAGAAAUUAUAAAAUGAGUUGAUAGGAACCGUUAUUCUAUUAUAGGAACCGGUUUUUAUUUUUGGGCAAAACCCCUUAUACGGGCGGAGAUGUCAAUUAUAGAAUUUUAUUAUUACCAAUAGCAAACCCAAAAAAGUUGGAGAGGGACGUGCACUUAACCUUCGGUUAACUACAAAGUAUAAAAGUAUUAUUUAUUCCCUUACAUGAUAUAGGAUUAGGUAUAGGCUUUACCUCCUCAAUAAUCAACAAAUAUAAUAGCAUUGAAGAAGGAAGAGAUAUUUUCUAUGUUCAAACGGAGAUAAGAAAUCAAGACCUGAGUGUAAGUAACAUUAUGCGGUAGCACUAGCAUAUAUAUAUAUAUUAUAGCUCUACCAUUUGUAUUAUGUAUCAGUAAAUAAAGGGUACGAAAUGACCUAACCUGCACUCCUAAUCACAACAUAUUAAAGUGAAUCUUCCACAAAUUAUUAAAGUGGAGUUGAUCAGCUCCGCCAUGAUGAAUUCCAACCUGCUUUGAACCAAAAUCCCAUCCAGCCUGUAAGAAGGAUACAAAAGCUGUUGGUUUAUACCGGGUUAAAUUGUAGCUUGGUGAAGAGGGCAGCAGGAUUUACGGGGUAGGCAACUAUUGAAAAAUAUGUACAGUGGGUUAUUGAAAAAAAUAUUUAAAGCAAUGAUACAGCUAUUCUGCUCCCAUAGGCACAUAGGUUUGAAUAUAUAUCUGCCAUUUAUUCAAAUGCAUACGAUUGAAAGACAAUUAAAAAAAAAAAGUGUGUUAAAAUUAAUAGUGUACCACUACUUUUUUUUUUUUUUUUUGUUGAAAUUUACAAAUGGGGUAAUACCUAUACUAUCUUAUCUUACUGAUGAAUGCAAUUUAUUAGGGGGGAACCAAUCAAUUGAGAUGUAUAUAAGAGCUAAGAAAUUCAAAAAAAAAAAAAAAGAUUUGAAGGGGGGAGGUCUGGUUGAAUUAAAUUAGUUGGGCUAGACGUUGACAGUGAACACGGUCCAGGCGACUUGUGAGGUUAUGAACAUAUCAUCUUCAUAGUUACAUAUAGAUACUUCCGUUCCAGGCAUCGAUCGUAAUUUAAUAUUUGUUUGGGUUCUGAAACUAGACGUUUCUGGGAUUAAUUUUUUUCCCCCUCCUAAACUCAACAUGGGCAGAGAGUAUAUUUGUGUAAGGUAUGCAUCUGUAGCUCUUUUUUUUUGUUUUGGUACGCAUGUAGUUACAGAGUGAGAUUCAAAUUACGAAACACCAAAUACUUAAUAAAUUGUGGAGUUUAGAUAGAUGAGGAGGUCAGUCUACAUUUUUGGAAAAUGAAUUGCGAAGCAGUCGUUAGCGGAAAGAAAGCUGUUGCAAGCAGAAGAAGAAAGCUGUUCCUGCAUUGAAUUGACAUAUUUAUCAAUGGGGCAUACGGAGCUUAAAUGAUGCCACUUUCAUGUUUUAUAGCAUCACAGACAAAAGUCAUAUGCAAUUAUUUUUCAUUAAUAGAGCUAGUGAGGAAUGAAACAUGUUUUUUUUUCUUUAAAAAAAAAAAAAACAACAGCAGCCACCUUAGCUUAUGAAGAAAUUGAGUUUCAUAUUUUUUUCCUCAGAUGACUAUUUCGUAGGAAGGAACACACACACACACACACACCCCAAAUUAACGAUGUUGUGAGCCUCACAACACAACGAAGAAACACAUUCUUGGAGGCUUUGCAAAGCCCAUUUUCGUGACCUUGACUUUGACGUGGUAAUCACAAGACUUCCAGAAAAGAAUAUUCUCUGAUGCCGCAGCUAAUUUCAACGGUUUCCAGACGAUUGCCAAAACACCAAUGGAACAAAAGCCCAUCAAAACAAAGAAGGUAAAAGAUACUUUCAGCACCGUACUCGGGACAAAUUUGUGACACAAAGAUGAGACUGCAGAUGCGUUUUGGACUCCAAUGAGAAGCCCGUGGCUUGAAAAUUGCAGCCUGGAUGCUUUUGCCAGCCUCCUUAACUGCUAACUCCAGUGCUGAAAAUCCAGGUUAAUGUCCGCGGAAGACUGUGAUUUUCAAGAGAAGGGUAAUUAAUUGGGCUUCAGAUCCUCCGUCCCCAGAAUAGUCCAUGUCCCCUCUGUCCCUUAUUUAUAUAGCUGCCAAGUGUCUCUAACCUUUUGUUAACCCAAACUCAAAUAAAACCGAUAAUAAUGGAUUUACAAGUUUUGUUAACCCAAAUUCAAACAAACCGAUAAUAGUUGAUUGACAGGUUUACUCAAAAUCAAUUAAAAAAGAUAACUCAAAACUAUUAUGUAAUUAAUUUUAAAUCAUCGUAUUUACAUAAUUAUGAGAUGUAAAAAAAUUAAAAAGAGUUAAAUAAGUUGAUAUAAACACACACAUGGUUGAUAAGAAUCUUAGAUAUUGGAAUUUGAUUAUCAAAAAAUCGUCUGCUGGAUAAAAAUAAGAGAAUAGUAAUAAAAUUUCAACCACUCUUACUAGGUACACCUAAAAACCCUGCUAAUACUUGAAUAACCAUGGUCUAUCAUGUUGGUUUGUAAUAUCAAACUCUUGCCUAUUCAUAAUUCAAAACUUCUAAAAAUUGUCGGAUUUUCCAUCAGUUGUGCAUCUACAAACAAAACCACCAGGACAUGGCAUGGGACAGCCGCAAAUUUCAUUACAAGCAACUAAACUUGAACUCGGUUGGCUGGAAAUGACAUUAAGGUCUAUAAAGUCAUUGACAUUUGAUCCACUGAACUUGUGUCCUACUUCAACCUAUAAAUGUAGAAAAAAUAAUCAUAAGUACUAAAAUAUUGAGAUGAAAUUCUCAUAACAUCAAAUACUAUCAAUGGACAAUUACUAAGUUACUUGAAGUAAGUUUGUCAAUCUCAUAGAAUUUUGCAACUCUUCAAGAAAAUUAAAAUGUGCAACUUGGUUCAUUUGAUUUGGAGCUAAAACUGGAAUCUAUUUUACAAAAAAAGCAAUAAAGAGAAAAUUAUUUAUGGUAUGAACAUAAUUAAGUGCUUGAAAAGCCUUAUGCAAUAAGUUUUGCAUCACAUGAUAAUCACUCAAUUAGAAGAACAUAGCAAACAUACCUUAUUUAAACCAAAUGGCUGCACGAAGGUCACUUGUUCAGGAUAAAUUGCUUGAGCCAUGCUAGCAUCACCUGAGCCGAUCUUUUUGAUUUCUUUUUUGGUUAGAAAUUUUGUCUCCACAAAUAACAAAAAAUUAAAUUUUAGAUAAAAUAACUAUUUCUUGCAAACAAGUGAAUUAUUGGAAUAACUAAAAUUUAAUUAUAAACAAGAAAAUAUUACCUGUGACAAUUGCGUUGAGCAUAAAAUACGUUGGCUAUUUGAUUUCCAUAUGUUUAAACCAUCUCCACUACCAGUAGGACCUUCAUGCACAUGCUUAAAAAUAAAAAAUAUAAAAGAAUAAUUACAUCAUCAAGACUCAAAAAAAAUUAUAUCAGCAUAAUAUCUAAUUAAAGCUUAUUUUUCAUACAAACAAACCCAUGGCUGAUGGUGCUAGAUGGACUUGACGAUCUUGUCCAAACCUAUAUCCUUUAUGAAUGACUUCUUCUGAAGCCUACCAGUAAAAACAUGAAAAGCUGGUGUGAUUUAUCAAUCGAAAAAUAACUAUGUACCUGAGCAUUGGCUGUAUUUUCGGCAGUUAAGACCACACUUGUUGCAGCUGAUUUUCUACUAUGUGACUUUCUCUUUCUCGAUAUCUUUUCUAAUCCACUCUUCAAUCUCUUACCCGAAAUAAUUUUCUUUUUGGCUAUUAUUCCUUUGAUUUUUAUGCCAGUUUCUUCGUGAAUAGCAGGAUCUUUUUCUUUCAAAUAAUUCGUCAUUUCACUUGAGCCUUCAAAUGUCAAAUUUUUGCUCUGUAACUUGUCAUUAACCUUCUCAAACAGCUUCACAAGACCGUCUUUAACCAUUUCAUAUGUUUCUUCUGUUUCCGCUACUCUUGUAACCAAUUGAUUGUGAAACUUGCACAAGUUUCUAUACCUCAUAUUCACCAUUACUUUCGGAUUCAGUGUGUUAUUGCUCUUAGACAAGCUUGGACUUUGCAUAACCCCAACUUUUGCUUUCUUUGUCCAUCUCUUCAUUAUGUAUGGCUGUGGAACUUUGACAACAUUUCUUGUGGUAAGAACUUUCAGAGCAUGAGAACACAGUAUCCCACAAAACUCAUAUUUUUUGCAGCUACAAUGUACCGUGCCAUCCAAAGAGUCAUAUUUAACAACAUGAUGAUUUGUUUUUUCAUAAGAAGUGACAUGAUAAUGGAUUAUUGUUCUGACCUCGCUAAAAAUAAGUAAGCUGCUAUCAUGAGCUUUACAUAAUUCAUUUUGAAAUAACUUGAACACUUCCGGGGUAUAAAUAUUUGCUGCAUGCUUUAAUAUUUGAGCUGGAAAAGAUAAUACAGGAGUACUUAUACUUGCUCUAAAAUCAGCCUUUAACUCUUCAUAUCGACGACUAUCAAUCAAAUAUUGAAAAUGAUCAAAAAAAUGACGCAAAUUAUUUUUAUAGCUAACAUACCUUUUUACGACACUGUUCAUACUCUCACUUCUCUGUGUCGUAGUAAUAUCAGCACAAAAGGACUGGCGGCCAUAGACUAGUGCCCAUUUUUCUUUCAAUUUGAACAUUCUCUUUAGCCAAUCAUUAUCUUGAAGAUUAUACCUCUGUAGUAUUUUAUCCCAUUCAGUCACAAAAAUAUCCUCCUCUUCGAAAUCGUAUAUGCAUUUACCAAAGUCACCGGCAAAGUCUGUGAAUUUUUCAAAAACACCACUUAGAUGUAUGGCAGCAUUUUGGUAAAGGUGCCAAAUACAUAAUCUAUGUUGUGUCUCUGGCCAUCUGGAAGCUAAUGCUUUAGCCAUUGCUGCAUCGUGGUCUGUCAGAAUGGUUUUUGGCAUUUUUCCUGACAUAGUGCUAGCAAAUACAUCAAAUAACCUUUCAAAAGUCGGAGCUAUCUCGUCAUAUAAAAGUGCAGCACCAAAAAUAAUAGUUUGCUUGUGAUGGUUCACACCAACAAAGAGUGCAAGAGAACGACCUUCACAGUUUUUUCUGUAAGUUGUAUCAAAACAAACCACAUCUCCAAAAUCGGCAUAGUCAACUUUCAUCCUAGUAUUAGCCCAAAAUAUAUUAGUCAUCAAAUCAUCUUUAUCAACUUGAAUGGAAUAAAAAAAGUUUGGAUCUUCUAAUUGCAUUCCCUGUAAAUAUUCAAGCACUCCUCCAGUAUCCCCUAUUUUCAUAUCUCUUGUCCUCUUUGAACGUAAAUAAUUCCUAUAAUCUUCAGGAAUAAAGCCCAAAUUAUCCCGUCCAUCAGCUUGUUUUACCACAAAUUCAUGCGAUGCUUUUGGUGCAAUUCCUACACUGUUUGCCAUAUCAAUCUCUAUUACAUGAGUUUCAUGUAUUCUCCUAUGUGCUAUGAACAAAUGCAUUUUGUGAGGACUACAAAGAUAAUGAUUAUGUUCUGGUAUAAACUCAAUGACACGAUAUUUUUCACUUUUGCUGCAACUAAUUUUCAUUUUUGCCAAACAACCGAAUCUUGUUUCAGAACGAUGGAUUUUUACAUUGACAUCUCUUUUAUCUGCCCCUCGUUUGCCUUCGGCACUACAACAAAAUGUCCUAUCAAUUAUUUUACCAUUUUUGUCUUUAUGCAAUUUGCUUUUUCUAGUGCCGAACCCAACCUUCUUAGCAUAUGCUAAGUAAAAUUGACCGGCUGCCUCUUCAUUGUCAAAUUCCAUACCUACCUGAGGGAUUUCUUCUUUAGGGAUAGAGGGAUGAAUUGAAUUGAUAUCCGUCUCUUUGUUUGAAUUUGAUGCACCAAUAAGCUCAAUGUCUGUAUCUUCAUUGAUUGUUUGAGAGCUGUGAUGAUGUUGAGUGUUAUCUAUAAAUUCCAAUUUAUGACAAGGUGGGAACUUGCUCUCAAGGGAAUCAUCACCUUCCAUGAUCUACAAUUUCAAAAGAUUUUAAUAGUUAACUUUACCAUUUCGAAUCAGUGUUUUUUUUUUUUGCAAAAUUAAUUUUUAACUCAUUAUAAGAAUUUUUCACAAAAAAAAAAUAGUAAAAAGACAAAAGUAAACAAUUGUUCAAUAUCUACGACGUAAUUAAAUACAAAUAGACCUGCUUAAAUAUCGAAUGACAUUUGUCAAAAAUAAAAGCUUUUAACUAUAAUGUUUAUCACUGAAAAAGUUUACUUCAAUCACUUUGACUACUAAAGGCUUUACGUCAUUACUAAAAGGGGAUUGUACUAGUUUAUUCCUGAAAGGGGCUUUACGGCAUUACCAAAGGCUUUACUUCAAUUAGAUACUAGUUUAUGAACUAUAUUGACUUCACAGUGUAUACAGAUACUUAUAUGAACAAUGAUGUUGAGAGGGGAGUGUACAAUAUUGUUUCCAUCGCAUCCAAGUUCCAAUGAAUACAGGUAAUUUCAAAUAUGACAAGACAAAUCAUGAAUCAAAUAUAUUGUAAAAUUGGCAUACAUGAUCUAUUGAUUUGUUUUACCUGGAUAAAGAUGAAACUGAAUCUUGCUACCUGAUCCUUUGAGCGUUUUUGCGGCAAGAUUAAAGAUAUAAUGAGUGAAUCAAAAUACUUGUUAGGGUUUAAGAAAAAGAUGAUUUGGGGUAAAAAAUAAAGAAGAGUUUUAGUUGAUUUCUAUGUUUAUGAUCAACAAGACUUUUUUUUGUUAAAAAGAAAAUAAAAAAUAGUUUUGAGUUAUCUGUUUUAAUUGAUUUUGAGUAAACAUGUCAAUCAACUAUUAUCGGUUUGUUUGAAUUUGGGUUAACAAAACUUGUAAACCGAUUAUUAUCGAUUUUAUUUGAGUUUGGGUUAACAAAAGAUUAGAGACACUUGGCAGCUAUACAAAUAAGGGACAGAGGGGACAUGGACUAUUUUGGGGACAGAGGAUUUGAAGCCAAUUAAUUGAAAUAUUAGACUCGAGGUCUGAUUAAGCACGACAUUUUCUUAUAGUUGGGAGUAUUUUUUUAAUCACAUGUGCUUGUACAAAAUUGAUAGGUAUCUAGUUUGUACAAUAAUAAAUACUUAUUCGAAAAAGAAAAUAUAUAUAAUUUUUGUAUAUAGCGGUGAGUAGGGUCGAAUCCACAGAUAUUGAGGAAAUAUAUUUCUUCUCGGAUUCAAAGUAUGGGGGCAUUUUGGAGAUAACCAACUAAAUUUAGUAAAAUCAAAAUAACACAAAUAAAAUAAAAUUAAGUCGAUAAUAGCAAAACUCUAACCAGCGGAAUAACUGUUAGACUAAGUUCAUAAACUGAUCAUAGAUGCAAUGAUGAAUUCAAUUAUUUAUUGAUAAAUUAAUUCUACCAUAAAAGCCAACUCUUCCUUAUUUUAUCGAUAGUUAAGGUACAACCAUUGACUAUUUCUCCAAAUAGGAAACAACUCUAGGAACCUCUCAUAGAAGUUUAAUUUCCCAAUUGCAUGAAGAAUUAGAAGAGUUUAAUUCUAACCAAUCAACAAGUUACAAGGGUCUCUUUAAGUUAGAUUAUUCGUUCCACUAACACAAACCUAAUUAUGCCAGUUGCUACCGAGAUUAAAUCAAUCUAAUAAUUAUGUAUUAAAUCACUUCAAUUAACAAUCGACUAUCAAAUCAAUUUAAAUACCGGGUCCUUUGAUAUUCAAAUAACAUAAUAAUUAUAAAUAUUAAAACCAAAGAACGAAUAAAUACCAAUAAAGGAAAGAAAUAGUGUAAUUAAUGCGAGCUCACAGUUUGUAGAUUCAAGUUUUCAAGCCGUCCUCAGGCUAGAAAACGAAUUUAGCGGCGCAUCCUCAAAGGAAAUCCACAAGAAUCCAUUGAUAAUAAUUGUGUAUAGUUUUUCCUCCCAAAAAGUGAACGAAAGACUCCUAUUAUGUUCCAAAGAAUCACCCUUGCGAAAUUGUUGCUGGCCGAACUCUUUAUCACGCAAGUCCGUCCUUUUUUUCUCCCUUUGUUUUCUAUUUAACAUCAACUACUAAUAAUAAGACAUGUUUCCCAAAAUAGAAAAAGGAAACUACUUAAGAUGAUAUUCCAAGUUUUCUCAUUUAAUACUAAAAGUAAUAAUGAAAAUUAAAGUUUUCAAAGUUUUCCUUCAAAAGCUGUCCUGAGUUCGAUUUGGGCUUGGAAACCGACCCGAACAUGCCACCAUCAAAUUAACUGAAAAAUUGCCCCUUUUAAUCAUGUUUUGCUCAUUUUCCUACAAUUAGCAUCAUUAACUAAAUAUAAAUAGAAUCCAUCAAUUAAAACAAUAUUUGGCUAAAAUCAAGAAAACUAUAAUCCUAAAUUAAAUAGCAAUUUUGCAUCCUAUCAACCUCUUUGUUCUUCUUUAUUCAUCUGUUAAAUUUGGUUGUCUAAAAUACUGUAAUGACUCGAAGGAGUUACAAACACUAGAUUUUGCCCAAGUUUAGCAUGGAUGAGACUGCAGAUGCGUUUUGGACUCCAAUGAGAAGUCUGUGGCUUGAAAAUUGCAGCUCGGAUGCUUUUGCCAGCCUCCUUAACUGCUAACUCCAGUGCUGAAAAUCCAAGUUACUGUCCGCGGAAGACUGUGAUUUACAAGUGAAGGGUAAUUAAUUGAAAUAUUAGACUCGAGGUCUGAUUAAGCCCGACAUUUUCUUAUAGUUGGGAGUAUUUUUAAUCACAUGUGCCAAUAACAGCAUCUGUAAUAAUCAAUUGGAAAUUUUUAGCCUCAUUUGCGGUAGAAAAAUGGAGAAAUUUCCAACUUUGUGAUGAAUUUUAAAAAAAUUCUACAAAAGGAGUGAUUUUGGAAUUAAUUUCCGUCAGGGGGGUCUUCGCAUUUGUGAAAUGCGAGCUCACUGAGCUCGCAUUCGUGGAAUGCGAGCUCUGCUUAUUGAGCUCGCAUUCCACGAAUGCGAGCUCUUCUCAUUUUUUUUCCCUUUUUUAAGAGCUAGGGAAUUAUUUCCAGAAGGCAAAUGCGAGCUCUUAUCUUUUUUAUUUUGGUAAUUUUUGAGAGGUAGGGAAUUAUUUGCAGAAAGCUUCUAAUUUUUGUUUUAAAAAAUGUUGCAAAUAUUUAAAAUUUUGCAAAUAGCUCGCAUUUGUUAAAUUUUUAAAUUUGACCUGCAAAAAUUGUAUUUAACUUUUUUGUUAGAUAUCGGAUUUAUAAGUAUGACUUUUAGAAAAUUAAUUUAAAAAAUGUUAGGAAAAAAAUUUAAAAUGAUAUCUACGAGCUCCAUAAAAAAUUUAAAAGUAAAUGUAAAUAUUGUUUGUUUUGUAGAAAUUGCCUUUACUAAAAUGGUGUCGGUAGUAAAAUGUUAUUUUAAAAUCUGUACGAAAAUCUUAUUUUUCGGAGAAAGGUUAGAAAAAUUUUGUUUAAAAAUCUGUAAUGUUUAGAGGAAUAAUAUUUUAUUUAUUUUUGAACUUGCACCUGGCUAAAGUCAUCAAAUAUGAGCUAAAACAAAAUCAGAUUAACAAUAAUCUUGUUAAUAUAAUUUACUAUACAUGCAUAAUUCUUUUAUAAUAAAAAAAAUUGGUAAUCGUAUGGUUGAAAAUACGUUAUUUAAUUAUAAUACAUUUAAGUGGUGGAAAAAGUACACAUGAUUGUUCUUUCUAUCUCAUAGAUCAAUGUUCUUUCUAUUUUAUAGAGCAAUGUAAAAAUAGAAUGAAAUUGUUAACAUGUAAGGUGUUGAGUAUUUGUUGUGAAUAAAAUAUUAAGUGUUUUUCCUUUUGUAUCAAAUAAAUGUUUUUGAUCAAAUUAUAAUUUUCCUUUGCCAUGCAUGAAUCGUAUUUAUUUGUUGACACCGAUGAAUAUUAGUUAUAAGAAUGUAAUAGUUAAUAGUGAUUAAUAUAUGUUACAAUUUCAACCGUAAUUUUAGAAAUUGCAUAACGCAAUCUUAUUUAAACAAAAUUAUAUAAGUUAUAUUUAUGAAGUGCAUGUUAUUUGUUUGUUAGUUGGAAAGGAAAAGGAAAAAAAUGAAAACAAAGAAAGGUUAAGGAAGACGGGCGUGACACUUGCUGUAGAGAGACCACUGAUCCGAUCCUUGGAUGGGAAGCUUGAAUAUAAAUCCGAGGACGGAUCGUUAGGAUCCGACCUCGGAUAGUUAGUAUCCGAACUAGUAUAGUUAGGAUCCGACCUCGGAUAGUAGGAUCCGAGGGCUUCGCAUGAUGGAUCCGAGGGCGGAUCUUCUGACCUCGGAUACACUCCUACAGAAGUACAGACGAGGGAUCGGAUCUGUCUUAGGUCUCAAGGAUCCGAGCUCGGAUCCUACUAUAUCCGCGAACCGAUCCGAGCUCGGAUCGGUUCGCUAAGUUCUCGGAUCCGAGAGGGCUCGGAUCAGUUUCAACAGAAAGACAGACGAGCCCUCGGAUCUAUGUGGGUUGAAUUGGAUCCGAGCUCGGAUCUUUCAUCCGUGGUCGGAUGUUUCUGGGCACCUUGUGAUCCGAGCUCGGAUCCGUGAUUCUCUGCAAUAAUUGCAGAAACUGCAAAUUUUUUCAACUUUUUUUCCCUUUUUCCGGCCACUUCGAAUUCGGAAAUUGGAUAAACAUGGAUCAAUUCUAAAGACUAACGCACGUGUAAUAUACCAUAAACACAUGCUCCAACCUCUCAAAACACAACAAACACAUUUACAUUGGAAAUCGAGGGGUGAGGAACUUUGGUGAUUUUUGCAUUAUUACACUAAAAGGGCAUUUUUGGGCAUUAAAUACAUAUCAAAUGUGUCCACAUGCUUUUAUAACCAUGAUAUCACCAAAAUUGACUUGAAAUGCACAGUGCAUGUAUAUGCAAUGGAAUUUGUAGGAGCACUUCAAACCCAAUUUGGUAACAAAAACUGCCUUUUGACACGUGUUCUUGAACGAACAUUCAAGAUCGAAGUUCCGACAUCUAACUGAUUUCAUAUGCAUGAAAUAGAGGUGUCGGGCUGUAUAAUGCAUAAGAAUACUCGUAUAACUGCAGUUAUUUGGUAGUGUUUAAAAGAGUACUCAUAUAAAGUGAGAACUAAGAUAACUCGUUCGCGUUGGAACACUCAUAUUCCUGAAAAUUUAGAAUAUAUACAAAAAUGUCACAAACAAAAGGGCAUUUUAUCCAUAAGUAAGGUUAUUCAUACAAUAACAAUACAAGUAGCGUGCAAUCAAUGGUACCAAAGUUUCCCAUGAGUACCACAUGUUGUUGGUUUGGGUAUUUUUUGGCUUCGACGUGGUUGGUUUGGCACUAUUGUAUGGACCUGAGUCAUAUGCGAUAACAGUGUAGCAUCUUCAUUUUCAGUGCUUGUGCCUUCACCUCCUUCACAUUGCUCAGAAACAUGGCGAUGUGAGUCCGUAUCGGUUGUAAACUCUGUGUACAUCACAGGGGACCUGUGAGAUUGGCCAAUCGAUACACCUCUGCCAUGCAUGCCUUCGGUCUGAGGUGUGACAAAAGUAGAUGCGCCAGCUUGGUCUUCCGUAGCCAUCGAACCUCUAUGGAAGCUAGUCUGUAUGGUUGGUUCUGGUGAUCGGAGUCUACGACGGCGCCCACCGCCAUGCUGACUUCCCUGGGUAUUUCUAGAAGCUCGCUGGACACGACAUGUAUCAGGGUAGAGUGGAAUCUCAUGUGGUACGUGUGGAGGGCGGAAUGCAAGUCGGCGUGACUCUCCUACAUGAUGCAAAGACGUGGAUGCAAAGUCGCUCAACUCUUGAAAGUAUCCGCUGUGUUGUUCAUCACUAACUACAAGAGAGUCCUGUGCCAUGAAAUACAUUCGAGACAUGGCAUCGCUCUGCAAAAACAAAUAUAAGAAUCAGAAUGACAUACUCGGGUAAAAAUUAGUAAAAUCCUGUAAUACGCUCAAAGUGAUUAUUAAAAGUGAGUUGGAAACAAACUGUACAAGAUAUUGUGCCCUAGCGCUGUCACCCUGAAAGCCCUCUGGGAAAGCGGGAAAUCGAUUCGGAUUUGAGAUAUAAAUCACCGUCCCCUCCCGAUACCACUGAACAUACUCAUCCGAUGGAUAUGUAGUAUCUGCAAUUACAGUGCCGUCUUGUACAUGCACAUGUCGAUCAGUCCAAAUAUGAAGAUAUUGUCUAUGCGUGGUGUUCCAGUCUUGAUUCGCCCUACCACGGCGAUCUAUAGAAUGUAGAGCUGCUUGAUUAUCCGUUAACCUCAUAUCAGGCAGGGACUGAUAUAAUCCAAACUGCCGCAUAACCCGAUGCGGGAGGUGCGGCUCAACUACAUCCCAGCAGAUAAGAUACGUUACGGACCUCCAAAUGUCCCGACCUGCAGUACAAUACGCAGGAAGAGAAGCGAAAACGUCUUCCGAAUAUGGCUGCCAUAUGAACUGAAAAAAAUAUGAAAAUGAAAGAAUGAUUUCGAAGGGUGAGGUUCCAAACACGUUUUUCCCUUUUUUACACGAUUUUGGCAAUGGCCUAUUGUCCGGACAUAUGUACAAUACCUCUUCAGGACGCAAUCCUGUCAGCUGAUCUCGGAAUGCGGGCACAACAUGCCUAACAACUCUAUGUACGUCCAAGUCAUUAUUCCACCUAUAUUUAAUAAAGUAGGAAACCAAGCUUAGGCAAAUUGAAGUCGUUUGGAUUAUCAAAAGCCAUUAAAAAAACCUAAAUGGGUGCGAAACGCGCACCUAGCUGCAUAUGGACCAGGGUAAUGCUCCAACGGCGCGAUUCGGUUCGGACGCAUGGUUGGUAUAUGUUCCCAAAUCCAGAGCUGUUAGAAAAUUAUAAGCAAUGUUAGAAUUGCAAAAUGAUAAAAUGCAAAAGAUUGGAGAUUGAUUCUAAUGUACCUGUAGCAAAACUAAUGGACCGGCAAUAGCCGAUUUGGCAGGAUGCGUGGCAUCACAAAGUGACCGAUAGAGAGUCGCCAAACACGCACUACCCCAACUAUAUUGCCCAACAGUUUCCAAGUCCCGCAGUAAUGGAAGAUACAACAAAGGGACUUUGUUUCCGGACUUAUCCGACAAUAAAUGUCCACCUAAUAUCAGUAGGAUGUAGAUGCGCGCACACUGCCUACAUUCGGCAUCUGAAGCAUCGGCGGGCAACUCUGUAUCCAAGACUCUUGCUAAACAUCCCAAUUUUAGCCUCUGUCCAUCAAAGUAUCCAACUGCAGGAGAAAAUCCAAGGAGCUCCUCACAGAUGGCUCCCCACUCCUGAAUGCUGCGGUAUGUGUCUACCCCUAUAACCGGUGGACCAUCGAUGUGCAAACCCCACAACACCUCUACAUCCUGUAAUGUCACGGUAGCUUCUCCCACCGGUAAAUGGAAUGUAUGCGUCUCGGGCCGCCAUCUCUCCACUAAACUUGUGAUCAAAGAAUGAUCAACUAUCUGAUAUCCACUCUCUAGCACCCCCUCAAAUCCAGCCAAGGCAAUAUAACGACAAACCGGAUCAGGAAUAGGCGUAUGCUCCCAAAAUCCUCUGUCACACCGUCUGACAUCUAACUGAUUGCCCUGAAUAUGUCCGUGAAAAAUGGAAUGUGUCCGGUGUGCAGUUCCCGCCGAUAUAAUGUCGUGCACGUAUGGGCCUGGAUGUAGGCCUGCAGGGAUAGGGGUGUCGGCCAUAAUUCCAGACAAAUAUCUGCAACGAUUAAAUUGUAAGAACAAUGAAUAAGUAAUAUCCAAAAAGUAUCCUGUAUCCACUUUUGGACAAAUCAAAAAAGGUUGGGAUGUCAAAUUUUAGCAAGUUUUGACCAUAUAUCCGUUAUACAUCGCCUAAAACUCCUUACCUUGUAUUUAUAUUUUUUUUAAUAACAUUUGUUAUCCCUCUAUGUAUUCAUAGCGUGCAGCAAUGUAUUUGUAUUUAUAUUUUACCAAUUAAUAUAAAAAUUUGACAGAAUCUCCCCUAUAAAGCGGCCAUAACUCCCUGCCAAAAUAUAUACAAAAAUUUCAUAUCCUGUACAUGCAAGAGUGCUUACAUAUAUAACACACCUUCCAAGCAUUCCUUUAACAGAUAAGUUACAAAUCAAUGGAUAGGGGAUUUAGCGAGCAAUGAAUAAAACUGUUGGGCUGCACGUGUAAACUAGUUAUUUCAAUACAUAUCAAAGUACAAAACGAAGCAACAAUUCUAACUAAUGAACAAUGAAAGUCACUAAUGUAAUUAUUUAAAAUAAAUCCAGAAAAUUACACAAAUGAAGUAACUCGAACCCCACCCGCAAAAAGAAAUGCACUAACAUUAGUCCACAAUCUCUAGGGAGUCGAUCAAAUCAAGACCUAUAAUUCGGACAAUUUCGACUAUUGUGACCCGUCUGAUGACAAUUUCGACAUCUUCUUGGUUCGUCUGAUGACAAUUUCGACAUCUUCUUGGUCUGAAAACAUGCUUCGCAGUUCUCUCCUGAACAUUCGCCACUUGCGUAAUUGUCUUGCCCUUCCCAUUGCCCAACACAACUUGCGAAGGUGUAAACCUUUGAAGUGUGUCAUCAAAUUGUUCCUAACAUGUCGCAGGCAAAAUCUAUGGUACGCUAAAGGUUCCUCCCAAUAGUCAAAGUGUGUCAUGGUAUAGAUGAUACCAUUGUGGCGAUCAAAAAUGACACAGAUAGGAUGUCGAUCAAGCGCCACAUUAUAUCUCAAUUGUUCCAUGAACCACGACCAACUGGAAAUCGUCUCCUCAUCCACUAUGGCAUAAGCAAUUGGUAGAACGUGGUUGUUCGCAUCUUGAGUGACUGCAACAAGGAGUUUGCCCUUGUAUUCGCCACGCAAAUGAGUGCCAUCAACGCAUAUAACCGGCCUGCACAUGUGGAAUGCUUGAAUAGUCGGCCCAAACGCCCAGAAUACAUAUUUAAAGGUCUUAACUCGAUCCGAACUAUCCGAAUGAUGUAACCACUCUACCACGGUGCCUGGAUUGGAUGAAAUCAGGGCAUCAAGAUACUGCGGUAGUUCGGAAAAAUUCGCCUCCCAAGAUCCAAACACAAGCUCAAUUGCUUUACGUCUGGCAUACCAGACUUUUUUGUAAGACACAUCAACCUUCAAGUUUUCUUUAACGUCACUUAGUAUGUUCUUGACCUUUAAUUCAGGGUCAUCUUCAACCCGACGGAGGAUGUGCCUUGAAAUAACGGAAGCUGUGAGGCUUGUAUUGUUAUUUCUAAUCAUGUCGCCCAAGCAGUUAUGGUCAUUGACCCAUUUUGUAAUUUGCCACAUUCCAUGGGUCUUUUUCUUUACGACUCUAACACACCAGUCACAUGGUGGAUACGAUGGCGCGGUUGAAGUGGAAGGAAUUCUUUCAAUUGAUGAUUUGCAUUUAGCAAAUCACGUGUUACUCUUACUCUCAAUAACUCUGAACUCCCUAUUCUGAUUGAUGGACCACAGUCUAACUGCUCGGUUGAGCUGCUGCUUACUCUCAAAUCUCAUAUGGAGACGUAUAUUAUUAUUCUCCUCACUGAAUGUUACAAUACGCUCCAAUCCAUCCUCCCCUUCUAUAUCAUCAUCAUCUAUACUACCAAGAUCGGAGAAAAAGGCCAUUCCCCUUGGCACAUAUGCAGAGCUGCCAGCUGGGCUAUUGCGUCUGUCCUCUUGGAACAUAUCGAGAUUUACUCUUAAACCCCCACCUUCAUGCUCUUCAUCCGAAUCACUACCAGACACAUCUUGCGAACUCCGACUCUUCAACCUCUUCCGCAUCAACUUCCCGGUCAUCGUCUUUCGGAUCAUCUUCUUUAGAGGCACGGAGUCUAUCAUGUAUACUAGCAUAUAGAUCAACGGUUGCCGAACUACGACAACCUUGACCAGGGUUAUAAUCGAUCCCAUGUGGAGAAAUAUGGCUUGAUGGCCCUGGAUCUUCAAAACUUGGAAUCGAAUCCAAGCCAUGAAAAUAUUGCUGGGCAUCCAUGGACCCUGAUGUGAGUCUUGGUUCUAAUGAAUAUAUAGAUCGAUCAUCAUGCAUAUAGUGACAUGCCGAUGAAGUCUCUGGAACGACUGAACUAGAACCAAAGUUAAACUUUGUUGGAUCCAUGAAUGCAUGUACAAGCGACAUCAUUGGACCAACAUUACCUAUUGGUCCAAUGAAUACGCUAUUAACUACAGGCAUUUGGACGAUUUCUUCCUUCUCGAUAUAAAUCUCCGCCAUGUAUGAAACUCUUUCGAUCCAAAGAUCGUACAUUACAUCAAGAGUUUCAUCAUCCACCACUGCGAAAACAGUAUAUUUGGAACUCUCCAACGGUUGACGAAGAAACAAUUUCAGCUUGAACACCCCUUUAUCGACCCCAAUAUAGUGGUAAAUCUUGUCAACCAACUCCCCGUAUCCAAUUCUAUGCCUCAAAGUGAAUGUCCGGUUGGAAGUACGAGGCAAAUAACAAACGAAGUCACCCUCGUAAUGUAUUUGUCCUCCCCAGUAUAGGUUUACCCGCAGAGGUCUUUCUACAGACUUGUCUGUGAAAUGUAUACCUAUUUUUUGGACAAUAAAUAAAAAUUAGUAGUCCAAGGGUCCAAACAAAUGAAAGAGGGUAGACUUUAGGUCGAAAUUGGAACUAUUAAAUAGACUAAUUUCGAUCCAGAUGUUUAUGAAAAAAUUGAAAACAUGUAUGAAAUAUACUAUAAAUGACGAUACGAAUAGUCUAAAACUCCGAACGAAGUUUUUGGAAAAAUUGGACAGAGCCUCCCUUAAAAAUAGACUAAAACUCUCUAUCUGCAAAUCCAAACAGGGUAAGAAAUGUACAAGCGUAAGAAUUGUACCGGAAGUUAUAUAUAUUUGGGCUCCACAUUCACACCGCAUAACAAGAUCCACAUUGACAAUGAUGUGAUAUUAUACCAAUGAAUCUUACAAAAUUAAUGUUUUUCCCUGUAACUUAUUUUGCCACUUUUUUAGCAUUAUAGAUUUUGCCAAUACCAAAAAACAUUACAAGGUUGGUCAGUGAAUUUCAAUCCAUCAAUUCGCCUUAAAAUAAAUUGGUAUUUCAUGUUCUACCGCCCUUUUCUACUUAAACAAAAUUAAACAAACCAUCGUCUCAACGAAGUGACCGAAAAUAUCCAUAGUUGUAAUAUAACAUAAAUUAGCUAAUGGCUUGUAUCAAAUCCGAAUUAAGCCUUAUGCAUAAGGAAUGGUAGUUGUAAUAUAAAAUAAAUUACCUAAUAGUCAGUUGCCCUCACAAAGAAAUAUCUACAAAAAUAUCGACAUAGUCUCCCCAAUAAAGGGGCUCACAAUCCAAAUAUCCAUGAAAUGCAAAUGCUCCAAUCUAUAAACUACACCCCAAAUUUCUAAGCUCCAAUUGCAAAACAUACACUGUCCAAUGUAGAUAGUGUUUCGACCAAAACUAAUAGCUGCGCAAUAGAUUUUAAAAAAAAAUUAUGAUGAAUUUUAAAAGAAUUCUACAAAUGGGGCAUUUUUAGCAUGGGACUACGUACAAAUGGGACUACGUACAAAGGGUCUUCGCAUUCACCAAAACUUAACUCACGGAGCUCGAAUUUUCGAACUACGGCAUCCCAAAAAAAAAAAAAAAUAGCACACCUCGCAUUGUAUUAUGAAAUGCCAAGAUCCGAGCUCGGAUAAUUUAUGGCAUCCUUCGGAUCCAACAGGGUUCGGAUCCGGCUCAACGGAUGAUCAGACGAGCCCUCCGAUCCGGCUGAACAACUUUGGAUCCGAGCUCGGAUCCAACAGAUCCGAGCUCGGAUCCGUCUGGGUUGAGUCUUAUCCGACCUCGGAUCAUGCUUUUCCUGCACUAAUUGCAGAAACGGCAAAUAAACUACUCCUACAUUGGACAGUCCAAACAUUGUACGAAUUCGAAAAACAUCUAACGUUUAUCCUCAAAUCCACCACAAAAAAUGCAAAAAUAAGCACAACCCACGUCAAAUUUAAACCCAAAUUUCACCACAAAUCUGAACUUGUCUUGGAUUCAGGUAUUCAAGUAUUAAUUAAACUUAAAAUGCUAUUACUGAGGCAUUGCAAGUGAAAAAGCCUAACCUUUAUGCUGUUGGAGAGUUGGGACUCAAAUUGUGGACAAUUUUUGGCAAGCGGCACGCGCGGAACCAGUCUUUGGAAGCUCCGCUCAGCUCCGGUCUUUGGAUGCUUCGAUGUGCAGAAACCACCUCUGUUUUCUUUGUUGUGCUUUUACGUACAAUUCCGAAUUCUGUGUUUUUCUGUUCGACAGCUAUAAAAGGCACUUCUGCGCUUCGUCUGUUUGCUUUUGUCUUUUUUUUUCGAAAUGGAGUGUUGGCGGUGGAGCUUAGUACGAGCUCGCAUCCUCAGAAUGCGAGCUCAGUGAGCUCGCACUGAGCUCGCAUUCUCAGAAUGCGAAAACCCCAAUUCCAGAAAAUCAUUCACAAUACGCCCUCGUUGUAGAAUCAUUUUUUUUUCUAUCACAAUGUAAGAAUUCACCCUAGAAAAAUGAUGGUCCUCGAUUCCUUGUAAUCUAAUAUGAGUGGCAGAUCAACUUAUUUUCCUUAUCUUAAAAAAGAGACGUUAAGGAACAUGUAUACAUUUUCAAGAGGUAAUGUAACUUGGGUUCUUUUCUUUUUUUUUUUUCACUUUUUUCUAUAGAAGCAAAAAAGGGGUUAAUUACACUUUGCCCUCCUAAACUUUGGUAGUCAUUACACUUUAUCCUUCUCAACUUUAAAAAUAUACAGUUUACCCCCGUAAAGACUAGUCAAAGCUAGAAAUGCCAAAAAAAAAGUACAAUAACAUUAUUAUCCUUUUAUUUAUAACGUUAUCUGUAACUUAUUAUUAUUUUCUUUUAUUGCUAGAAAAUGAAAGAGUUAUAUUCAGUUUAUUAUCCUUAAAAUUUUUUCUAUGGGAUUAAUAUUUACUUUCACAUAUGUUCGGUUCAAUUUAUAAAUAACACAAUAACUAACAGUAAAUAUAAUUAGCAAUUUUUUGAAAAAUGGUAAUAUUAAACUUGUUAUUUUUUAUUAUUGUAGUUUACAUAGACUUUUAGAAUGAUAUUAUUGUCAUUUUUUUGUCAAAUUAGUCAAAUGUCAAAGACUUAACAACCAAAAUUGUUGAGAAGCACUGGUAUGCCUUAUUUUUUAAAUUUAGAGGAGAAAAAUAGAAAUUAAAUAAAACUUCAAUUCUUUUUGGACAGAAAAGGCAAUAAUAGUAAAUUAUAAAUAAUUUCAACAACGAAAGAGCUAUGUUGUCAUGACACUUAGGACCAAUACUAAAGGUCUCUGAUUUUCUUUUGCUUAAGACGUAGGAACUAAUUUAUUAGGGCCUGAGUGUAGAGAAAUAGGUUGGGCGCCGAAAGGGUUGAACUCGAAAAUUUAAUUUACAAUGCAGGGCGAAAACUGGAUUUCUUCUUCCCUGUUUGUUCGUGAUUUCUUGUUAUCUUUAGUAAAAUUUAUCCCCAUUAUAUAUGGCGUUACGUUGUAAUUUUAUAACUUGUCACUUGCAAACCUCUGACGCAAGUCAAGCCUUUUGCCUUGUCAUAUUUUUUUCAAGUGGGCAAAAAGUUUAAAAGCAUCGAUCGGUAAGGAAAAAAAAAAAAAAGAGAAGAGAGAAUACGAAGCAAGAAAUUCAAUAAACAAAAGUUUAUUAGGGUUUUAUUAUUAAUAUACUGAUUCUGGAGAAUUAGACAUGGAAGCCAUGAGAAGGGUCACCUCAAAGGGGUGAACCAAAUUUUUAUGAUGCCAAUUUAUUUAAAUAUAAAAGACCAACAUAGGCCUAAUUAGGAGCCGAAAGGUCUUUGGCUGGCGCAGUCCAAAUUGUCGCCAUAGCUCACUCCCAGUAUGUCGCAGUAUCUCUUAUAGAAACCAAUUCUGUCGUUCAUCUGUGGGUUGGAGCCUUUUCCGCAUUCAAUUCCACCAUUGAUGAUGUUGGUAACGACACCGUAUCCUGGGCGGCGACCAGCCGCAUUAUCAGCUUGGGACGGUCUCCAUCUGCCGGUCAUCAC
rnacentral:lncRNA from 1 species